GGUUGGGUUGUACAAAGUACAUUGAAAGCUAGUGUCGCAAGCAUACAUAGACUGGAAUAUUUAGAGAUAUCAACUAGAUAUUGGAACAGUGAUAUUGAUUAUUAGAAUGACUGGCUUCCAGGUGGUGGCCCUCGCAGAAGCAUGCUUUCUCUCUUCAGUUUUUCUGCCCUGACAGUCUCUAAUUUGCGCCUAUCAAUACUCUUCUCUCCAGGUUCUUUUGGAGGUCUGCCUCUUUUUUUAGGUUGAAUAUCACCUGUUGUUUUGCGCACAGGUUGAAUAUCACCUGAUGUACUUCUAUCCUUUCGAGGCCUGCCCCUUUUCUUAGGUUGAUCACUAGGUUUCAGACAUACUAGAGCAUUUUCUCCUGCUGAUGCUGACGCCUGAAGCCACCCUGGUAGUGGCAGGUUGUUUGACUGUUGGCGAUUUACCGCUCUGACCACCAUCUGAUUGCUAGCAACAUUAGUUCUGUAGUCAGGAGCAAUAUUCUGAUGAUUGAAUUUGUCCAUCACAAGUGUGUUGAGUGGAAUGGUUAUGUCCAACGGUAGCAGGAUCUCCUCCAGUUCGUGCCACUCAAGAUCUUCCUGGUCUCCAUCUUCAUAGACAACGGUGUACCAAUUGUUUCCACUGUCAUACCUGACAACUUGCCCUGCAUAGUACUUGUCUCCAAACCACUUUCUCACUUUCCUCUCUACUAGCCAUUCACCAAAGCGAUGAUCAACUCCAGAUCGCGGGGCAUCUCUUACUGCAAGUUGUGAACCAGAUGCGAAAUCAGGAGGAAAGUCUGGGACACCAUUGAUAACGAUGGCAGGCUCUCUGGGUACUUGAACAACAGGUGCAGUGUCUGACUCUUGCAUGCCCUUCCUCCCCUCCAUGACCUGAUACUGCAUCGAUUCCUUGGAUUUAGCUAGGAACAUCCUGGAGGAGAAAGAAAAUAGUUUCAUCCACAUAAUGGGUCAUCGUAAGCAGGAAAACUCAAAGAACAAGCAAGCAUAAACCAAACACUUUCACAGCUACAACGCGGUAUUUUGAUGAGUCGAAAAAUAAGAGAUAGCAACCAACACUUGUACUCCCUUGUGUCAAAAAAACGUCUUAUAUUUUAAGACAGAGGGAGUAUUUAGGAAGCACUGCACAUCACAUUCGCAUCAGUACUGAUAUUUCCAUCUCUACUUCCAUUUAGGUUACCCUUGGGAUAUUAACCAGCUACAGAUGCAUUUCUGUGUUUGCAUCUGUACUUCACCUAUGCGCCAGAGUGCUGUAUUAGUGCGAUGUGUAAAAUGUACUAGUGUAUCUACACACAACAGAGCAAUGCACACUAUCUCCACAAAUAUCAGUUGCCUGUGUACACAUGCUUCAACUGAAAAAUUGAAAAAUUUCCGAGAAAAGCAGCCACUAGAAUCAGCACAACCACCAAUCCAUAACACAAGCAGCAGCACAACACCAGUAGCUUAAGCGGCAGCAGCUAGCGCACGCACGAGAGUGGAAGAGGAGCUCACCGCCCGGCGACGAGGCAGAUGCAGAUCCGCGGCGGCCGGCGUUGGAGAGGAGGCAGAGUCGGGCCGUUGUCGAGGAGGGGGCGCCUAGGAGGGCGGUGGCGAGGAGAUGGGCGUCGAGGAAGAGGGAGGGCGUCGGCGUCCCGCCUGGAUGCUCUGCGCGACGGGGGAGGUGGGGCGGCGUCCGGCGGAGGAUGCGUGCACUACGGAGGAAGCGAGGGAGCGGCGACGGCGGGAUCCGGGGGAGCGGCCACCGGCGGCCGGCGGCUUGUGGCGGCGCUGGUGGGAUUUGGGAACCGCUAGCACGCGCAAGCAAGAGGAAAAUGAGUUCUUUUUUCUUUAGUCGGGUGGGGAACCGGGGAUGCGUUUAUUUAUUUUUCGCCAAUACGCAAUCAUUACAUUAAUAGAAAAAGUUAGAAUUAGUAAAUGAGCUUGUAAAACACAUGGCAUGGACGCAAAGGGGCGUGAACAUGAUGAUCGAAGCGAAGAGACAUAAGAUGCUCGACCCAAACAACGAAGAACACGGCUAAACUCGCCAACUGGAGAAGCAAUCCAAUCAACAACUAGACCACCAAAACUCCGAAGGCAGCACCGAGGAUGUCGCGAGCAAUCAAGACAACCUUCAUGAAGGAGAAUAGUAACACCUAGACACCAUCGUCAUCCGAUCCGGAAACUCGGACCUGGAGUUUCCCCCAAUGCUCGCAGAGAGCACAUAAAACGGCCAUGGCAGCGCCUUCAAGAAGCGGACAGCACCCGCGGGUGUCGCUGCUGCUAGCAUAAGAUGUAGGGUUUAGCCCAGGCCAAUUUCAAGCCGUUGGAACACUGUCGAAGAGGAGGUCGUCGGGCAUAGGCUGGAGCUGCGACUGCGGGAAGGGGAACCACGCACGACGUUGAAGGAGGAACCGGGCAUCGCCGGACAUGAGAACUCUGGAGGAGGGGAAGGAUGUGUGGCUGCGCGGAAUGAGAGGCGGCGGGGAUGGGACGGUGACCGUAGCCUCGGACAAGACAAGAUCUAGAAGGAGGCACAGAUCCGGGCCACGGGGACCAGGGCAGCAUGAGUGCAGACGGACUAAAGGAGCUGGAAGGGGAUUCAGCUCCAGAACAUGCCAGAGACGUAGAUGCAUUGGGAUGGAUGGUUAACCAAGGCACCCGCUAGGUGGUGGUGGUGCAGAGACGCCGAGGAGCCAACGAGCCAAAGGAGCCAACAAGCCGUAAAAGAGCGCAUCCCCCGAGGCUCGUCCAGUCCGAAGCCGCACCGAUCAGUCGUGAACGCAGGUCCAUGCCCACCGGGCUGAAGCCGCCCCUGGGGGUGGUAGUGGUCGUCGUCGUCGUCGAAGUGGUCUCACACGCAACCAAACUCCCAACCAAUCCAAAAGGCAACCACCGACGGGAACAACCGCAUCCAACAGCCUGCAUGGCCGCCUCACGAAGAGGCGGUCCUAAAGCUCGAGCAGAUGGGUGGAGCCGCAGCUAGCAGGGCUCAACCGACCGCCAUGGCUGGCCGGCCAGAGCACUACAAUCAGCUAGAAAGGGCGUCCAAAUCGCGUCCGGGGUAGACAGUGAGCCACCACGGGGGAAGUUCGGCCGAGGCAAGCACCCACCCCGCUAGCGAGCAAGGGAAGCCGGGAGAGGCAGCCUCCGCCGCUGCCAAACAGAUCUGGCGGGGGGUGGGGGUGGGGGGAGGAAAGACAGCCCCGCCGCACCAUCCCAAGGCCCGGCGUGGUUUCGUCGGCCAGCCCUCUGGCGGCAGUGACGCGGGGGCAGGUGGAGGAUGGGUGCCGGCCACCGGCGUCUAGAGUUUCCUCUGAGUCGCCCGACUCGGGCGACGCGGGGGUCAAGGGUGGGCAGGGUAUUUAUUUUGCCAUUUUCAUUAUUAAUCAAUAAAUAAACAAGAAUUAUUAGGUUAAUUAGGAGAAAAUUGGGCUAAAACCAACACAAUUCAACCCACACACAAUGCCCAACAUGGACCAACUGGUCACUUGACGUGCAGAGUAGCAAAAAAAAGGCAACCAUCGAAGAGGUCGCAAGCACAUCAUCAUCAUUGUUUGCCCCCGAACAAAUGACCCAGACUUUAUAGUAGAGCCCCACCAACAAACCCAACCCACAAAUAGUUGUACACAGGGCAUGAUGGCCCAUGCCAACAACUGGCCACACACGCUAGCGACCGACAACUUCGACUUUGUCUACAACCAUCGCAAGGGAAAUAUGCAGGGCUUACACCAACUGGGCCCACCGCAAGCGACCAUCAAGUGCCCACCAUCAUCACCAACUGGACUCAUUCCACCGCAGCUCCGACUCCACAACAACCCAAUGAACCACAGAAGAACUCACCGGACCCACCAAACCGGACCCACCAAAAAGAGUGAGCUACCAGAGUUCGAGCCGCAGCCUAAACUCAUCUUGACGCCAUCAUUUGUGCCAAGCAGAUGUCAUCGUCCCUAGUACAACUUCCUCAACAAACCACGCGGAUAAGAUACCCCCAACCACCGGUUUCCCUGUCGUAGUCAGCUCUGAAACGAUGCCCUCAAAGGGGGAGAAAGACACGAAGACGCCUCCAUCACCCGAUCCAAGAACUUGAGGUUUACCUCGGGAGACAAGGCCGCAGGGAGAAGGAUGAGCACACCUCCACAAUGACGCUUUGAAGAAAGAUUGCGACACUUGUGACCAUCAGCCACUGUCUGACGUGAAGAAUACUGAUACGGUAAAUAAAUUGAUCAAGUGCCUGAUAGCUUGCGGUGGGGAAGCUCCAGCGUGAACGCUCCGAACAAAAGGAUUCUAAAUCAAAAUUUGGACGGAAAAGGUUUCGUGGUGUAGUUGGUUAUCACGUCAGUCUAACACACUGAAGGUCUCCGGUUCCAACCCGGGCGAAGCCAUCUUUUUAUGUGUGUUCUUUUCUUUUUAACCCUUUCAUGUCAGCCGAGAGCUCCUUCAGUAGUGUUUUCUUGUAGUUUAAUUCUCUGAAGUCGCACUAGAAGGAUCACCGGCUGGUCUGUUCUUUUCACUCCCCUUCUUUCAUCUUCUUUUUAGACGCAAAACUGUAUGUCAUGGUGUUUGUUUUCCUUGUCAGGUAAAUAUGGAAGGGUUGACAAGGAAUCGUUCAGAGAAGAGAGACACCGGGUACAGCCAGCGCGCUGGAGCAACUAGAUCUCCAUCUCCACCUGUACCACACAGAUUGCUUUGCUCCUCCUCCCUUUCCUCGUGGCAAUCAGCCUCCUCCGCUCGCUCCGACAUGGCUUACCUUGCAGCAUGUAUGAAUGAAGAAGCCGACGAUGGUCAGCGGUGACUGUCGUAAAGACACAAAACCGCUCCGUGAAACUUGCUCUUUGUGAUCAUUGUAGAAGACAUAAUUGCUUUUGAGUGCAUGACACAAUGGUUUACAUGUGCUAGAUACCUUGCUAACUCAAAAUGCAGCUCGUUCUCAAAGUUGAACUGACCAAACAGGAGCACGGAUCCAAUGUUGAAUUCCGAAAGUUACAACCAGGCUAAAGAUGGGUAGAAAUUUUGUUCCCAAAUACAGGAUGGCUUCGCGUCUUUGUAGAUCCGUUCGUCAAACAAGUUGAGGGCGGCUAGACCGCAAAAUGCUAGAUGCCUAUCAUGGCCAUGGGUGAGCGGUGGCACGCUAGAGCACCACACCACAACUUACUUGAUAUUCGGAUUUGGCCACGCUUUGGCAUCCUGAUAUCUCCUAUUCUGAAGUUCACUACAUUUCUAAAUGCGCAUACAUAUGCAUGUACGUUGCUACUACUUGCUAGCUACUCCCUCCGUCCUUUAAAGAGUGUACUUCCAAUUUUCUUGGAAAGUCAAACUUUUUUAUGUUUCACCGUGUUUAUAUAAUAAUACAUCAACAUUUAUGCCAUCAAAUUAGUAGCAUUAUAUUCGUGAUAAAAUAUACUUUCAUCAUACCUAUUUAAUUUCACAAACAUUGAUAUAUUUUUGCACAAACUUGGUCAAACUUUGAGAUAGUUUGAUUCUCCAACAAAGUUGGAAAUACACUCUUUAAAGGACGGAGGGAGUAGCCUGCACUACCUUCGUCCAUUUCUCUAGCUUGUUUCUGCUAACAAGGCACAAGUUUUUAUAGGAGAGAAGACUAGUGAAACACUUGAAACAAAGAGCGAGCUUUCUCCAUCAAUCGCAAAGAUCCAAAAAUUGAUUGGCAUGUCCUAUACAUUGUGGUUGGUCGAGAGCCUUUAUCUACAUUAAAAACGUUCUAGGACAUAUUAUUUUCUAGAAGAUAUUCGUAAAUAAAUGAUUUUCCACAUAGAGGCCUUCUCAUUCAUAUAUGUGAUGCUUUUGCGCAGUUCUUUAGCGGUCAUUUCAAAUUUUGGUGAGCCAGCUCAACUCAUUAUUUUCCAUGUCCAUACUGUAAUAAAUUAAAUAACUAGCACUAUUAAUUCGCAAAGAAGAACUAACUAGCACUCGGAUGGAAAGCAAUCGUAUGGUACAUGUAUAUCUCAUCAUGGGAGAUAGGUGAUCAAAUAAAGGAUCAUAUGUUUGUCUCGUUGCUAAAAAAAGACUACGAAUUAAUUCAAAUAUUAGUUGGGUAUGUUCUAACUUUUGGGACAUUAGACAAUAAAAAAUAGCUAAUCAUUGUAGGCAUAAAAUUCUCAUCUACUUGUCUUAUUAAGAACUCCUUGCAUAUUGGACCACAUGCGACCAUAUUGACAAAAAGGUCCACCCCUGAACGUAAUUGACGAAACUACCAUGGCAUUAGGCCCGACAGCCGACACAUGACACCUGCCGCUCCAACUGGAGGAGGCAGGGCCUGCCGUCGUAGCCCGUGGCGGCAAGUUGAGCAGAACGGCUACCAAAGCUGAUGGUUAUCGGAAAACGGAAGAGGUGGGCCCUGCCGCCACAUGCUAUGGCUGACACCCUUUGACGUGGAGCCUGCCACCAUGCGCCAUGGCGGCAAUACUGUUGUGGUUGCUCGGGAUUGGACAACGCAUUGCAGUCAUGUCAGUUGUUAGAAGGAUUGCCAUCACCUUUUGUGUCGAAAGUGCUCCAGCCGACAACACGGAUUUGUUCCCAUGCGAAGCUGAUUCCCAUGCACGUCAAAUCUCUCUUCAUCAUUCCCGCUUAAUUUUUCUGCCAUCGCACUCAUAAUCUGAGCCUAUAAAAUAGGCCGUCGAACCUCUCUUCAUCCUUCAUCGAGAAACUGUCCUUAGCCAUUUCUCUGUUCAUGUCUGGUGACCCUUUCUGUUGUUUUACUCCAACGAUGUCUCAUUUGCUUUGGUCAGGUGUGGCAGGAAUAAUGCAGACUGUUAGUAGGGGAGGUGUGCAUUUUGAAGAACUAGAUAACGCUUGCACGUUGCUGCGAAAUUCUUUAGCAAUGAAUUUAUUAAAAAUAAAAUUAGAAUAUAUGAGAGUAUUACUGCACCACAUUCAGCCUAGGAGUAAACGAAAGGUUGAUGCAUGCAUUCAAGUUCAGUUAUUUAUUAUUGAAAAAUAAUCAAUCAUGUGAAGCAUUUUCAUGUGCUUGAUGAUGUGGAGGGCUUGCAUGCGGUGGAAAGGGAAACAAAUGAAAAGUUGAAUGAUUGCAUGGCGCUUUAUGAUGUGAAGGGUGUGUGUCUGGUGGAAAGUAGAAAGUUAAAGGUUUAUUGGUUGGCACUUGAUGAUGUAGAUUCCAUGUGCAUUUAAAUGGAAGACGGUAUAUGUGGGACUUAGUAGUGUUUUACCUACAUAGACACGCUGCUAACUUAAUCUAUUAUAUUGACACUGAAGGAAGUGAAAAAUGAGCUGUUAAAAAAACUAUGUAUUGAUUUUGCCAUGGUCUCAUUACAUGACCAUAUUUCGGUGACCAUACACGUUUUUUAAGAUCAUUUAUAGUUACAUGCCCAAUUUUAGGUAUUUUUUGUUUUUUCUCAUAUUUUUAGAGAAUUUAAUCUUAAUGCAUAGUUAAUAGCGUGCAAUCUGGAUCGCAUGCUGCUAGAUCUAGACUUAAUAGUGUUUCACUUCCUGUCACACGCUGCUAACUAGGUUUUUAUACAUAUUGUCUUACUAUCAGUAUAUCAUAUUGAAAUUAGUUCUAUCUACUUGAUCGAUAUAUAACAUACAUAUAUGAAGAAGUACUGCUUGAACAUCUGGACUACAUGCAUAAUACAUAUUAAUUUGGAAGAACUGGUUUUUAGUAAGUUCAAGAACUAAAAGCAAUACAUAACUGGCCAUUGCUACUCUCGGUGAUGCCUAAGCGGAAAACAUCACUAGUGCAAUGGAUGCCACCAGAAGAAAUCCUGCAAGUGAUCUAGCUGGGAGUACGAAACAAAUCAUCAUAACAAUGAGUGCAUAUCAAAGCUUCUUAAAGUUUUCUAUCUUGGCUCGGAUUUUUUUGGGUGUGCAUAACAUUCAUUUGUAUUUGCUGCUCAUCCAUCUUGACUUGCUCCUCAUCCAUCUUUACUUGCUUCUCGUGUGCGUCUGUCAAAGCAUCAUCCAACCGGGCUCUGACUGAUCGAGUGCCGUAUUCAACCAACUGAUUUAUGUAAGCCAUUAAGAGAUCGACCCAUAUCCAUGUGUAGCAAGAGCAUGGUUCCUGCAUGAGUGUGUAUGUAAUUAAUGCCAUGAAAACUAGAGUUACAAGUCAAAUAUGUAAUUUAAUUAAUUAAGAGAAAAAUAUGUUUGUUGUACGUACCUGAGUUCCCUUGCGUGCACACAUGAGGUAUUCUCGAGUUGGAUUUCUUUUUUAGUACAAGGUUUUGUUCACAACAGGGUAUUUGCAGCCACAAAAGAGCACAUGUUGCCUGGAUGAAGGUGUGCUUCCCUGUCGGUGGUGGACGAAAUGCCGCCGGAUCCGCCAGAUGACGUGCUGUUGCGAUGCGAUGAGGCGCCCGACACAUCCGACAACAAUGGAGAACUCAUGGUGGCCACCUGAUGUUGAGAGAAGCAAAAAUACAAGGGGAAGAUCAAAGGGACACUAUUAGGAAAAGAUCUACUAGUGGCGCACCAGUUUUGCCUAUUAAUUGCGCACUACUGGUGUGCUACUGGUACCACGCCACUAGUAUUAUAUACUAAUGACGCAUCACUGGUGCGCCAUUAGUAUCUGGUAUAGACCACGCCGUGCGCCAUUAGUAUAGACUAACAUGCGCCAUUAGUAUGCCUCCCAGGAGGCCAUAUUUACCCAUGUGCUUUGGCAUACUAAUGACGCACUGUAGGGUGAUGCGCCAUUAGUAUGAAUAUUAUGUUUUUUUUACUUUUCUGAUUUUUGCACAGGUUACAAAAUAUAUUAUUGGACAGAAUAUAGACAGCACCACACAAUAACAACAGAUUCAUCGAAUACAAUAGAAAAUUAGUCUCCGAAUAGAAUUCAUCAUAUUAGUCUCCGAAUUCAAAAGACCGAAUAAAGAUAGAACAUUACAAGUCUCGAGACCGCGAGUAGCGAGUUUGUCGGAAGUAAUACUAAUCCUAACAAGUCCUACUAAUCAUCAUCAUACAACUUCUACUCGUUAUUAAUAACAAGUCAUACGAUCAUCAUCUUGAUAGUCAUCGAACCAACCCUACUUAAUUGUUCUUAGCACAUGAUCAUCAGUAUUAGGCAGGACCUAAAUACCCUAUUUAAGGUAAAAUAGUAUAAAACAAUAUAGACCCUGACUCUCCAUUAUGGAGAAUGGAGAACAUCCUGUCUUCAAUUCUUGUGCUUUGCUUCCUUUUGCUUCCAAGAACCUCCUUACGACUGUCCAUACAUUUUUUUCAUCCUUUGAUUUUCAUGUCUCCACUUCUUUUAGAAAUCUCGUAUGGACAGUUGAAAUUCGUAGGAUGACCUGCUUGUAUGUUCAAAACAUUAAGACUACCUUUCUGAUGCAUCAAAUGAGGCACACAAUUCUCUGGGAUUAUUUGUUGAAAAACAUAGUAAUAACUUCAUAGUUAGCAAUGGUGUACUAGUUUUUAGAAGUAUGCAAAAGAUGCACGGAUGUCGUAAUAGUAAAAAUCUUACCAGGGUAUCUCCAUGGUAGUUACCAUAGUUGAACACAUGCACUAGUGGCACGUAUUGACUAUAAUGUUGAGGAGUUUGAUUGUAGAUAUUGUAAUUCUCAAUGUCAGUACAAAAUCCAACCAGAUGAUUUUUCUUCUUGUAAGUUGUUAAUUCGGAGCCAUCAGUGUAGUGGGUUUUGUCUACCAUCUCCCGCACAUUCUUUGAACAAUAAAAAUAAGCUGUCAAUGGAAAUAAGCUGUCAACUAUUUUGAAAUAAACAAUAUAAAUUAGCUAAUAACUAUGUUUGAGAAACUCACAUAUCGGUAGAACUGGAGGCGUAUCAAUAAGGACCCAAAUGUCCAUAUUGUCUUGGUCGAUGUCAGGAUUAUCAAGAUCCAUGGUGACAAGCAUACCCUCAUCAAAACCAUACAUCUUGCAAAAUGCUUCCCAAUUUUUACAACCAAAAUGGGUUACGCUCCAAGAAUUAAACAGAUUUACUUCAAAGUCCACAUCGUGAUGAGUCCUUAGGUGAAUUUUCUUUGUUUCAGAAAUUUCAUGGUCUUCAAAAUCCAUCCUCUCCAAGACAUAGCGUCUUGCAUGGCAUGGGAUAAGCUAUACUCGAAUUGUAAAAGAUGAAAAUUAUACGUUGAAAUAGUUGAAGUCAUGCUUAAUUAUGAAAAAAACAAUUGUCGUCGUUGCGUACCAUUUCAACUUCGAAGGUCUCCUCGAGCUUAAUGCUGAAGCGCCGAUCAUCGUCCAGGUGAGGCCUAUCGCAUAGACCUCGAUCGUCGUGGCACCAGUCGCACUCCCUCGGAAGACUUUCGUCGUCCGAUGACGACAUUUCCUACGUUCAUAAUUCAAAACUACAUAGGAUGAGUGGUUCCUCUUCCAGAUUAGGGUUUAUUGAUGACGAGCAGCUGACAUUAGUAAUAACUAUGAGUUGAUAUCACACUUCUAUAUGUAUAACACAAGAGGCAGUUGAUCCUACUUAAUUAAGUACUAAGAUACCCUGGCCCAUGCAUUUGUCGCAAGUACCCCAUAUAUCUUAUUUUUAGAAAAGUCAUGCUAAAAUUCACGAAAAUUUUUAGCAUGACCUUUGCUGAAAAUAGGACAUAUGGAGUAUCCGAAUUUGCCGGAACGGAAGUUUAUCGACAUUUCGGCAAACUCAAGGGCCUCUCGGGGUACCUGCAAAAUCAACACGACACGAUGGUCAGAGAAAAAACCCAGCAAACUCCUUCCCUUCACUCGGGGUACAACAAUAUAUCUUGUAGCCAUGAAAAAUAAUACCAACUAGGAUCGGUAUGACCUUCGUUUUUCAUUUUCUGUAUGAUCAAUUAAAUCUUCUGCAAGCUUAUAUGAAAAGGUUCAACAACUUGAAACGUAACUCUUGCUUGGUGUUCCAAAUCAUUUCAUUUAUAUUUUAAAUGACAUUAGGAAUUAUUUCAUAAUAGAAUUUACCCCCAAAACAAAUUCCUUUAAUGCCAUUCUCAAACUCUGAGUUUCCUCUGUUGCACUAAAACUAAUUCAAAUAAUUUUUAUAAAAUUGCCACAAAUUUUUUGGGUGACCCUAUAAUUCCUAUAAAUCAUUUUUGAACAAAGACCCAUCCUACUCUAUUGAAAUUUUUGAGAGAAACACCCACUUCUCCAUUCUGAUCCAUUUUCAGUUUACAACUACAACCCUAUUUCCCCUAGCUCCUAAAAAUCUACAAAAUUAUCCCAACACAAGAACAGUACCUACACUCCUUUUUCCCAAACAUCUCCUAAUCACAAGUUCUAAAUUUUCAAUAGGCCACAUGGAUUUGUUGAAUCAGCAUGAACCUUUCAAAUACCAAAAAUGCAGCAUUUUCUUGGCACGACCAAGCUAUUUCACGAUAUAUUUUAAGAAUUCUCACAUUUCAUAUAUCGUCUUUUUCAAAACAAAAAAAGUAUCUAUGGGGGCUGCAGCUGCAUGUUGUGUAUCAAUGUACCUUAUAUAUCACGAAUCUAAACUAGACAAACACGAAUCUAAACUGAACAAUUAAUAGGUUGCAAGAAUAUAUAAAAUCUGAACAUUACACAAUUCUGAACAGUACACUUCUCAAAUUCAUAGAAAUUUGAUAGAGAGAGAGGGAGACAGCAAGGAUUCAGAUUCAGAGAAGUGCAACAGGAGGGAAGUGGAGAGGAGGAGUAGCAACAGUUUUGAGGUUUCAGAGAAGAGCAGCGGCAAGACGUUGAGAGGAGGAGCAGCAGGAGUAAAGCAAGAGGGAGGAGCAGCAACAAGGGGAGGGCGAGCGCGGCCGUGGGCGGCAACACGCAAGUGCGUGUGUGCAUGGGCGCGGCCGACUGCAGCGACAGCGCAUCAGCGAGGCAACACAGGAGCUUGACGACGGCGGCUACGGCGACGAACCCGACGGGGGAAGGGGGAAAUCGGUCAAGGGCCUCACCGAGGUUCUCGACGAUGAUCUUGGGAGGUCGGGGGUGGCUGGGGCGGAGCGAUGUGGCGAGGUGGACGAGGGAGGCCGAGGUUGGGGAAGACGACGAUACGGUGCAGCUCCGGUCGAUUGAGAACCCGUAGAUGAAGAAGCAGUCGACGGCGGUCCUCCUGGACGUCUCCGUGCGGCGUGGGGUGACUGGUGGUGACGCAGUGGGUCGGGGCGGCGGCGGAGCAGCAGGUCGAGGGCUCGGGGGAUUGGGGAUUGGGCUCGGCCGGGGAGGAGGCGGCGCUCGGGGGAAAAGAGAUAGAGGGGGAAAAGUUAGUAAUGACGCACCGUGGGAGUGGUGCGCCAUUAGUAGUUAAACUAGUAAUGGCGCACCACACCCACGGUGCGCCAUUACUAGUUUUGAAAAAAAAUUGAUUUUUUUUUGAAAAAAACUUAGUAAUGGCGCACCUGUGGACAGUUAGUAAUGGCGCACUGUCUACUUGAUGCGCCAUUAGUAUGUUUGAAAAAAAAAUUGUUACUAGUGGUGCAGCAUGUAUCUGGUGCGCCAUUAGUGUCUUCCACACCACUAAUGGCGCACCUGCACAUGGUGCACCACUGCUAUAUUGUAGUGGCGCAUCACAUGUCAGGUGCGCCAUUAGUAUCCAUUUCAUCUAUAGCCCUUUUCCUAGUAGUGGGAAAUAGAUCUACUAAUGAAAAUGUGGGGUUGGGUUAGAUGUAGUAGUGAUGUAUGCAGAUUUUGAGGAUAAUUAAUUAAAGAGGGAGAGGGAUGAAUAUUAAACCCAUUAAGCUACGCAUGAAGGGUGGCCAACCAGCUAUGCCACGUGGCGCAACCUGCUUGGCCGUAGUGAGAAAUCUUAAAAAAAGAUGAAGGUGUCGAUUGUUUUUUGAAUAUAUUUUUUCUUUUUAGAUGGAGGUAAGGACCUUUGAUAUUUUUUAAAUGAAGGGUUACGCAAAGUGGCACUCGCUCGUAGGUUGUGUGGUGAUUUUUUAUUAUACUUUUUACUUUUUUUUGUAUGAAGGUGAGGAUAUUUUUUCUAAAAUGUUGACGAACUCAAUGUAUUUUUUUAAAUGGAAACAUGUGCACAGCUUCCUCUCAAGCGGCGUCACAGGAUGACGCCCCAACCACUAGUCAGAAUAAAGGGGAUGAAGGAAGAAGAGAGAGUGGAAGGCCAGAAGAAUGGGUGGUCAAUUGUUGAGUGCAAAACUUAUCAAUGUGUAGGGCAAGCAAACGUUGUUAGUUUGUACUCCGCCCGGUCCUUUUUUUUCCACAUAUUAGAUUUGUGUCAAAUCAAACUUUGCAAAGUUUGAUCAAAUUUAUAUUAAAAAGUACCAGUAUUUACAAUACAAAAUAUAUAUAUACUAUGAAACUACAUUUCAUAAUGAAUCUAACAAUGUUGAUUUGGCAUUGUAAAUGUUAAUAUUUUUUCUAUGAGUUUGGUCAAAUUAAGAUACUUUGAUGUUGGGCAAAAUUUAUAUGCGAACUAAAAAAGACAGAAGGGAAUAUCAACUAGCAGCAUCCAGGCCAAGUAAACGCCGCUUGCUUAUAAGAGCAUCUCCAGCCGUUCGGCCCCCUAGGGCGCUAAAAAAGAGCGGUCUGGGGGCGAACCAGCGCUAGUUCGGUUCCUGGGGACGACCUAGCUCCUAGUCACGCCCUCAGUCGCCGCCCCCAGGACGCGGAAAAUUUGAACUUGGUCGUUCCCACUCACAAAAGACGCCACAAGUCCGGCGAUCGCAAGUCACAUUUCGACGUACAAAAAAUAGAGCGGCAGAAGUUGGCGUGCACAACGCAUCACUCGGCGGGCUCUGCCCCAGGUGUCGGCGGAGUUGGUGUGCGCGGGCUUGGCGGUGUCGGAGCUGCUUCUGCGCUAGGCGGUGUCGGCGCGGCUUCGGUGGUGCUGGGCGUCGUGGAGGCGUCAUCACGCGGGCUUGGCGGCGGCGGCGGCGUGGGCGUCGGCAGCGGCGACGCUGUCGAGGGAAGCUGGUUCAGGAUGAGGCCGCGCUCCGCCAAGUACCACGCCUUGACCGCCUCGUCGGUGCUCUGGAGCAUGUCCGCCCCGCCAAGCAGGAAAGCCAGGUCGGUGUUUCUCUUCUUUGCGGCGACGUUGGUCCAGUGCAGGUCGAUCUUGACGACGCUGCUCGACAUCAACGCCGACCACCGCGCAUCGGUCUUCUCUUCACGAAGGACGGCCCGGGCCUGCGCGUCGGCGAGGCAGUGCUCGAUGGACUCCUACACUCGAGUGGUAGCCGCAUCGGCGUAUUUCCCCUUCUUGGCACCUUUGUUGCCGUCCGGCCGCCCUUCCGAUGCGCCAGGAGUCGGCGCGCCCGGCUUGUAGGUCUCCUUGGCCUUGUUGGCUGGCUGGGAGGUGAGCGGGAGGGAGAUUGGCGGAAGAAAGGAAGAGAAUGGGAAGGAAGUGGGGGAAAAGCAGGAAAAAACGGCGGGAAGGGACGCUCGACUUGCCGACAGGGCGGACCCACGCAUCCUUUUCGCUUGUGCCGGCGCCCCAAGCGCCCCCCAGGACGUCGGGUUUGGCUUGGGUCCGCUGGCACCAGUUUUGACCCGAGCCGGUGAAAAACGGGCUUCUGGCACUAGUAGAAAAUGGGCCUAUUGUCUCGGUUCAUAAGGGCCUUUUGUCCCGGUUCCAGAACCGGGACUAAAGGGUCGUUACUAAUGCCCUGACCCUUUAGUCCCGGUUCUAACCAGAACCGGGACAGAUGGGCCUCCACGUGGCCUGCGCGCUGAGCCCAAGCAAGAGGGCCUUUGGUCCCGGUUGGUUCCACCAACCGGGACCAAUAGGCCUCCACGCGUCAGCAUUUCUGUGGCUGGGGUUUUUGUUUUUUUUGAAGGGGGGGGGGUUGGGGUUUUGGGGGGUUAAUUUAGUUGUUUCAUAUAUUGUGUUAGCUAGCUAUAAUUAAUAGAGAGAAGUGUCCUCUCUUAUGUCCGUGCUUGGUCGACGCUACGUAUUAUACAUACGUAUAGAGAGGACUACACACGCUAGCUAGUUAGUAAGCAAACAAAGGAAACAGAAGAUCGUCAUGCAUGAACAUAUAUGCAUACAGAGAGAAGUGAUAUCGACCACCUCUCCUUCUCCGAGAGAUUGGUCGAACAACAAGUUCUCGUAUAUCUAUCCGACACUACCGGCUACAUAUAUACAAUAAUUAUCUCUUACAAAUAUAAUCAUACGGACGCAUGGUCCACAUAGUAUUCUCCGUCUUAAGCGAUCAUGUGGUCAAGAAAGAAUGCCGCCAAUUCCUCUUGAAUUGCUCGCAUGCGAGCUGGUGCUAGGAGUUCAUCCCGCUUCCGAAACAUCUAAUUUGAAGAAGGGGGUCAAUACACACACACACACACACACACACACACACACACACACACACACACACACACAUGAAUGAAUGAAACUCAACACAAAUGAUGGUAAUAAAAUAAAAUUGUGAAUAUUGUUAUUUACGCACUUCAUAUUGUUCGUCAGAGUACCCGGCCCGCUCACAGGUCGUGUGGCGGAUGGACUCGCAGACGUAGUAUCCACAGAAAUCAUUCCCUUUUUCCUGCCACAACCACUUUACAAGAAAUAGAGGUCAAUCAAACUGAUAACAAGAAUGCUAAAUGGUAUUGAUGAAACUAGCGCUUGAAUCACUAGAAGAUGCGCGGAACAUGCUACUAUAGUACUUACUUUCGGGUGUCUAAAUUCCAGCUCCUUCGGCAGUCCCGGAACUUUUCUGGUGAAUUUUCUCCAAACCCUGCCGGACAAAGAAAACAAUUACUUAAUAUCAGGAAAUGAACAAAGUUGCUGAUAUGGUGGAUAAUGAUCGAUUUAUCUUACUUCUUGAGGAUUUCAGUCAUGUUCGCAUACUCUUGGGGAUCUUUUCGUUUAGAGUCCAAGACAGUUACUACUCCCUGCUCAAGCCUAAUCUCUAGGAGAAUAUAGUGGUACGUGCGCACGCAUGCAUAACUCAUCAAUUACAUUACUAUAACCUGGACUAAUAUAUAAGGGAAACCGAAUAUGCACAAGACAGUAACACUCACUUGAAGUUGUAAGGAAAGAGUAUUAUAUCUUUGUUUUCAUUUUUUUGAAUGAUCGUAGCAAGUUGGCCUCGGUAUCUUUGGGACGAUGUUCAACCUCAGUUGCAUCUAUGAGAUAUGUGUUAACGAACCCAAUAUCGCCGAUUUGUCUUUUCUUCAAUUCGGCGAUCUUCAAUCUGCAUAAUAUAGUGAGGAUAAUUAUAAAUACAUGCAAUGAAAGAGAUGAGCUAUAUAGAGAGACUUAAUGACAGAAGUAGUAGUACUUACAGACAGUAGCAUGUGACCGUUGUUUUAUCGAGGGCCAAUUGAUUGAAAAACUGAUAGAACUCCUCAAAUGGAAUAGGCAACAGUUCAAUUCCAACGAGGUCAUGCUCCGGUUUAACUCUCGCAUACAAAGUACUCCUCUCCCCAGACUCUCUGCAGAUUUUCAAGUACCAAUCAUGCAAUCUUCGCAUCAUCGUUGUUAAAGAUUUUUCAUCUUUGAUGAGAGGCUUCCCGUACUCGUAUCUGUGUAUCUGCACCUCCAUGGGAUCAUAAUGCACAUCGUCGGGCAGGUAAUCGUCAACAUUGCAAUAACCGGGCACCAUCCUCGGAUCGACGAUGUCGCUAGGCACCUUGAGCGGGGGGCACGAUUGCUUCGCUUGUUCGCCGAGCUGGGCAAUUUGUUUCCCAGCUGCUCAUCGUCCUUUCAGCCUUUGAUCACUGACUGUACUUCCCGACCGCUCCGCUUCGGCCCAUGUCUUUGCAAUAAUGCGCUCAUAGUUGCCUUUCGGCGGAGACUUGGGUGGUUUUGCCAGGGCAGCCAGAGUGCGCUUCACUUUCACUGGAUCUACCUUCUCCUCCGGAGGUGGAUGUCUCUUUGCUUUCAACCCUUGAAACCAGUCAUCCACUUCGGUUCGUGCGAUCUCCGCGUUCUCCUCCGGGGUCCUCUCAUAUGGUAACUUCUGUGGACUCUUCAGAGAAGGACCGAAUCUGUAUGUCCUCCCGCCUCUGGGUGUACUGCUAGACGCCGGCCGAAUAGACGGGGCGGUUGUCUUCUUUACUUGCUUACGAGGCGGAGGAGAAGGACUACGACUUGCCGGAGCAGCUGCCGGAGCGGAGGCGGGUCUCUUCCGCCCUUGCUGACGAGGCGGAGAAGGAGGAGGCUGGCUGCUCGGGCGCGCCAGCGUAGGCAAAGAAGGAGGCGGAGUGCCGCCAUGCGCCGGAGAAGGAGUCGGCCGAGGGCCCUGAUCGUCACUCGCCGGAGGAGGAGGUGGUGGAGGAGGCAGAGUGCCCUGACUCGCCGGAGGAGGAGGAGGAGGCGGAGGCGUCCAGUUCGGAAGGUUGAUGAGCUCCUUCCGCCAUAGGCAUGGAAUCUUCAGAGAAGAACCCAGCCGAGUCUCCCCUUCUCCGGUAGGGUGGUCAAGCGGGAGGUCCUCAAAUCCCUCCGUUAUUUCAUCCACCAUCACCUUAGCAUGUCCUUCUGGAAUCGGCCGGCAGUGAAAAGUUGCGCCGGGUUCAUUAGGAAAAACAGAGCCAACAGCCGCCUUGACCUUCAUAUUAAUCCAUUGCGUCAUAAGGUGGCAAUUUUGAGCCUCCGUGAUAGCAUCCACGGGAUAGCUGGCAGGAGCCGUCAAGACAAGCUCUGGUUGAAGCAGCUCGGUGGAAGCCACGCUGCUUCUCCGCUGAGAUGGCGGGGUAGCUUCAGGGGAAGCUUCGGCAAGUCGUUCGCUGCGAUUUGCUUCUCGUUCCUCUAUCGCUUGUACCCUUGCAUGCAGCGCCUGCAGUCCGGUCUGCUGCAAUUUUUCCUCCUCUCGUGGCUUUUGUAACCGCCUGCGUCCGGAAACCCAGCCUUCCACGGAAUGGAGCCUGGCGUGCCUCGUGUCCGUCCAGGGUGCUCAGGAUUUCCGAGGGCCUUUGUGAGCUCGUCGUUCUCUCUGUCUGGAAGGAACGUCCCUUUCUGCGCUGCAGCGAUAUAGUACCGAAGCUUCUUCAAGGGUAUGUUAAGUUGCUCGUCUAUCCAAAUGCACUUCCCUGUUACAGGGUCUAAGGUUCCGCCAGCCCCGAAGAACCAAGUCCGGCAACGGUCUGGCCAGUUCAUUGUCUCUGGUUCGAUCCCUUUUUCAACCAGAUCAUUCUUAAGCUUGGCCCACUUAGGCCGGGCUACGAGGUAGCCACCUGACCCCGUGCGAUGGUGAAGCUUCUUCUUCGCAUCAUUUAUCUUGUUUGUCGCCGACAUCUUCUUACUCUUUUCCGAUGUCUUGUUGGCCACAAUUGCGGGCCAGUGAUCUCUGAUCUUCUCAUAUCUGCCCUUGAAUUCUGGUGUCUCUUUUUUAUCGACAAACCUAUUCAGCUCUUUCUUCCACCUCCUGAAUAGGUCUGCCAUCCUCUUAAGAGCAAAAGACUUGAUUAAUAGCUCUUUAACUGGCUUCUCCGGAUCAUCCUCUGGCGGUAGGGUGAAAUUUGACUUCAGCUCAGUCCAAAGAUCAUUUUUCUGCAUAUCAUUGACGUAAGACACCUCAAGGUCUUCUGUAGCCGGCUUUAACCAUUGCUGGAUGCUGAUCGGGAUCUUGUCCCUAACCAGAACCCCGCACUGAGCAACAAAUGCGUUCUUUGUUCGGAUGGGUUCAAUCGGUUGGCCGUCGGGCGCGAUUGCUAUGAUCUCAAACCUUUCAUCCGAGCUCAACUUUUUCUUCGGGCCUCGUCUCUUUACCUCAGUUGUGCUCGAUCCAGAGGGAUAGAAAAAAGAACAAAGACUUAAUUAAUAUGUGUACAUACCAAAACAAUGAAUGCAUCAAUUAGCUAGUCAGCACAGGCUUAACUAAUAUAUAUACCUGGCCGGACUCGGUUCGGUCACCGGAGCCAUCAUCAUGGUCUCCUUCUUGCACCGACAUUGGGUCACCGGAGCCAUCCUCAUGUUCUUCUUGCACCGGCAUUAGGUCAUCGGAGCCAGCUUCUUCACCCUCUCCUUCCAGACCAUCGGUGUCGUUGAGAAAGAACGAGACAGCAUCACUUCCUUCUGCGAUUAUGUCCCUCAACAACACUUCUUUUGCUUCGUCUCGGGCAGUGUCCAUAGUUUCUACAAAUAUUUACAACAUGGCAAUUAUUAUUCAAACAUGACAGAUGGAUAUAUUAGUGGCAAACGUAGAACUAGCUAGCUAAUCAUAGUAAGGAAUCAUAUAUAUUAAUUAGUGGCCUCGACGCUGCUUCUCUAGGGUUUGGGGUGGCCUCGACAACGCUUUAAGGGUUUGGGGUGGCCUCGAGAACGCUUCAAGGAGGGGGUAAUAUCGACCCCCCCCCACGUGUUGAAGCUAUCGGGAGGGGGUAUAUGACAACGACGACACUACAUCUAUGUCCCUCGACGACCCUCGUUCCCGAUAAAAAAAGAGGAAGAAGAAGAAAAAAAGAGGAGAAGAAAGAAUAAAGGAGUUGUUCUUCUCCUCUUUUUUUUCCUUCUUCCUCUUCUUUUUUUAUCCUCUUCUUCCUCUCAUGUUCGAGAGGAUCGUCGAGGGGUCGGGAGGUUGCCUAGUGUCAAAGGAUUCAACAAAACCAUGUCUUCAUCAUUAGGCGAAAGUAACAGGUGUAUGAUGGUACGAAGCUCUCCAAAGUUAUUUUGGAACGGAGUCCCAGAUAGGAUAAUUCUCUUUUUGGCACAAAGUUCAGCAAGAACCUUCCAAAUAUCGUUGUUUGGAAGGCCUUUGCUGAAAUUCAUACAAAAAGGAAAAUUAUCCUAUCCGGGACACCAUUCCAAAAUAACUUUGGAGGACUUUGUCAUGCCCUGGUUACUUUCGGCUAAUGAUGAAGCCAUGGAUUUCUUCAAUACUUUGACACUAGGAAACCUCUCUCGACCCCUCGAACCCUCGACGACCCUGGAACCCUCGACCCCUAGACGACCCUGGAACCCUCGACCCUCGAUCCCUAGACCAUAUAGAACCCUCGAACCCUCGACCAUUGACCCCUUAACGACCCUCGACCCUCUACCCUAGUUCCCGACCCUCGACCCCUCGGCGAUCCUCGACACCCUCGUUCCCGAUAAAAAUUAAGAAGAAGAAGAAGAAGAAGAAGAAGAAGAAGAAGAAGAAGAAGAAGAAGAAGAAGAAGAAGAAGAAGAAGAAGAAGAAGAGGAAAGAGGAGAAGAAGAAAGGAAUAGCUAGAGGAGAAGAUCGAAGAAAAAAAGAAGAAAAAAAGAGGAGAAGAAGAAAGGAAUAGUGGAGAAGAAGAGAAAAUAGAAUAUUCUAUUUUCUCUUCCUCUCCACUAUUCCUUUUUUGUUCNNNNNNNNNNNNNNNNNNNNNNNNNNNNNNNNNNNNNNNNNNNNNNNNNNNNNNNNNNNNNNNNNNNNNNNNNNNNNNNNNNNNNNNNNNNNNNNNNNNNNNNNNNNNNNNNNNNNNNNNNNNNNNNNNNNNNNNNNNNNNNNNNNNNNNNNNNNNNNNNNNNNNNNNNNNNNNNNNNNNNNNNNNNNNNNNNNNNNNNNNNNNNNNNNNNNNNNNNNNNNNNNNNNNNNNNNNNNNNNNNNNNNNNNNNNNNNNNNNNNNNNNNNNNNNNNNNNNNNNNNNNNNNNNNNNNNNNNNNNNNNNNNNNNNNNNNNNNNNNNNNNNNNNNNNNNNNNNNNNNNNNNNNNNNNNNNNNNNNNNNNNNNNNNNNNNNNNNNNNNNNNNNNNNNNNNNNNNNNNNNNNNNNNNNNNNNNNNNNNNNNNNNNNNNNNNNNNNNNNNNNNNNNNNNNNNNNNNNNNNNNNNNNNNNNNNNNNNNNNNNNNNNNNNNNNNNNNNNNNNNNNNNNNNNNNNNNNNNNNNNNNNNNNNNNNNNNNNNNNNNNNNNNNNNNNNNNNNNNNNNNNNNNNNNNNNNNNNNNNNNNNNNNNNNNNNNNNNNNNNNNNNNNNNNNNNNNNNNNNNNNNNNNNNNNNNNNNNNNNNNNNNNNNNNNNNNNNNNNNNNNNNNNNNNNNNNNNNNNNNNNNNNNNNNNNNNNNNNNNNNNNNNNNNNNNNNNNNNNNNNNNNNNNNNNNNNNNNNNNNNNNNNNNNNNNNNNNNNNNNNNNNNNNNNNNNNNNNNNNNNNNNNNNNNNNNNNNNNNNNNNNNNNNNNNNNNNNNNNNNNNNUUCUCCUCUUCCUUUUCUUCCUCUCCUCUUCUUCUCCUUUUUCCUCUUCUUAUUUUCCUUUUUCCUCUCCUAAAUAUAUAAAACUUUUCGAAAAAUGAAAGUAACCUAAACUGUACUAAAUCAGAGAACAUAUAUAGAUAAUCCUUUUCUAAAUAUUCAAAUUUAACUUUUGCAUAUAUGAACAUAUAUACACAGAGAACAUAAAACAUAUAUACAUUUUUAUAAAAAAGCAAAAUACAAAAUACAAACAUAUAUAUGAAAAAAAAAUCUGAAAAGAAGCAAUAUACACAAUACAUAUACUGACAUAUAUACAUAAUAUACACAAGCAUAUAUAUGUUGGGGAACGUAGUAAUUUCAAAAAUUUUCCUACGCACACGCAAGAUCAUGGUGAUGCAUAGCAACGAGGGGAGAGUCUGAUCUACGUACCCUUGUAGAUCGCAACGGAAGCGUUGACACAACGUAGAGGAAGUAGUCGUACGUCUUCUUCCCGAUCCGACCGAUCCAAGCACCGUUACUCCGGCACCUCCGAGUUCUUAGCACACGUUCAGCUCGAUGACGACCCCCGGGCUCUGAUCCAGCAAAGCUUCAGGGAGGAGUUCCGUCAGCACGAUGGCGUGGUGACGAUCUUGAUGUACUACCGACGCAGGGCUUCGCCUAAGCACUACAACGAUAUGAUCGAGGUGGUAUUUGGUGGCAGGGGGCACCGCACACGGCUAAGGAACGAUCUCAAUGAUCAACUUGUGUGUCUAGAGGUGCCCCCUGCCCCCGUAUAUAAAGGAUCCAAGGGGGAGGGCUGGCCGGCCAAGGAGGAGGGCGCAGGAGGAGUCCUACUCCUACCGGGAGUAGGACUCCCCCCCAAUCCUAUUCCUAAUAGGAUUCCUCGAGAGAGAGAGAGAGAGAGAGAGAGAGAGAGAGAGAGAGAGAGAGAGAGAGAGAGAAGGGGGCCGGCCACCUCUCCUAGUCCUAAUAGGACUAGGGGAGGGGGGAGGUGCGCAGCCCACCUUGGGCUGCCCCUUUCACCUUUCCACUAAGGCCCAAUAAGGCCCAUUUGGUUCCCGGGGGGGGUUCCGGUAACCUCCCGGUACUCCGGUAAAAUCCUGAUUUCACCCGGAACACUUCCGAUAUCCAAAUAUAUGCUUCCAAUAUAUCAAUCUUUAUGUCUCGACCAUUUAGAGACUCCUCGUCAUGUCCGUGAUCACAUCCGGGACUCCGAACAACCUUCGGUACAUCAAAAUGCAUAAACUCAUAAUAACUGUCAUCGUAACGUUAAGCAUGCGGACCCUACGGUUUGAGAACAAUGUAGACAUGACCGAGACACGUCUCCGGUCAAUAACCAAUAGCGAGACCUGGAUGCCCAUAUUGGCUCCUACAUAUUCCACGAAGAUCUUUAUCGGUCAGACCGCAUAACAACAUACGUUGUUCCCUUUGUCAUCGGUAUGUUACUUGCCCGAGAUUUGAUCGUCGGUAUCCAAUACCUAGUUCAAUCUCGUUACCGGCAAGUCUCUUUACUCGUUCUGUAAUACAUCAUUCCGCAACUAACUCAUUAGUUGCAAUGCUUGCAAGGCUUGUAUAAUGUGUAUUACCGAGAGGGCCCAGAGAUACCUCUCCGACAAUCAGAGUGACAAAUCCUAAUCUCGAAAUACGCCAACCCAACAUCUACCAUUGGAGACACCUGUAGUACUCCUUUAUAAUCACCCAGUUACGUUGUGACGUUUGGUAGCACCCAAAGUGUUCCUCCGGCAAACGGGAGUUGCAUAAUCUCAUAGUUAUAGGAACAUGUAUAAGUCAUGAAGAAAGCAAUAGCAACAUACUAAACGAUCGGGUGCUAAGCUAAUGAAAUGGGUCAUGUCAAUCAGAUCAUUCAACUAAUGAUGUGACCUCGUUAAUCAAAUAACAACACAUUGUUCAUGGUUAGGAAACUUAACCAUCUUUGAUUAACGAGCUAGUCAAGUAGAGGCAUACUAGUGACACUCUGUUUGUCUAUGUAUUCACACAUGUAUUAUGUUUCCGGUUAAUACAAUUCUAGCAUGAAUAAUAAACAUUUAUCAUGAUAUAAGGAAAUAAAUAAUAACUUUAUUAUUGCCUCUAGGGCAUAUUUCCUUCAGUCUCCCACUUGCACUAGAGUCAAUAAUCUAGGUUACAUAGUAAUGAUUCUAACACCCAUGGAGCCUUGAUGCUGAUCAUGUUUUGCAUGUGGAAGAGGCUUAGUCAACGGGUAUGCAACAUUCAGAUCCGUAUGUAUCUUGCAAAUCUCUAUGUCUCCCACCUGGACUAGAUCCCGGAUGGAAUUGAAGCGUCUCUUGAUGUGUUUGGUCCUUUUGUGAAAUCUGGAUUCCUUUGCCAAAGCAAUUGCACCAGUAUUGUCACAAAAGAUUUUCAUUGGACCCGAUGCACUAGGUAUGACACCUAGAUCGGAUAUGAACUCCUUCAUCCAGACUCCUUCGUUCGCUGCUUCCGAAGAAGCUAUGUACUUCGCUUCACAUGUAGAUCCCGCUACGACGCUUUGUUUAGAACUGCACCAACUGACAGCUCCACCGUUUAAAGUAAACACGUAUCCAGUUUGCGAUUUAGAAUCGUCCGGAUCAGUGUCAAAGCUUGCAUCAACGUAACCUCUUACGGUGAGCUCUUUGUCACCUCCAUAUACGAGAAACAUAUCCUUAGUCCUUUUCAGGUAUUUCAGGAUGUUCUUGACCGCUGUCCAGUGAUCCACUCCUGGAUUACUUUGGUACCUCCCUGCUAAACUUAUAGCAAGGCACACAUCAGGUCUGGUACACAGCAUUGCAUACAUGAUAGAGCCUAUGGCUGAAGCAUAGGGAACAUCUUUCAUUUUCUCUCUAUCUUCUGCGGUGGUCGGGCAUUGAGUCUGACUCAACUUCACACCUUGUUACACAGGCAAGAACCCUUUCUUUGCUUGAUCCAUUUUGAACCUCUUCAAAAUCUUGUCAAGGUAUGUGCUUUGUGAAAGUCCAAUUAAGCGUCUUGAUCAAUCUCUAUAGAUCUUAAUGCCCAAUAUGUAAGCAGCUUCACCGAGGUCUUUCAUUGAAAAACUCUUAUUCAAGUAUCCCUUUAUGCUAUCCAGAAAUUCUAUAUCAUUUCCAAUCAGUAAUAUGUCAUCCACAUAUAAUAUCAGAAAUGCUACAGAGCUCCCACUCACUUUCUUGUAAAUACAGGCUUCUCCAAAAGUCUGUAUAAAGCCAAAUGCUUUGAUCACACCAUCAAAGCGUUUAUUCCAACUCCGAGAUGCUUGCACCAGUCCAUAAAUGGAUCGGUGGAGUUUGCAUACUUUGUUAGCUCCCUUUGGAUCGACAAAACCUUCCGGUUGCAUCAUAUACAACUCUUCUUCCAGAAAUCCAUUCAGGAAUGCAGUUUUGACAUCCAUCUGCCAAAUUUCAUAAUCAUAAAAUGCGGCAAUUGCUAACAUGAUUCUGACAGACUUAAGCAUCGCUACGGGUGAGAAGGUCUCAUCGUAGUCAACCCCUUGAACUUGUCGAAAACCUUUUGCAACAAGUCGAGCUUUAUAGACAGUAACAUUACCGUCAGCGUCAGUCUUUUUCUUGAAGAUCCAUUUAUUCUCAAUUGCUUGCCGAUCAUCGGGCAAGUCAACCAAAGUCCAUACUUUGUUCUCAUACAUGGAUCCCAUCUCAGAUUUCAUGGCCUCGAGCCACUUUGCGGAAUCUGGGCUCACCAUCGCUUCUUCAUAGUUCGUAGGUUCAUCAUGAUCUAGUAGCAUGACUUCCAGAAUUGGAUUACCGUACCACUCUGGCGCGGAUCUUGCUCUGGUUGAUCUACGAGGUUCAGUAGUAUCUUGUUCUGAAGUUUCAUGAUCAUUAUCAUUAACUUCCUCACUUAUUGGUGUAGGUGUCGCAGAAACAGUUUUCUGUGAUGUACUACUUUCUAAUAAGGGAGCGGGUACAGUUACCCCGUCAAGUUCUACUUUCCUCCCACUCACUUCUUUCGAGAGAAACUCCUUCUCAAGAAAGUUUCCGAAUUUAGCAACAAAAGUCUUUCCUUCGGAUCUGUGAUAGAAGGUGUAUCCAAUAGUUUCCUUUGGAUAUCCUAUGAAGACACAUUUCUCCGAUUUGGGUUCGAGCUUAUCAGGUUGAAGCUUUUUCACAUAAGCAUCGCAACCCCAAACUUUAAGAAACGACAACUUUGGUUUCUUGCCAAACCACAAUUCAUAAGGCGUCGUCUCAACGGAUUUUGAUAGUGCCCUAUUUAAUGUGAAUGCGGCCGUCUUUAGAGCGUAUCCCCAAAACGAUAGCGGUAAAUCAGUAAGAGACAUCAUAGAUCGUACCAUAUCUAGUAAAGUACGAUUACGACGUUCGGACACACCAUUACGCUGUGGUGUUCCGGGUGGCGUGAGUUGCGAAACUAUUCCACAAUUUUUCAAAUGUAUACCAAACUCGUAACUCAAUUAUUCUCCUCCAUGAUCAGAUCGUAAAAACUUUAUUUUCUUGUUACGAUGAUUUUCAACUUCACACUGAAAUUCCUUGAACUUUUCAAAUGUUUCAGACUUGUGUUUCAUUAAGUAGAUAUACCCAUAUCUGCUUAAAUCAUCUGUGAAGGUGAGAAAAUAACGAUAUCCGCCACGAGCCUCAAUAUUCAUCGGACCACAUACAUCGGUAUGUAUGAUUUCCAAUAAAUCUGUUGCUCUCUCCAUAGUACCGGAGAACGGUGUUUUAGUCAUCUUGCCUAUGAGGCACGGUUCGCAAGUACCAAGUGAUUCAUAAUCAAGUGGCUCCAAAAGUCCAUCAGUAUGGAGUUUCUUCAUGCGCUUUACACCGAUAUGACCUAAACGGCAGUGCCACAAAUAAGUUGCACUAUCAUUAUCAACUCUGCAUCUUUUGGCUUCUACAUUAUGAAUAUGUGUAUCACUACUAUUGAGAUUUAACAAGAAUAGACCACUCUUCAAGGGUGCAUGACCAUAAAAGAUAUUACUCAUAUAAAUAGAACAACCAUUAUUCUCUGAUUUAAAUGAAUAACCAUCUCGCAUUAAACAAGAUCCAGAUAUAAUGUUCAUGCUCAAUGCUGGGACCAAAUAACAAUUAUUUAUGUCUAAAAUUAAUCCCGAAGGUAGAUGUAGAGGUAGCAUGCCGACCGCGAUCACAUCGACUUUGGAACCGUUUCCCACGCGCAUCGUCACCUCGUCCUUAGCUAAUCUUUGCUUAAUCCGUAGUCCCUGUUUCGAGUUGCAAAUAUUAGCAAUAGAACCAGUAUCAAAUACCCAGGUGCUACUGCGAGCAUUAGUAAGGUACACAUCAAUAACAUGUAUAUCACAUAUACCUUUGUUCACCUUGCCAUCCUUCUUAUCCGCCAAAUACUUGGGGCAGUUCCGCUUCCAGUGACCAGUCUGCUUGCAGUAGAAGCACUCAGUUUCAGGCUUCGGUCUAGACUUGGGUUUCUUCUCCUGAGCAGCAACUUGCUUGCCGUUCUUAGUUCCCCUUCUUCUUCCCUUUGCCCUUUUUCUUGAAACUAGUGGUCUUGUUAACCAUCAACACUUGAUGCUCCUUCUUGAUUUCUACCUCCGCAGCUUUCAGCAUUGCGAAGAGCUCGGGAAUAGUCUUGUUCAUCCCUUGCAUAUUAUAGUUCAUCACGAAGCUCUUGUAGCUUGGUGGCAGUGAUUGGAGAAUUCUGUCAAUGACGCAAUCAUCUGGAAGAUUAACUCCCAUCUGAAUCAAGUGAUUGUUAUACCCAGACAUUUUGAGUAUAUGCUCACUGACAGAACUGUUCUCCUCCAUCUUGCAGUUAUAGAACUUAUUGGAGACUUCAUAUCUCUCAAUCCGGGCAUUUGCUUGAAAUAUUAACUUCAACUCCUGGAACAUCUCAUAUGCUCCAUGACGUUCAAAACGUCGUUGAAGUCCCGAUUCUAAGCCGUAAAGCAUGGCACACUGAACUAUCGAGUAGUCAUCAGCUUUGCUCUGCCAGACGUUCAUAACAUCUGGUGUUGCUCCAGCAGCAGGCCUGGCACCCAGCGGUGCUUCCAGGACGUAAUUCUUCUGUGCAGCAAUGAGGAUAAUCCUCAAGUUACGGACCCAGUCCGUGUAAUUGCUACCAUCAUCUUUCAACUUUGCUUUCUCAAGGAACGCAUUAAAAUUCAACGGAACAACAGCACGGGCCAUCUAUCUACAAUCAACAUAAACAAGCAAGAUACUAUCAGGUACUAAGUUCAUGAUAAAUUUAAGUUCAAUUAAUCAUAUUACUUAAGAACUCCCACUUAGAUAGACAUCCCUCUAAUCCUCUAAGUGAUCACGUGAUCCAAAUCAACUAAACCAUGUCCGAUCAUCACGUGAGAUGGAGUAGUUUCAUCGGUGAACAUCAUUAUGUUGAUCAUAUCUACUAUAUGAUUCACGCUCGACCUUUCGGUCUCCGUGUUCCGAGGCCAUAUCUGUAUAUGCUUGGCUCGUCAAGUAUAACCUGAGUAUUCCGCGUGUGCAACUGUUUUGCACCCGUUGUAUUUGAACGUAGAGCCUAUCACACCCGAUCAUCACGUGGUGUCUCAGCACGAAGAACUUUCGCAACGGUGCAUACUCAGGGAGAACACUUCUUGAUAAUUUAGUGAGAGAUCAUCUUAUAAUGCUACCGUCAAUCAAAGCAAGAUAAGAUGCAUAAAAGAUAAACAUCACGUGCAAUCAAUAUAAGUGAUAUGAUAUGGCCAUCAUCAUCUUGUGCUUGUGAUCUCCAUCUCCGAAGCACCGUCAUGAUCACCAUCGUCACCGGCGUGACACCUUGAUCUCCAUCGUAGCAUCGUUGUCGUCUCGCCAAUCUUAUGCUUCCACGACUAUCACUACCGCUUAGCAAUAAAGUAAAGCAUUACAUCGCGAUUGCAUUGCAUACAAUAAAGAGACAACCAUAUGGCUCCUGCCAGUUGCCGAUAACUUGGUUACAAAACAUGAUCAUCUCAUACAAUAAAAAUCAGCAUCAUGCCUUGACCAUAUCACAUCACAACAUGCCCUGCAAAAACAAGUUAGACGUCCUCUACUUUGUUGUUGCAAGUUUUACGUGGCUGCUACGGGCUUAAGCAAGAACUCAUCUCACCUACGCAUCAAAACCACAAUGAUAGUUUGUCAAAUAGACUCCGUUUUAACCUUCUCAAGGACCGGGCGUAGCCAUACUCGGUUCAACUAAAGUUGGAGAGACAGUCGCCCGCAAGCCAUCUAUGUGCAAAGCACGUCGAGGGAACCGGUCUCGCGUAAGCGUACGCGUAAGGUUGGUCCGGGUCGUCUCGUCCAACAAUACCGCCGAACCAAAAUACGACAUGCUGGUAGGCAGUAUGACUUGUAUCGCCCACAACUCACUUGUGUUCUACUCGUGCAAAUAACAUCAAACCAUAAAACCUAGGCUCUGAUACCACUAUUGGGGAACGUAGUAAUUUCAAAAAUUUUCCUACGCACACGCAAGAUCAUGGUGAUGCAUAGCAACGAGGGGAGAGUCUGAUCUACGUACCCUUGUAGAUCGCAACGGAAGUGUUGACACAACGUAGAGAAAGUAGUCGUACAUCUUCUUCUCGAUCCGACCGAUCCAAGCACCGUUACUCCGGCACCUCCGAGUUCUUAGCACACGUUCAGCUCGAUGACGACCCCCGGGCUCUGAUCCAGCAAAGCUUCGGGGAGGAGUUCCGUCAGCACGACGGCGUGGUGACGAUCUUGAUGUACUACCGACGCAAGGCUUCGCCUAAGCACUACAACGAUAUGAUCGAGGUGGUAUUUGGUGGCAGGGGGCACCGCACACGGCUAAGGAACGAUCUCAAUGAUCAACUUGUGUGUCUAGAGGUGCCCCCUGCCCCCGUAUAUAAAGGAUCCAAGGGGGAGGGCUGGCCGGCCAAGGAGGAGGGCGCAGGAGGAGUCCUACUCCUACCGGGAGUAGGACUCCCCCCCAAUCCUAUUCCUAAUAGGAUUCCUCGAGAGAGAGAGAGAGAGAGAGAGAGAGAGAGAAGGGGGCCGGCCACCUCUCCUAGUCCUAAUAGGACUAGGGGAGGGGGGAGGUGCGCUGCCCACCUUGGGCUGCCCCUUUCACCUUUCCACUAAGGCCCAAUAAGGCCCAUUUGGUUCCCGGGGGGGUUCCGGUAACCUCCCGGUACUCCGGUAAAAUCCUGAUUUCACCCGGAACACUUCCGAUAUCCAAAUAUAGGCUUCCAAUAUAUCAAUCUUUAUGUCUCGACCAUUUCGAGACUCCUCGUCAUGUCCGUGAUCACAUCCGGGACUCCGAACAACCUUCGGUACAUCAAAAUGCAUAAACUCAUAAUAACUGUCAUCGUAACGUUAAGCGUGCGGACCCUACGGUUCGAGAACAAUGUAGACAUGACCGAGACACGUCUCCGGUCAAUAACCAAUAGCGGGACCUGGAUGCCCAUAUUGGCUCCUACAUAUUCCACGAAGAUCUUUAUCGGUCAGACCGCAUAACAACAUACGUUGUUCCCUUUGUCAUCGGUAUGUUACUUGCCCGAGAUUUGAUCGUCGGUAUCCAAUACCUAGUUCAAUCUCGUUACCGGCAAGUCUCUUUACUCGUUCUGUAAUACAUCAUUCCGCAACUAACUCAUUAGUUGCAAUGCUUGCAAGGCUUGUAUAAUGUGUAUUACCGAGAGGGCCCAGAGAUACCUCUCCGACAAUCGGAGUGACAAAUCCUAAUCUCGAAAUACGCCAACCCAACAUCUACCAUUGGAGACACCUGUAGUACUCCUUUAUAAUCACCCAGUUACGUUGUGACGUUUGGUAGCACCCAAAGUGUUCCUCCGGCAAACGGGAGUUGCAUAAUCUCAUAGUUAUAGGAACAUGUAUAAGUCAUGAAGAAAGCAAUAGCAACAUACUAAACGAUCGGGUGCUAAGCUAAUGAAAUGGGUCAUGUCAAUCAGAUCAUUCAACUAAUGAUGUGACCUCGUUAAUCAAAUAACAACACAUUGUUCAUGGUUAGGAAACUUAACCAUCUUUGAUUAACGAGCUAGUCAAGUAGAGGCAUACUAGUGACACUCUGUUUGUCUAUGUAUUCACACAUGUAUUAUGUUUCCGGUUAAUACAAUUCUAGCAUGAAUAAUAAACAUUUAUCAUCAUAUAAGGAAAUAAAUAAUAACUUUAUUAUUGCCUCUAGGGCAUAUUUCCUUCAGUCUCCCACUUGCACUAGAGUCAAUAAUCUAGGUUACAUAGUAAUGAUUCUAACACCCAUGGAGCCUUGGUGCUGAUCAUGUUUUGCACGUGGAAGAGGCUUAGUCAACGGGUCUGCAACAUUCAGAUCCGUAUGUAUCUUGCAAAUCUCUAUGUCUCCCACCUGGACUAGAUCCCGGAUGGAUUUGAAGCGUCUCUUGAUGUGUUUGGUCCUUUUGUGAAAUCUGGAUUCCUUUGCCAAAGCAAUUGCACCAGUAUUGUCACAAAAGAUUUUCAUUGGACCCGAUGCACUAGGUAUGACACCUAGAUCGGAUAUGAACUCCUUCAUCCAGACUCCUUCAUUCGCUGCUUCCGAAGCAGCUAUGUACUCCGCUUCACAUGUAGAUCCCGCUACGACGCUUUGUUUAGAACUGCACCAACUGACAGCUCCACCGUUUAAAGUAAACACGUAUCCGGUUUGCGAUUUAGAAUCGUCCGGAUCAGUGUCAAAGCUUGCAUCAACGUAACCUCUUACGGUGAGCUCUUUGUCACCUCCAUAUACGAGAAACAUAUCCUUAGUCCUUUUCACAUGGGUGUUAGAAUCAUUACUAUGUAACCUAGAUUAUUGACUCUAGUGCAAGUGGGAGACUGAAGGAAAUAUGCCCUAGAGGCAAUAAUAAAGUUAUUAUUUAUUUCCUUAUAUCAUGAUAAAUGUUUAUUAUUCAUGCUAGAAUUGUAUUAACCGGAAACAUAAUACAUGUGUGAAUACAUAGACAAACAGAGUGUCACUAGUAUGCCUCUACUUGACUAGCUCGUUAAUCAAAGAUGGUUAAGUUUCCUAACCAUGAACAAUGUGUUGUUAUUUGAUUAACGAGGUCACAUCAUUAGUUGAAUGAUCUGAUUGACAUGACCCAUUUCAUUAGCUUAGCACCCGAUCGUUUAGUAUGUUGCUAUUGCUUUCUUCAUGACUUAUACAUGUCCCUAUAACUAUGAGAUUAUGCAACUCCCAUUUGCCGGAGGAACACUUUGGGUGCUACCAAACGUCACAACGUAACUGGGUGAUUAUAAAGGAGUACUACAGGUGUCUCCAAUGGUAGAUGUUGGGUUGGCGUAUUUCGAGAUUAGGAUUUGUCACUCCGAUUGUCGGAGAGGUAUCUCUGGGCCCUCUCGGUAAUACACAUUAUACAAGCCUUGCAAGCAUUGCAACUAAUGAGUUAGUUGCGGAAUGAUGUAUUACAGAACGAGUAAAGAGACUUGCCGGUAACGAGAUUGAACUAGGUAUUGGAUACCGACGAUCAAAUCUCGGGCAAGUAACAUACCGAUGACAAAGGGAACAACGUAUGUUGUUAUGCGGUCUGACCGAUAAAGAUCUUCGUGGAAUAUGUAGGAGCCAAUAUGGGCAUCCAGGUCCCGCUAUUGGUUAUUGACCGGAGACAUGUCUCGGUCAUGUCUACAUUGUUCUCGAACCGUAGGGUCCGCACGCUUAACGUUACGAUGACAGUUAUUAUGAGUUUAUGCAUUUUGAUGUACCAAAGGUUGUUCGGAGUCCCGGAUGUGAUCACGGACAUGACGAGGAGUCUCGAAAUGGUCGAGACAUAAAGAUUGAUAUAUUGGAAGCCUAUAUUUGGAUAUCGGAAGUGUUCCGGGUGAAAUCAGGAUUUUACCGGAGUACCGGAAGGUUACCGGAACCCCCCGGGAACCAAAUGAGCCUUAUUGGGCCUUAGUGGAAAGGUGAAAGGGGCAGCCCAAGGUGGGCUGCGCACCUCCCCCCUCUCCUAGUCCUAUUAGGACUAGAGAGGUGGCCGGCCCCCUUCUCUCUCUCUCUCUCUCUCUCUCUCUCUCUCUCUCUCUCUCGGAAUCCUAUUAGGAAUAGGAUUGGGGGGGGGGAGUCCUACUCCCGGUAGGAGUAGGACUCCUCCUGCGCCCUCCUCCUUGGCCGGCCAGCCCUCCCCCUUGGAUCCUUUAUAUACAGGGGCAGGGGGCACCUCUAGACACACAAGUUGAUCAUUGAGAUCGUUCCUUAGCCGUGUGCGGUGCCCCCUGCCACCAAAUACCACCUCGAUCAUAUCGUUGUAGUGCUUAGGCGAAGCCCUGCGUCGGUAGUACAUCAAGAUCGUCACCACGCCGUCGUGCUGACGGAACUCCUCCCCGAAGCUUUGCUGGAUCGGAGCCCGGGGGUCGUCAUCGAGCUGAACGUGUGCUAAGAACUCGGAGGUGCCGGAGUAACGGUGCUUGGAUCGGUCGGAUCGGGAAGAAGACGUACGACUACUUCCUCUACGUUGUGUCAACGCUUUCGUUGCGAUCUACAAGGGUACGUAGAUCAGACUCUCCCCUCGUUGCUAUGCAUCACCAUGAUCUUGCGUGUGCGUAUAAUUUUUUUUGAAAUUACUACGUUCCCCAACAAGUUAGCGCCCAGCGUUGAGCCACGGAGCGCUUCAAUGCUUUUUUAUUUGAUGAGAUUUAUUUUUUUACCCACAAGCGCCUAUAUAAGAGUCUAGUAUUGGAGAUGCCCUUACUGAAGUUAGUGGUUCCGUCCUAUUUUCUUGGAACGCUUCUAGUAGUAAAACUCUAUAAUGGUUGACGAAAUAUGAAUCAGAGACUUAAUCCUGAUAUACCUCAAAACGAUACAUUCUUGUUACCACGAGAUGUAUUGUCCGCUACGGAUCAUUUGAUUGGAAUGAAAUUUGAAAUGGGUAUACUUGAGUAUGACGAUAUGAAUCACUUGAAAAAUAAAGCGUAUUCAUUCGGUUGCAGAUAUGUUACAAGAUCAAAUCGGAUUGGCUCUUGGUCAUUUACAACAUGCAGUUCAAAAAAACUAUUCGUAAAGUAUUCAUAGUUAAUCGAAACAUACUAGAGGUUUCCCUACUAGGCCUCAUUCGGUUUUGAAGAUUUCCAUAGGAAACUAGCAAGAUGUCCAUGCGUUGCACGUAACGUCAAGAUGCAUUUUUAUGAGUAGUUUAUUUUGUGAGAGAAAAUGAUGAACGAUGAAAGACCUUAUUUGUAAAUGUAGAGAGGGGUGUGGGUAUCUUUUUGUAAAAUUGCCAUAGUUUCCUUUCUAUCCAUCAGAUAUAAAUCGGACGCCCUAUAUUGCAGGAUGGCAGGCACAUCAUCAACACCAACUCUGCUUUUUAUAAGAGUAGAGAAAUGUAGGAACAAAGAUCCUACAAGAAAAAUUCCUAUAGAUGCAUUCGGUUUGCAGGAAACACAUACGGGAAUUUCAUAGGAAUACUUUUCAUUUUCUGUGUUUUUGGAGAAAUCUAUACAUCCACUCAAAACUCAUUUUGAGCGUAGAAACGAGGUAAGACAAUUUCUUAGAAUGGCAACUUGCCGUCCUAUCAAAUUCCUGUACUAUUUUUAAUUUCUACGUUUUGAUUUCCUCCAAACCAAAUGAGGCCUUAGUGGCCUGUCCGGUAAAUAUGGAAGGGUCGAGAAGGAAUCAUUCAGAGAAGAGACACCGGGUACAGCCAGCGCGCUGGAGUCUAUGAAUGAAGAAGCCGACGACGGCCAGCGUUGAUUAUCGUAAAAGACACCAAACCGCUCCCUGAAACUUGCUACUGUAUUUGUGAUUGUUGUAGAAGACAUAACUGCUUCUGAGUGCACCGCGCAAUGGCUUACAUGUGCUAGCUAGCUUCUCAUUCUGUUUCUUCUGGUGUUGCUAGAAAACAUGUGUCCCUCUUUAAUCCCACUGGAUUUUACAGGUACAUUGCAAAGCAAAAUCUUGCUAACACAAAGCACAGCUCGCGCUCAAAGUUGAACUCGCCAAACAGAAGCACAGAUCCAAUGUUGAAUUCCGGAAAUUACAACCCGAGUAAACAUGUGUAGAAAUUUUGUUCCCAAAUACAGGAUGGCGUCGUCUUUCUGUAGAUCCAUUUGCCAAACAUGUUGAUGGCCGCUAGACCACAAAAUGCUAGAUGCCUAUCAUGGCCAUUGGUGGGCGGUGGCACGCCAGAGCAGCACACCGUGCCUUACAGGUGAAUAGGUGAUUCAAUUUUUUCUACGCUUUGUCAUCCUGAUGUCUCCUAUUCUGAAGUUCUCUACAUUUCUAAAUGUGCAUACAUAUGCAUGUAUGUCGCUACUUGCUAGCUAGCCUGCACUAUCUUCGUCUAUUUCUCCAGCUUGUUUCUGCUAACAAGGCACAAGUUUUUAUAGGAGAGAAGAGUAGUGAAAUACUUGAAACAAAGAGCGAGCUUUCUCCAUCAAUCGCAAAGAUCCAAAAAUUGAUUGGCAUGUCCUAUACAUUGUGGUUGGUCGAGAACCUUUAUCUACAUUGAAACCGUUCUAGGACAUAUUAUUUUCUAGAAGAUAUAAAUAAAUGAUUGUCCACAUAGAGGCCUUCUCAUUCAUAUGCGAUGCUUUUGCGCAGUUCUUUAGCGGUCAUUUUAAAAUUUGGUGAGCCAGCUCAACUCAUUAGUUUCCAUGUCCAUACCGUAAUAAAUUAAGUAACUAGCACUAUUCCCAAAGAAGAACUAAGGGCAUGGCCAAUGCAUAGCCUCAAACUGAUGCCAUGCGGACCAUGUAGGCUCCGAUGUUAGAAAAAUUGGGUUCGAAUGGUACUAUGGGAUUUUCAGCACGAGGCAGGUGCUUGGGAGGAAAAGAUAGUGGUCCUAAGAUAAAAGGUAGAAAAAGUAGAGUACAUGCAUGUGUACUCUAUUUUUUUUUCAUUUGCUUGAUGAGACCCACCGGCUGAUGCUUUCAUUGUAGAGGGAAAACAAAUGAAGGUGACUGGACCUACUUUUUCUCAUGGGGCAACUAUAUGGUGAUGCUUCCAUAGUUCAUGCGCUAACUAGCACUCGGAUGGAAAGCAAUGUAUGGUACAUGUAUAUGUCAUCAUGGGUAGAUAGGUGAUCAAAUAAAGGAUCAUAUGUUUGUCUCCUUACUAAAAGAAGACUACGAAUUAAUUCAAACAUUAGUUGGCUAUGUUCUAAUUUUUGGGACAUUAGACAAUAAAAUAUAGCUAAUCAUUGUAGGCAUAAAAUUCCCAUCUACUUGUCUUAUUAAGAAUUUUGGCAUAUUGGACCACCUGCCCUUCUGUAUUGACAAAAAGGACCACCCCUGAACGUAAUUGACGAAACUACCUAGCGUUAGGCCCAACAGCUAACAUACUAUGGCGACACCCUAUGACAUGGAGCCUGCGCCAUGUACCGUGGCGGCAAUACUAUUGCGGUUGCUCGGGAUUGGACAACGCGUUGUAGUCUUGUCAGUUGUUGGAAGGAUUGGCAUCACCUUUUGUGUCGAAAGUGCUCCAGCCAACGACAUGGAUUGGUCCCCAUGCGACGCUGAUUCCCAUGCACGUCGAAUCUCUCUCCAUCAUUCCCGCUCAAUUUUUCUGCCAUCGCACUCAUAAUCUGAGCCUAAUAAGCCAUCGAACCUCUCUUUAUCCUUCAUCGAGAAACCUUCCUUAGCCAUUUCUCUGUUCAUGUUUGGUGACCCUUCAUGUCGUUUUACUCGAACGAUGUCUCAUUAGCUUUUCUCAGGUGCGGCUAGAAUAUGGAGUGUUAGUAGGGGAGGUGUGUGAUUUGAAGAACUAGAUAACGCCUGGACGUUUCUGCGGAAUUUCAAUGAACUUGUUAAAAAUAAAACUACAAUAUAUGAGAGUAUUACCGCAGCCCAUUCAGCCUAGGAGUAAAUGAAAAGCUGAUGCAUGCAUUCAUAUUCAAUUAUUUAUUAUUUAAAAACAAAAAUAAAAUCAAUCAUGUGAAGCAUUUUCAUGUGCUUGAUGAUGUGGAGGGCUUGCAUGUGGUGGAAAUGGAUACAAAUGGAAAGUUGAAUGAUUGCAUGGCACUUUAUGAUGUGGAGGGUGUGUAUGUGGUGGAAAGUAGAAAGUUAAAGGUUUAUUGGUUGCGUGCACUUGAUGAUGUAGAUGACUUCCAUGUGCAUUUAAAUGGAAGAUGGUAUAUGUGGGACUUAGUAGUGUUUUACCUACAUAGACACGCUGCUAGCUUGAUCUAUUAUAUUAACAUUGAAGGAGGUGAAAAAUGAGCUGUUAAAAAAAGUAGUUAUUGAUUUUUGCCAUGGUCUCAUUACAUCACCGGUUUUCUGUGACCAUACACGUAUUUUAAAUUGUUAGAGAUCAUUUCUAGUUACAUGCCCAAUAUUAGGUAUUUUUUUUGGUUUUUUGUCAUAUUUUUAGAGAUUUUAAUCUUAAUGCGUACUCCCUCUGUAAACUAAUAUAAGAGUGUUUAGAUAACUUAAUUAGUGAUCUAAAUGUUCUUAUAUUAGUAUACAGAGGGAGUAGUUAACAGCGUGUAAUCUGGAUCACAUGCUGUUAGAUCUAGAUUAGCUUAAAAGGGUUAAAGCGGACAAGGGACGCGAGAGUUUUAUACUGGUUCGGCCCCUUACGAUGAAGGUAAAAGCCUAGUCGAGUUGUGAUGGAAUUGCUAGGUUUCGAUGACCAGGGAGCGAAUCCGCUUUGCCGGGCUCUCGAGUUGUUGUGUUCCUAAGCCGCCGUCGGGUCGUCCCUUUAUAUACAUAGGUCGAUGCCCGCCGGUUUACAGAGUCCCAAGGCUGGAUCAUCAACGUGUCCGGCUCGGUAUCUAUUCCUUCUACCUUACAAUACAAGUUAUAUAUUAAUGUCGGUUUAUGCCUACAUGCCUUAACCCGCCUUUGGGCCUUGGGCCUUCAUAAAGCGUCACCAUCUUUGUCUUCAUGGGCUCUGGAUAAAAUAACCAUCAUAGGGAUAAUCCGACCUCUUCUAACCGGUUUACGUCCAAUAGUAAUAUUUCCAACACCGUGCCUUACCCGAGUCUUUGGUUUCCGCUACGCUUUGACAUCCUGAUGUCUCCUAUUCUGAAGUUCACUACAUUUCCGAAUGCGCAUGCAUAUGCAUGCGCGUUGCUACUUGCUAGCUAGCCUGCACUACCUUCGUCCAUUUCUCUAGCUUGUUUUCUGCUAACAAGUCACAAGUUUUUAUAGGAGACAAGACUAGUGAAACACUUGAAAGAAAGAGCGAGCUUUCUCCAUCAUGCAGAGAUCCAAAAUUUGAUUGGCAUGUCCUGUACAUUGUGGUUGGUCAAGAACCUUUAUCUACGUUGAAACCCAGGGCCGGUCCUGAGAUUUUGGGGGCCCAGGGCGAAAAUAACAUUUGAGACCCCUUAUUAUAAUCAUCAUAUUAAUAAUAAUUAAUUUAAUUCUACACGAAAUGUUACCAAUAAAUACUUAACUGCAUAGAAAUUCAUAUUUAUAUAAUAACUUAUACACAUUAUUAUCUUAAAAUUUUCUUGUAACAUUCUUUGAUGCAAAGUCGCUUAUGAUUGUGUCGAUGUCAUUCUCAUCCUUCUUCCCCAUGCAUAAUGUUGCCUAACCAUUUAAGCUCUAUUGGGUCAUUGUUUAUGCCAAAUGUUCCUUCAAUAAUUUCAAGUUUGAAAAGCUUCUUUUAGCUGUUGCAAAAAUCACAUGCACAGUAAAUCCGAAUAAAUAUUUACACGCCAUGAGUUUUUUAAACCCUUUCUUCAAUGAAGUGAUUCAUAUCAUCCAAAACAAACAAAUAUUUAACAUGAAUUUUUUUUCUCGCCUUCUAGAAUUUCUUCUUGGUCAACUACUUUUAUCAAACUGUUUCUUCCCUCGUAGCACGAAAUUUUGCUUGAAAUUGUUGGGAAUGGUAAUAUGAUAUACCUCAGAUUGAUUGGAUCAGGGCAAUGAUGUGAUGUGGAUGUCUGGUGGCAGGUGCUCGGCGAUGUACGCGUGCGCCAACUCCAUCGGUGUCAAUUUUUAGGAGCCAGGCGAUGUUCAUGCUGCGUCUUCGCUGCGUACAGCGCCUUGAGACCAGCCAGUCCUCUGCGACUUGGGAUCUGAAGUUUGGAACAAGGGAACAGAGAAUAGAAAAUUUGGGAUGAAUACAUGGCGCACGAUCGUCUUUUUUUAGAGAAUGUUUCACGAUUGUAAGGAAUAAGGAAAGAGAACGGUACUGUGCCAAAAAAAGAGGAAAGAGGACGGGGACGACGUGAUUUACGUGCGUACGCUGAUCUUUUUUCCCUCGCGGUCUGAUUUACCUGAUUUACGUGCGUACACUAUUAUUACAUGUCAUCCCUUGCUUUUUUAGCAUCCCCUGCCAUCCUUGCCUUCUUUAGGGGUAAAAAUCAAGUUUAUUCAUGAAAGUUCACAUGGCGUGGGAUACAUCUGAGGUCAUGGGGUACACCAGACCAAACGUGGCGUUCUGGGCCUCUCGAGAAUAAAAACUUGGCUAGACAAUGUGCUUCUACAUUAACAGCACGACUCUCAAAAACAAAAGUGUAAAGAAAAGAAGAUGAUCUAAGGUUUAUCUCACUAAUAAUUGCUCCGUAACUUCCCCUGGCUCUUCUGUCGAUGUCCGAGACCACCUGUUGGCAGUCGGAGGCCACCACAAAGUUAUGGAUUCCCAGAUCUUCUGCUAGAGCCAAAACUUCUCGACACGCCAUUGCUUCUAGAGUAGGUGGGUCUGUUACUCCUUGCCCUACUAGUGCUGAGCUCCCCAUAUAAUUCCCUUGUUCAUCUCUGCAUAUAGCCGCAGCCGAACCUCCUCUAGUGCCCAGUACUCCACCAUCCACAUGUUUCUUGAAAAAACCUGGUGGUGGCUUUCGUGGAUGUGUGUAUACCUGAUUUGUUGUCACGCCUCUCACAGUAGCCUGCUGCAUCUUCUCCUUUACAAUGCCAAGCUCAGCCAUGAACCUUGUGAUAAAUCCGUAGGUCGCAUGAGGGGUAUGAAAGAUAGCUUCAUGGAUAGCCUUGCGCCUUGCAUGCCAUAUAGACCAUAGUGUAACCGAUACCAGCGCAAACUCAUCACGUGAUAACGGUUCCGUCAAUGUAAACAACCAUUGCUUUGCCGUUGGCUUCGAUGUAGCUAUUAUUUUAUGCGUGAUCUCUUCAUCGACGAGAGCCCACACACUCCUCGAAGAUGUGCACUCAAUCAGUGAAUGGCGCCAAGAAUCCCAAACUCCACAUAAUCCGCACUGCAGCGAAUCAGACAUAUGGCAAUGGGCACGGACGUCAUUAGUCGAAAGCGAGUGCUUCGACAAUCUCCACAGAAACAUCCGUACCUUGCCCGAAACUUCUGUUUUCCAUAGGGUUUUCCAGGCCCCUUCUUCGGCCCUAGAGCUGGAAGGACCCGGUACUUCCUCCAGCCACGCUUCUCUCCUAUUUCUGGUAGCUACUAGCAUCUUGUAUGCUGAUUUAACAGUGAAAGUUCCGUUUUUUUCAUGAAACCAUGCCCAGAAAUCUGUGAUGUUUCGGGUGCAUAUCGGUAUUCCCAGUAUAACUCGAGCAUCGUCCAUUGGCAUAAACGUUGCUUGGAUGAGCUGUCUAUCCCAUGAGGCAGUCACAUUAGUUAUAAGCUCCGAAACUAGUGUGGGUGCGUUUGGCGAAAUGCUCCCAUAGGGCCGCAUCAUCUCCUCUCUGGGUAACCAGUUCUCGGUCCAUAUGUUUGUGUCUGCUCCGUUCCUAAUUCUCUUUAUCAAUCCUUGCUUCAGAACAUCUCUUCCCUCUAUAAUGGCCCGCCAGACCUGGCUCGGAUGACCCCCCAAUUUGGCCUGGAGUAUAUCAGAGGUUGGGUAGUAGACACUUUUCAGCACUCAAGCACUCAACGACUCGGGGUCUUGCAACAAGCGCCAUGCCUGCCUAGCGAGCAUGGACAGAUUGAAGAGUUCAAAAUCUUUGAACCCGAGACCUCCCAUACCCUUGGGUUGUGUCAACGUUUUCCAAGAAACCCAAUGAGGUUUACGAUUUCCAUCUUUUGCACCCCACCAAAACUUCCGAAUGAGCAUGUUUAAAUGUUCACACGGGCCUCUAGGUAGCUUGAAACAUGACAUGGAGAACACCGGUACAGCCUGUGCAACAGCUUUGACAAGAACUUCCUUGCCAGCCAAAGACAUAGUUCGCUCAAUCCAACCUUGAACCUUGCUCCAGAGCUGAUCCUUAAGAUAUUUGAAAGCCCCGUUCUUUGAGCUUCCUAUGUCUGACGGCAUCCCCAACUACUUCUCAUUAAGUGUUUCAUUGGGAACGUUAAGUGUUUCUUUGAUCUCUUGUCUGACCGACUCAGGCACCCCCUUGCUAAAAUAAAUUGAUGAUUUUGAGUAGUUGAUACGCUGCCCAGUCGCUUGACAGUAAGUGUCCAGUACAUGGUGCACCUCAGUUGCCCCCACACUGUUAGCCUUGAAGAACAGCAGGCUGUCAUCAGCAAAUAGAAGAUGACUUACUGGUGGCGCCAUAGGAGCUACCUGUAGUCCAUGCAAAUUGGAUGACUCACUUUCAGAUUCUAACAGGCACGAAAGGCCCUUUGCUGCCAGCAAGAACAAGUAUGGAGAUAUCGGGUCCCCUUGUCUGAUACCUCUUGAAGGAAUAAAUUGUUGUAGCUUCUUUCCAUUAAACAACACAGAAAACUUGACUGUGGUGACCAAGCUCAUCACAAUAUCAACCCACCGGUUUGUAAAACCCAGCUUUAUCAAUAUUGCCCUUAGGUAAGGCCACUCCACCCUAUCAUAUGCUUUCAUCAUAUCAAGCUUGAGAGCACAUGACUGAUUUUUCUUGACUUUGUUCCUUUUCAUAAAAUGUAAACACUCAUACACCGUGAUAAUGUUAUCCGUAAUCAGCCUGCCCGCGACAAAAGCUGAUUGCUCCCAGAGAUUAUGUCAGGUAGAACUACCUUAAGUCUGUUAGAUAUCACCUUGGAAACAAUCUUGUACAAAACAUUACACAAGCUGAUUGGACGAAACUGGGACAAUAGGGCUGGGUUUUUUUUACCUUCGGUAUGAGUACCAAAAUUGUGUCGUUUAAGCAUUCAGCCGACUCCGUGCCCUCCACUAUCUUCAAAACCGCCUUUGUAACCUCAUCACCGUAGGUGUCCCAGUGGUGUUGAAAAACGUGCGCUGGAUAUCCGUCAGGACCAGAUGCUUUCAUUGAGUACAUCUGAAAUAAAAGCUAUGGGCUACUAUACCUUUAUACGUACAUCACACCUGAAAGGGGCCCCUGGAUCUUGGGGCCCGGGGCGGCCGCCCCCCUGCCCCCCUCAGGGCCGGCCCUGUUGAAACCGUUCUAGGACGGCCACUGCUACAAAUAAACCGGAUGAUUUCCCUAGGAAAUCAUCCGCCUAACCAACCGCCAGAUCUGUUCGUUGGUGACCGUACGAUUGUAGCAACGCCAUGGCAGCACCAACGUGCCGCAGCUUCAUAGCAACAAUGAUGGACUCUGACAAAAGCUUCAUUGUAGCUCUCAUGGCAGCACCGUCGGCAUCCGGCGAAGCUCCAUUGCAGCCCCGGCGGCGCACCAACGCAGCACCGACAGCUCCAGUGAAGCUCCAUUGCAACUCCCGUGAAGCUCCAUUACAGCCCUGGCGGAGCUCCAGCACACCGACAGCUCCGGCGAUGCUCCAUAGCAAUUCCGACGAAGCUUCAUUGCAGCCAUGCGGAGCUCCAACGCAGCACGAACGACUCCGCCGAACCUCCACUGCAACACUGUCGCCGAGAUGAAGCAUACGUCGGUGCCGAAAUCUCGUUGCCGCUGUACGUCAGUACUUGCAGGACCACUCCUUCCACAAGCACGUACCUCCCUUCCCGCUUUGCUCUAAAGCAGGCAUCGCCAGUGAGGAAGCCCAACUACUCGCAGCAUGAUGGAUGCCCCACUGCUUACCACACCGUCGCUUGCAUCGCAUCAUGAUGGGGUGCUUGCACCGACGAGGACGACUGGCCAUAAUAGACGUCCCUUGCAGCGACGGCAGAUGCAGCAGGCAGCCGUUGUAGCGACGUCGAUCUGCAUCUUUGGGCACGACAACCACCGAUUGGAGCGAUUUGAGCAUCGCUAAUGGAGGAUUGAUUUGAGAAGCAGGGCAGAGACGAAAGGAAAGGGAAGCACAAUUUGGGGAAGAAAAGAGAAAAAUGGGUGGCUCACGGGUCGCGCUAAAGAUAAGAAGAUAAGAGAGCGGUUGGUAGGACCCGUGGAGACGCGUGGGCGUGUGGACACCAGCGACGUCUACAGCUGAAACGUGCGACUGGGCAAGACGAGGGUCGCGCGAUCAAAGUCCAUCGAACGGCUAUCCACGUGGUUUAAGCCAGGCAAAAAUCAGUCGGCUUAGAAUAAACAUUUUCUUUCUAGGACAUAUUAUUUUCUGAAAGAUAUUCAUAAAUAAACGGAAUCAAUAAGUGCCGAACGUGCCGGUUUCUGUCUUUUGGCGCCGAACGCACUCAUUGCCGUUGUUUUUGUGCGCACAAAUCUCAGUGCAGGGUACUGUCCACGUUAGCAUGUGGAAGUGUUCGGGAUACUGUGAUUUGGUCAUGAACGACAGGCUUAUCCUGGAGGGGAACUUUUGGUCUAUGGGAACAUAUGCACCCUAUAUAGGAAAAAAAAAUAAUUCAACAAAAAGUCGAAAAUUCCUGAAAAUAUUUUUGAAAUAAACUUGACCUUCUAUUGUAUUCGUGAGAAAAAAAAUCCAAGAAAAAAAAUCCCGUUGACUUCUUUUCAAAAAAGACAAAUUUUUGGCUAAAAGAGUGUGAAUAGUGACCUAUAAUAGCAAAUAAAUUUUGUCUUUUUUGCUGUGAGGUCAAAUUUUAUUUUUUUCGUCAAGAUUUAUAUACUAGUGCAAAAGUAAGUGAAGUAUUUUGUCAAAAUAGUUAUCUACUUUGACUUUUUAUUAAAAUAUUAAAAAUAAAUCCCCAUAUAGGGUGCAUAUACAACUAGGAACACAAGUGUAUUUCCCGGCUUAUCCUCCCCUUUCGAUCUCCCCUGACCCACACACCACUCUUCUGCCAUCCCCAUUCCCUCCGCACCUCUCUCUCAUCGGCGACUCCCCCGGCGAACUGCGGCAGUAGCACGAGGAACCCGAGAAGAUCUCCGGCGUGGGGUAGGUGCAUGGCAUGGUGGGCUCCGGGGGACGCACGAUGCAUGGGUGUCGAUGUGCGGCGGCCGUGGAGGAGGGCAGCGGCUGCCGAUGGGCAGGGCCAGCCCUGAGGGGGGGCGGCCGCCCCGGGCCCCCAAAAUACAGGGGCCCCCGUCAGGUACUUACGUUUUUCUGAGACAUGAGUAGUCCAUGUACGUAUCGCUAUGCAAGGCAAGCACGAUGGCAGGCAGGUAGCACCGGCCCAAGAGACACGAAUCCACAACCCUUUUAAUCCGCAAUUUCCUUUCACAUUGUGAGUUCCCGUUUUGGCUAUUUACUACUGCUAGAUCCCUCCCCAUCGCGAGGCGCAGGCGCGGGAGGCUGUACUGAAUCGGCGGCGCCGCCGCCAGGUGCUAGGGCUGACUGCCGUUCUGCCGCAGUACCCGUAUGCUGAGGAACUCCAUUCUCUGCUAUCACUAGGUGCUGAACGCAUAUGUGCAUCGCCGAGUGGCUUCCGCCAGACGCCAGCCACAUCGCAUCCCGCCGAGCACCAGAUCAACAAUUACCGAUGCCGAUCCGAUUGAUUGAAGGUAUUUAAUACAAUUAUUUUCUAUUUCCUGUACGUAUAUAGCUAAUCAAGCAAUUUACUUUUGCAUAUGAUGCAUAGCUUUCACUACUCAAUCUUUGAUGCGUUUUUUUAUUUUUCAGCACUGUGUGUUAUGAGGAAAUUGAUUGUUUAUAAUUAAGUUUGUUGCAGUUCGAUUCUACCUGAGGUUGCUCUAAUCUUGAUAAAAUGUUAGUCUGUGACUAGUUUACGGAAAAAUGAUUUAUGAUGUGAAAAGGAGGAUUAGGACAGAUGGGUUAUCACGUGGUUCUGACAAUAUACGUUAGCAAAAAGAAAAGAAAAUGAAGCAACAUAUGGCUGACUUAACAGAAUCACAAAUAGGGAUUAUUAGAUCAAAUUUUCAAGGUAAUACAUGCGUUGAACAAUUCCAUAAAAGCUUACAGCUUUUUCACUAUUUCUUCUUGAACCAGAUGCAAAAUACUUUCCUCAAGUUUAAUUAGGAAAAGAGAGUUUCGUGUUACAGUGACACCCCUUAUUACAUCAAAGGUAUUACUCUCCUGAUACGAGUGUCCCUAAUUUCUUAGCCCCCACGGCCACCCAAAAGCAAAGCUUUCUUAGUGUUGUAAAGGAAUACCGUUGGUGGCGCACACUUGUUAAGAAAGAUGUGGGUAUUGCUCUCAUUUGAAAUGGUUCAUGAUGUGAGCCUGGUGAGUGAGGCCAUGGAUUUUUCCACUAUUGAUAAAUUAGUUGAUAUGAAUAUUACUUUGGAUGCAUCUAAAUGUUUAUCGGUAAUGUAAAUAUUACAUAUAUAUAGAUUAUUAUUGUUAUUAUGAUUAUAGUAAGGGUCCCCGAGUUUUAGCUUCGCCCCGGGCUCCCAAAUUCUCAGGACCGGCCCUGCCGAUGGGUGCAGCGCCGUCGUGCGUCGCCACCGCACCACCCUCCCGGCGUGGCGCGUCGCCCUCACCCCACCCCCACCCACCUGAGAUGCAGCCCGCUCAACCCCAGCGACGCGGCCGCACCCCACCUGUGCGAUGGCGACAACCUCGGCGGCGAGGCGGAAUGGUGGCAGGAGAGGCGGAGUGGCCUUUGCCGGCAGCCAUGCGCAGCGACGACAACCACCUCUAGGCUUCUGCUGCUCUCCCCCGACGCGGGGCUGUGUCGACGACGCCCGCGAUGACAACGACCAUGUCCACGCAUCUGCCGCUCCCCUGACGUGGUGCUGCGCUCUGACGACGGCCGCGGGGCCGAUGACCAUCCCAGCCUUCUGUGCUCCCCAACGUGGUCACGAACACGAGCUGCCCCACUCCCGCCGGGGAGCUUGGAGAUCAGCACUGGUGUGCUAGUCAGAGCUCUGCUUGGUAAUUCCCAUUCUUCCAUUUCUACGUUUCGUUUUGCUCUAGCGAUGCAUACAUCAGAAGUGAAUCGGCUGGGCAGAGGUGAACUAGGUCAUUUUCUUUUGAAUGUGUCAACUGAACCAGUAGAACAACCUUUUUCUGUGUAUUUCAUUACCACUUUAUUGUCUGAAAAUCAUUUGUUUUGGGUGAUCUGAACAAAACAGAGAUGCAUACUAGUCUUCCAAGACGGAAUGGCAAUUUGUGUCCCUAGAUUUUGUUGUAAUGGUGAUAGGCUAUGAGAUUUGCAGCUGAGAUUUGAGAAGAAAAUAAAUGAUCAGGCUAUGUGCGCAGAUUUUUGUAGUGGGGAAAGGGACAUUUAGAGUUUGUGGUCAUCUUCGUUGAAUAGCAUCAGAGAUAAUUAAACUGAAAAGGGAUAUGGAGUAAUCAAAGCUUGCUUUUCAUUUAGAGAGAAGGAUUUAGGACUAAACAUGUAUUGUACUAUACAAUUUUUCUUAAAUUUGUCAUCUCACUGUAUAAUUUUUCUUAAAUUUUCCUGGAAGAUGGCAAAUAUAGUUAUCGAAUCAUGGCAAAUUUAGGUCUUGGAUCAUGGAAAUUCAUUGUUUUCUUGCCAUGGCAACUUUUGAUUUUGGAUCAUAGCGUAAUUUUAUUGUUUUCUACCAUGACAUUUUUGGUAGACCACCGCAUCUAAUCUUAUACUUUUUGACCAUGUAAACAUAAAAAAUUUAGUUAAUUAAUCAUGGCAAAUUUAGUUUACACAUCAUAGCAAAUUUGCUUCCUGGAAGAAGGCAAAUAUAGUUAUCAAAUCAAGGCAAUUUUAGUCCUUGGAUCAUGGCAAAUUCAUUGCUUUCUUUCCACGGCAACUUUUUGAUUUUUAAAUUUUUCAUUGUAAUUCUUUAAAUGGUCAAAACAACACAAAAUGGCAAAUAUUGCCAUGGCAAGUUUUACUAAUUAUUUCACCUUUAUUAACAUGGCGAAUUUACCUAAAUCCCCAUGGCAAUUUUUCAAAAUUUAUUGCCAUGGCAAAUUUACCUUUUAUUAACAUGGAAAAUUUACCUAAAUCCCCAUGGCCAUUUUUAAUUUUUUUCCAUAACAAGUUAAUUAUUUCACCUUUUUAACGUGGAUUUACCUAAAUCCCCGUUGUAAUUUUUAAUAUUUGUUGCCAUGGCAAGUUUUACUAUUUAUUUACAAUAGCAAAUUUACCUUUUAUUAACACGGCAAAUUUACCUAAAUCCCCAUGACAAUUUUUUUAACAUUUAUUGCCAUGGCAAGUUUUACUACUUAUUUGCCAUGGAAAAUUUACCUUUUAUUAACAUGGAAAAUUUACCUAAAUCCCCAUGGCCAUUUUUUAAUUUUAUUGUCAUGGCAAGUUUUACUAUUUAUUUGAUUUUUAUUAACAUGGAAAAUUUAUCUAAAUGCACAUCGCAAUAUUUGAAAUUUUAUUGCCAUGGCAAGUUUUACUAUUUUAUUGUCAUGGCUAAUAUACCUUCAUUAACAUGGCAAAUUUACCUAAAUCCCCAUGGCACUAUAUAACUUUAUUGCCAUGGCAAGUUUUUUUUUUACCGAUGGCAACUUGACCCUUAUUAACAUGGCAAAUUUACCUAAAUUCACAUGGCAAUUUUUAACUUCUAUCGUCAUGGCAAGAUUUACUAUUCAUUCGACCUUUAUUUUGUUACCAUGGCAAACUACUUGCAUUAUACCAAAGUUUGGCUUGGAUUUUGUAACAACACGCAAAAAAAACCAUGUAUUUUUUGGCUUGGAUUUUUAACAAUAGCAAAUUGAUUGCUUUUGGUCAUGGAAUUUUUUUAAUAUAAACAUGGGCAUUUUUUCCGUUGAAACAUUUUUGUUGCCAAAGUUUCUUCUUUGUAUCCUUAAAUUCUGGCAGUUAUUUUUUCAUUUUCAUAAUUAGUAUGGAUCCAUCUUUUCAACUUGAUGACAUUUUUAAUAUACAUAUUAUUGCAAAAAAAAUCGUAUUCAUAAUCAGGUUCAGAUCCCAGCUUUUUUUAAGGCUGAGUUCAGAUCCCAACUUGAAGACUUGAUAGUAGUCAAUGGAAAAUUGGGUUUUUUUUAUGAUCAUGUUAUAUUUUUUUACUGCUGAACUGAGGUGGGGUGUUGGGAGGCCCAUUACUAGGCCUUGUCGUGCCUAAUGGGCUGCUGCGUUCGUGCUGGGGGUGAAUCUUGCCGAACUAAAGCGUUCGAUGGAUCGCUCCCCUGUACCGAACGAGAGCUCUCUAAAUAAAUUAUUAUCCACAUAAAGACCUUUUUAUUCACUUGCCAUGCUUUUGCGCAGUCCUUCAGCGGUCAUUUUAAAAUGGACGCCGAUAACUACCACACGUGUGGUGUAUCGGGUAGUUGUGCCACACGCCUCGUGUGGCAUGGACAGUAACCAGCCCACACGACCGCGUCCGGGCGCGCAAAGGCACGGCCCGCACGUUCGAUGUGUGGCAACCCCGCCCGCACGUACGGGCCAGAGGACCCAGCAGCCCGCACAAUCCAGCCGUCUCGGCCUCUGAUCGAUCCCCAAUCCCGACUGCCGCCAUCUUCUCCCACCUCCCGAACCCCUACCUCCAUCGCCGACCUUCUCUGGUUGCCAUGGAAACCAGAGCAGAUCUGUAGGGCCUUCCCACCACAAACCACACCGCUUAUCUCCCCCACCCCACCCCCCUCUACCCCCACCCCCACUCCAACAAUGCCCUCCAAAGAUGACCAGCUAAAAGCAAGUGAAUCUCCCGAUCUCCCUACUGCUUCUCAUCGACGAAGUUGGCAAUAGAUCCAUCCUACAGGGGUAAAACACUACAUAGGUUGUGUGUUUUCACAGUUGCCAAGGAGAAUACACUAGAUCAGCCAUGUACUACGCUAGAGAUAACCGUAAGUUCUCAGUAGAUUGAUGCACAUAGUUGGUAAAUGAAUGGAUGUGUAGGAAUCCAUAAAAAGGGAGAGAAAAAUUGAGAAAUUUGAAAUAAAUGGGGGUGUGGAAAUUAAUUGCCACUAGUGUCUAACGUCAGUUGCCAACUAUCAUUGUCGUCAACGGCCACCAUGUCAACUUAUUGCUUGCCAUCCUAUUGUGGAGGCUGAUGCCAUCGAAUCAAACGGAUAGCUAGCACCCAGAUUUUAGAAAAGAUAGUGGAUGUGCAUGUCCUACUAGCCAUGAUAUGUUGGUUGCCUACGCAUGAAAAUGUGAUAACACUGACGUGUUAACUUCUACAUGCAAGCAGCACAAGGAUGCAUUUUUUGUAGAUUGUUGAUGUGUUCUUGUUCAUGCAGUGAUUGAGAGCACAUUGGCAGAAACGAGACGCGGAAAAGAAUGAAUCACGAAAAUGGCGCUGAUACUUGGGGUUCUCAAAGACCAGAAACGCCCACUUGGGAUGCAGUAGAGUACAGUCAACUCGUUUCUGCAGGGCCGUUGCUGCCACUACUAGAACAGUAUGCAGGCAUUGGUAUGAUGUGUGAUAACAAAAGAAAAGAACAUUUGCCAUGUUCGCGACGAUGAAGAUGACAUUCUACUUAUGUCCUACACUGUCAUUUUUUCGCAGGUUCUUAUGACCAAAACACACUCAGGGGGCUCCGUGGCAAGUUCAGUCACUGGGCGCUAACACUGACAAAUAUACGGGCAGCCAACUUCAACUAGCUAAUAUGGCUAAUCAAGGUAACACAUACGAAAAAGAACACAUACUGGUCUGGACAUGAAAAAUAAACUUGCAAAGGUUGGCAAAAGACUCACGAGUUAUGUCGGGGGAAAACGCAGAGCCUUCAUGCAGCACGUGGCAGCAGGCAGCACCCAUGUACCUGCCAUCAACGUCAUACACAGGUGAGUCCGUAAAAAGUGAAGUUGCGGACGGUGAAUUAGCAGAAGGAGCAUAGUUGACAACUGCAGUUGCCAUGACUGGACAACUGCAAUUGCCAUGAAUUAAUAACUACAGUUGUCAUCCCUGGACAACUGUUGUUGCCCUCCCUGGACAACUGUAGUUGCCAUGGUGGAACAACUGCAGUUGCCAUGCCAGGACAACUAUAGUUGCCAUGCUAGCACAAACAGCAGUUGCCAUGUAUCGACCAACUACUACGAUGCUUACAGGUUAUUACGGUGGUGGUACCUGGCAAACGUCUCGUGGCAAGCUUCACAGAUUGCAGAUAGAGCACGUCAAUUUGGUGUGACAGACCACACAAGAUGGGCACAUGUAGCACAACAAGGUAAGGAAAAAAUUGAACCACAAAAGAGCACUACAUUUGUUUUUGUGGCAAAAAAUAGCACGUGACAAAAAAUAAGAUUUGUAUCAGUGAUGGUGCACACAAUCAAGCAUAAAACGCUAACAAGUGGUUGUGUGCAAUGAGUCGUAUAUUGUCUUCGGAAAUUUGCCAACUGCUAGAAGCAUGUGUGCAGCGCUAAUGGUUGAUCGCAUUUGCCUAGUGAGCUCAAGCCUAGAAUGCAAAGUUUUGACGCUAGAACACACUGGUUGCCAUGUAUUGGUAGCAGUAUUUGCCAUAUAUGCAGGACUGCAGCUGCCAUGCAUAUAGAAUCCAAGUUUUCGUACUAAAAAGGAGCUGGUUGUCGUGCAUUGGCAAACAAUAGUUGCCAUGUUUGUUGGACUGUAGCUACCAUGACUGGAAAACUACAGUUGCCAUGCAUGUCCACACGUAGACUCACGGCUUGCUGUUUGAAUGAUGUCAUGCCAAAUCACUUGACGUUGAUGUGAUCCGUUACAAUAUACAUGUUAUUCAAGCAAAAUCUUACGCUCGUACUGUUUUUUCUAUUAUAGGGCGUACAACUACAGUGAACAGCGGCGCGGGGACAUCUACUGCGGGGAACUCUGAGCGCAUGGAAGACACGUUCCACCAGCCAGCCAACAAUCAUGCCGCAAACAAUGCUAAGUCAGAGUCGGAAAUGGCAAUCAUUCCAGCAAUGCCGACAGGCACCCCUUUGAACACAAGCACUGACAACACUCAAGUAGAUGAAACUGCCGCUGAUACUGAAGUGAAUGAUGAAACUGAUGACGAAGCACAAGGGGAUGAAGAUGGUGGGCAAUCAGAGAUCAUGGUACCUCAGCCACCGUACGUUGGGCAGAGAUUUGAAUCGUUCGCAGAAGCAAAGGAAUUCUACCAGACAUAUGCAAAGUUCCAUGGGUUUGCGGUCAACACCGAAUACCAUAGGAAAAUUAAGAAAACUAACGAGUACAGCAGAGGUGAGAUGAGGUGCCACAAGGCGCGAAGGAACAAGAAGGGAAAAGGUGUUGCGCCUGUCGUUCCGGAACGAAAGAGAGGUAUCAUUCUCAAGACCGAAUGCCCUGUCCGGUGUAAGCUAAACGUAGAUGGAGCAUAGUGGGUGGUCACUGAAUAUUUUAGCGAGCACAACCACAAACUCAUAAAGAAGUUCGACCUGGUAAAAUUUCUGACCGCCCACAGAGGAUUCACCCCCCUCGAGAAGAAAUUCAUAAAGCUGCUACAUGAUUGUAACGUCGGUCCAUCAAGAAUGGUCCAGAUACUAUCACUCAUCCACAGCAAAAAAGAGACUCUGAGUAGCAUGCCCUACAUACCAGCUGACGUCACAAACCUAAAGGCAAAGUACCGUAGAGAGAGCAAAUUGGCUGACAUAGAGGCCACAAUGGCCUACUUCGAUGAGAAAGCGAAGGAAGAUCCAGAUUUCUUCUACAGGAUAAGGAUGGACGAUGAGGACCGUGUCAGGAACAUGUAUUGGGUGGAUAGUGCUGCAAGGAGAGCCAACAAACAUUUUCGAGAUUGCAUUUCAUUCGACGCGACGUAUCUCACUAAUAUGUACAAGAUGCCAUGCGCUCCAUUCUUAGGAAUAAAUAACCACAAUCAGUCAUUGCAGUUCGGAUGCGGGCUCGUUCGGAAUGAAGACACAGAUGGGUACGUUUGGCUGUUCAAGACCUUCUUGGAGUGCAUGGAUGGACUUGCUCCGAUGAACAUAAUAAUAGACCAGGAUUUUAGCAUGCGUGCAGGCAUAGAGGAGGUCUUUCCGUUGGCAGUGCACAGGCACUGCAGGUGGCACAUUAUAAAGAAGGCUGAGGAGACGCUAGGAUCGUUCUUUGCUGACCGUCCAGAGCUGCACAAGGCAUUUGAGCUGUGCGUGGAUCACAGCUUGACGGUGGAGGAGUUUGAAAGGAGCUGGAUGGUCAUGAUUGAAACAUAUCAAGUCGCAGACAACGAGACUCUUGCUAGCCUGUGGGAGAAGCGAACGUACUGGGUGCCGGCCUACUUCAUGCAGUGCUUCUUCCCGUUUCUGCAGACUACGCAAUGCAGCGAGGGGUUCAAUGCUGUUUUGAAGCGGUACGUGAGCCCUGGAAACUCAUUGCUACAGUUUGCCAAGCAGUACACAGCUUUGCAACAAAAAAUACUGGGAUCUGAGCUACAGCAAGAAGCGAACACCGCGCUAAAGCAACCAAAAUUAUUAGCGUAUUUACCGAUGGAGAGGCAAAUGAGCAAGAUAUACACCAACAAGAUCUUUAACAAGUAAGUCAGUUGCGUUACAAGUCUUAUUUGCACAAAGCAUGAAGGCAGUAGGUGCCAUAUAGAAUGCAAUGCAGUUGCCAUGAUAUGUGGUUGCCAUGUUUAAUGAAAUACUGUUUGCCAUGCUUACUCAGCUGCAGUUGCCAUGUUCAAUGGAAAUUAUGUUUGCCAUGCUUACCCGGAUGCAGUUUCCAUGUUCAAUGAAAUGCAGUUGCCAUGUUUUAAUGCAUUGUACUUCCAUUGCUCAUGAUGGUAUGAGAAUGCCAAUGUCAAUUGAAAAAUGUUAUGUUGUUGCCAUAUCUACUGAAAUGCAAUUGCCAUGUUUACUAAAAUGCAACUGCCAUGUUUGCUGAAAUGCAAUUGCCAUUGUUUACUCAACUGUAGUUGCCAUGUUUAAUAAAAUGCAGUUGCCAUGUUUUAUGCAAUGUUCUUCCAUUGGGAAUGUUGCUGUGGAAAUGACGAUGGCCAGUUGAAAAAUGUUAUACAGUUGCCAUGUUUAAUGUACUACAGUUGCCAUGUCUAAUGUACUACAGUUGCCAUGUCUUAUGUACUAUAUUUGCCAUGUUCAAGGUACUAUAUUUGCCAUGUUCAAUGUACUAUAAUUGCCAUGUUCAAACAAAAUGUAUUUCUAUAUUUGCCAUGUUCAAGGUGCAACAAAACUUGCUAUUUCAUAAGGCGGCGAUAGUUCAACAGAAAACACACAAAACUUGCAGAUUCCAGGAAGAAAUAAAGCGUGCCAGCAUGUUCACGGCUUUCCAGGUGGACGAACAUACAUUCAAGGUGUGUUCUAUUUUGGGCAUAUCAGAUUCAGAACCUGAAGACCCGGUCAAAGGAAGGAACUACUUCGUGAAAGCCUCGAUCGGCCAAGGCGAAUACUACUACCAAUGCUGCAAGUUUGAACGGGACGGCAUUGUGUGCUAUCACAUACUAAAAGUAAUGGACAUGAACGCCGUGACACGGAUGCCCCGCUAUUUCAUAAGGCGGCGAUGGACUUGGGACGCUGACGACGUGUUGGCACCGCAGACAACAAAGGCAGUUCUGGCUGUGCAUGACGAGAGACCUGAGUCAACCAUGGAAGCCGUGAGGCACGUUGUGCUGACAAAGAACUAUGCUGAGCUAAUUGAUGAAGCGUGCAAGAGUGAUGAGACAACGCGAGUCGCAGAAAAACACAGGAAGGCCCUAAAAGGAGAGCUUGAUGAGAUCAAGAAGAGGAAAGCUGAGGAAGCCUUACACAGGUUCCCCCGCACAUCAAGUGUGCCUUCGUCCACGGGGCCAUCAUCUCAAAACUCGGAGAUAGGAUCUGGAACAGAAAGCACACAAACCCAGGUCAGGAACCCGCCCCAUUCCAUCACAAAGGGGCGUCCAAAAGAGAUAAGGUACAAAUCGGGAUUGGAGAUUCAAGCAAAACACAAGAAAACGAAGAAAGGGACGGGCAAUCCGUAAGCAAAAAUUAGGGCCCUGUGACAUGGUCCUUGGGGACAUUUUGUUUUAUAACCUAGAUGUUGUGAAUUUUUUCUAGAAAUGGGAGACUGACUCUUGAGGGGCAUCCGACGUUGCAGGAAAAUGCAUUGAAUGGGUAACUAAAGUUGCCAUGUUGUGUGUGCUUGAUCUGCCAUGUUAUAUGUGUUUAAUCUUCCAUGCUAUUUUGUACUAAAUAUGCCAUGAUAUUUUAUACUGAAUCUAUCAUGGUAAAUAUACUAGGUCUGCCAUGUUAAUUAUACUCAAUCCGCCAUGUCAAGUAUACUGGAUCUGCCAUCUUGUUUAUGCUGAAUCUGCAGUGUUCUUUGUACUGAAUCUGCCCUGUUAGCUGUACUGAAAAAUGCCAUGUUAUUUUUAAUGACUCUACAUCGCGUAUAUUUUCAUGAUAAUUCGACACGCUUUAGUCACACAUACUGUGUUGUGUGCAAUAUAUGGACAAAGUUGAAAAAGCGUAACAUGCAUCAACAACAGAAAAGGUUACGGCUACAUGAUCAAAACUAUCAUGGUAGCCGGUGCAGUUAGCAAUGAAAAAGAAGAAGCAAAACAGCCAAAUGAAAAAACGAUGAUGACUUUUCAUAACCAUGUCUGAUGAACUACAGUUGCCAUGUUUUAGAACAUAGUGCACGCAUUCGAAGCAGCAACCUGGUGGUGCAAACGAUGAAACCACAAUAAUAAUGAUAAACAUAAAAUGUAUCUACUAUCACGCCUGAAAUAGGUUCACAUCCACACAAAAUAUUACAGAAAAUAUUCAAAUGUUACUCACGAACCACCACUGCGUACUAGGCUACUCGGGGUUGCAGUCAUAGAAUAGCACAUGGACAUAGUUUUUGAGAAGAACAAAUGGUAGUACCUUACAUUCCUCGACAAUAGAAUGUAAGGUAUGCGUCCGGUGUGUAACGCCACAUGAUCACUUGUACUUCUUGAUGACUUUCUUGACAGCUUCCUCCACGAACUCGCAUGCUCCGGACCGCUUGUUGAAAUCUUCAUUCGUCAACCAGUUCCAUGUGUAAAAUUUCCGGAGCUCAACGACCGUUGCAGCAUUGACAGCGGGAACAAGUCUACCUUCCCACUUUGCAAGGUAUUCCAACGUGUGAAAGCCACAGUCCGUCCUGCACAAGAAAAAGAGUCAGGUGAACUCGCAAAAAGGACAGACAUAGCAAUGAUAAAAUUAAAUUCGUAUGUAACAACAANNNNNNNNNNNNNNNNNNNNNNNNNNNNNNNNNNNNNNNNNNNNNNNNNNNNNNNNNNNNNNNNNNNNNNNNNNNNNNNNNNNNNNNNNNNNNNNNNNNNNNNNNNNNNNNNNNNNNNNNNNNNNNNNNNNNNNNNNNNNNNNNNNNNNNNNNNNNNNNNNNNNNNNNNNNNNNNNNNNNNNNNNNNNNNNNNNNNNNNNNNNNNNNNNNNNNNNNNNNNNNNNNNNNNNNNNNNNNNNNNNNNNNNNNNNNNNNNNNNNNNNNNNNNNNNNNNNNNNNNNNNNNCGUACUCAAUCAGGAAAUGUCUGAUCUAGACCUUUUAGUUUUCGUAGUGAAGGUUCCAUGUCUCUUUGACGUUGUUGAUGAAGAAUUCAGCAUGCGAAGUAAGGUCUGCAUCGGCUGCCGAACGCAUUGAAUCAAGCACCUCAAAGCGUUGGUUCUUGAGGUCAAGACAGAUCGCGUAGUGGUGACCACACUUGUCGUGUGGGUCGUGUGGUGCAAGCUCCUAGAACAUGGGGAACAUGACCUGCAUGAAGAAGUGAAGGAAAUGAGAAGCAGAGUUCACAUGAAGAACAACAGAGCGACAAAAAAAGUAGAAUCGGGUAGAAUAUUUAGUUAUAGUGGGUAGUUGAAAGAAAGUUGCCGUCCAUGUAUGAACAAAACUUGCCGUGUAUUUUACUUUGAAGUUGCCACAUAGUUUGCAUGGGAUGCAAAAAUCAAUAAGUCUGUUUGCACGGCAGCUGAUGCCGCAUGAAACAUCUGCCACAUAAACAGAGUGCAGAUAAUGGCAAAAAACCAUACCAUGUGAAAAAAAGUGCAAACAGGGAAGGAGUACUCACAUAUUUCUUCAGUGUGAGCUUGAAUUAACCGUGUUGAGCAAAAUUCUUCCUCACGAUUUUGUGGUGGAAGUCACCAUCCCAUAUUUUGCAGGUCACACUAUAAUGCAUGAUUGUUUUGUCGGGGCACAUAUCCAUAUGCUUGUUGAUGUAGUCAAUCCCGCAUGCAACUACAUUCGUCGACAAUUUACCGUUUGGCCUCAUGGACUCGGCACGAUCACCCAGGUCGACAUACGUUGCUUCGCAUUGAAUGACCUUGGUUCUGUCCAAACAUGAGCUGUAUGAAAAUGAUAUAACAUGAAAGAAUCAUGUCUACUAAGUAAAAAAGGAAGAACUAAAACGUAAGCGGAUCAUAUAUAGAAAGUAGAAAAAAUAUGAAUGGUAGAAAGAGCAAAGCAAAAUGUGGUCAUUACGCUUUGAGCUCCUUCAUGUGCUUGCUACUGGCCCUCGCAUUUCCAAAUCGCUUGACAAUAUCAUACAGCUGGGUCUGUUCCUCUGUGGCCCUGACUUCGGGCUCGUAGUCUUCCGCGGGAGGUGGGUGAACUACCCUCUGCUGCCUCACAGAACCAGGGGUGGCAGUCCUAAUGGUAUCCUCAGAUACCGUAUCUGCAGGCACAUUGGAACUUGAUUGCCCCUAACCUCGUGAGGACCUCCUCUGCAAUGCUGCCUCCUCGAUCCUACGAUAACAUUCAUCAAGUGACGGUGAAAUCUCCUCAGGGGUGCCUACAAGGAUAAAAAAGUGGGUUAGGAUACCUGGAAAACAAAACAAAUGGAAUGUGAAAAGAUAGGGUGCUUGAUGUGAAAUGUAGGUACAAAAAGUAGGGAGUUGCCAUGUGGAGGCAAAUCCAGUUGCCAUGUGUAGUGCACUGUAGUUGCCAUGUGACAGCAACUAAAGUUGCCAUGUUGUGUCAACUCCAAUUGCCAUGUGCUUGCCGAAUGGAAAAUGAAGCAUGGAAACAAAAAUACAGGUGAUAUGGUGCAGCAAAUCCAGUUGCCAUGUGUAUUGCACUGUAGUUGCCAUGUGACAACAACUACAGUUGCCAUGUUGAAUCAACUUCAGUUGCCAUGUGAUUGCCGAAUGUAAAAUGCAGCAUGGCAACAAAAAAAUGUAGGUGACAUGGUGCAGCAAAUCCAGUUGCCAUGUCAUCACAUAACAGUUGCCAUCAUAAGUGAGAAACCCCAAAAAAAUGCUUGGGGCCAAAGUCAGACUACACAGAUGUAUACAAGAAAAUGAUAAGCACAUAAGAAAUGUACCUUGGACGAUCGGCUGUGCGAACUUGACAGCCUUCCUGCCCUCGACCAUUGGCUGCGCCAUCAUUGCGGGCAUGCCUCCCGGGAAAGCAAAGGCAACUAGCAUAGGAUCUGGCACCACUGGUUGAUCUUGACUGAUGCCAAAGCUGAAGCUCGAUGGGGUGAAGGCCAUUGGGUGCCUCUCAUGCCUACUGGCCGGACCGCGAACAACUUGCGGGGCAGAAUCCAAGGGUGAAAGAUCAACAAACAUAUCUGAAUUGGCCGCUACAGAAUGAUCGGGCUUAUUUGUAGGGUGGGGCGUGUUGUCAGCGGUAUUAGCCGCAACUUCCUUGACAAUCUUCUUGUUUGGGCUGUAGGGGAAACCAACAUUGACUGAGAGCCUGGAAGUGCGUAGAUUUAAGCUGGGGAUUUCCACUGCGGGUAAAGGCGUAGUCUGCUCUGGACGUUCACCUACGUCACUCGUGCCCGGCUUGACACCUGCAUCAGUUGUGCUCCGGUCUUCCGGUUUCUCCAUCACAUUGCUUUUGGCAGGUGGCAGGAAUAGUGUGGACGCAGGAACAUAACCAGACUCAUCUCUGUUGCUCCUAGCUACAGCUGGUGCGUUGGGUACGUCUGUUGAUUGCUUGCGGGGGCUACGACGCCUCGGUGAAAGACCAGCACGCGAAAUAGUCGCCUUAGCAGUAUCUGCACCGACAGGAGCUGGAGCUGUUGUGCCAAGACUCUCACCUAUAGAUGGCACAUCAUUAUGAACUGCCGCCUUAGCCACUUCUGUCGUGGACACAGGAGUGCCACCAUGCACGCGCUUGGAAUCAGUGUCAGAUGAGCGGGAAUCUUCCUUGCUUAGGUUGGUCUUGGGAGCGUCCACUUCAAUGCUUGCUGAUGGGGUGGCAUGGCUCACAGCAGCAUCCUUCAUUGCCAGAAGAGUUCGCAAUAUUUCAGUUGUCCUGGCAGAUACCGACUCGUCACUCCCCGAUGUACGGAUGCCUGUUCUUCUAACCUGCACAUCUGCAACCGGCGGAGAUGGUCGACCACUUGCGUCAGAGUUAGUGGAAAUAGUUGACGAUGCAACAGCAGUUUUGUCGACUGGCGCCUCAUGAACAUCUGAGUUGCCCCUUGUUGACAACUUUGAAUGAAGGCAUUCGAGUGGGUCCCUAAUGAUAUGCUUGGCCCCACGUGAAGUAGUCUUCUUCACCCUGCAAAAAAGAAAGCACAUGAAAAAGGUAUUAAAAAUGAACAAAAAAUAUUUGCCAUGGUAUAAAAUCUAAAAAAAUGGAAAAAGGUGGAAAAGUUGGUAGUUGCCAUGUAAGGGGAAUAUGAGUUGCCAUGUGGCAGAGUUAGUAGUUGCCAUGCAAAUCCAGCAAGAGUUGCCAUGCUAGCCAACUUGAAGAAUGAUAAAAAUGCCUGAUCUGCCAGGAAUGCAAUUUCAAAACUAGGUAUGGGAUGAGCAUACUAGCCAAUGGAAAGAUAGAAGUUGCCAUGUAGGUACAAUAAGAGUUGCCAUUUGGCCUAGAUAGCAGUUGCCAUGUAAAAACAAGCAGGAGUUGCCAUGCAGUUAAAAAGGAAGGAAAUCAUUUGAAAAAACGGCAGUUGCCCAUGUGGGGACGAUGACAGAAGCCCAUGUGGCAAGCUGAACGGAUGCAUUGAAAAAUCAAAAAUAUAGCACUACAUCAAUGAAAGCACAUGGAAAACCUACUUCUUGACUAGCUUUCUCAGGUCUGGCAGCACGACAGGAUCCCCGGUGUUGGACGUCGUCGUACGAGGAGAUGACCUGGUGGAAGGGGUGUCACCAGCAAUGGGGGCACCUUUGUUCAACCGAGCAUAAACACGGGUUGGCGUUGGUGCCUGUUUCUUCAUAACUGCUCGUCCACCAGCUGUCGCCUCACCGCACAUAUAAGAUGGAGGAAAACAAGAGGUGGCAAUUGUCAGACAGCAAACUCAUUGCCGCGCUUCACAAAAACAAAUGCAAAAAGGGAUCAGUCUGUUCCAAAAAUAUAGACAAAACAAAAAACUAAAAUUAAAGUCGAACCUCCUCCUAGCAGCUACGGGAUCGGUCCUAGACCUCUUGCCAGGAGAACCCUACCCAACAUCCUCUGGAGCCCCCCCCUCUUUGAUGGCAACACCCCAUCGCCUCUCGCAGCCGUAUGUUCUUUGACUUUAUCCGGUGGGGGGACAUCUCGUGCAUCCUUGCCCUUCUUACCACCUGCACGAACUUCAACAUGUUCAUCAUCAUCGGUGUCCUGUUGCACGUUCUCCAUGUCAUUGUCGUCAUCCUUGCUGAGACCAGCAUCUCCAUCUAGUUCAUCUUGUGUGUCAGCAAGCUCUUGGGAACUGUUGUAGUCAUAUCGGCCACGGCAACCAGUUGGCCGAUGUGUCCGUUCUGGGACAAAUGUAGUGAACUGCCUCGCAACCGCGUCGCUGUCGAAGCCAUUAAGGGACGUCCACCCCUCAACCAACUUCUCAAGCAAGCCGGUCAUUCCGGAUGCAAACUACCCAAUUAGAUGCUGAACAGGUGCCCUCGCCUGUGCACGAAACAAGAAGCAGCAAUAACCAACCAUAUUACAGUCACUUGCACGACAUCAAAAAUAAUCCAAGGCAACCAUAGAUAUAUUCUUUGAUUACCUCAGUAGGGCAAGACGGAGCUGAGUGCACGUCCAUCCACUUUCCAAAGUUUUGAGGCCCCCCAAACACGCUGUAGUCUAUAGCAUGCUUGGCCAUCAGCUGCAAAAAACCAAAAAUAAUAGCUAGGAUGUAAGAGAGAGAAUGAUGAACACUGACUAGCAGUUCAUGUGUUGCAAAAUACAACAAAAAAAGAAGACGCGAAUAUAAGUUUCAGCACGAAUGACAGAGUUGCCAUGUGGAGUGAGACAUGGAUACCAUACUCAGACAUCCAUGGCUAACAAAGGUAGUCAUCUCUUGUUAACCACAAACAGUUGCCACACGACGAUAUGUUAUGCCGCAAAAAUUUGUAAGAAUGCCAUGUAGAGAAAGAAACCAGAACUAACCUGCAGUUUCCAUAUUUGGUAUCAGUUACCCUGUCUGCAGCAAGCACAACCUUGACAGCAUCGAUAGUCCAUGCAGAAACAACAAACUUGUGCGUAGGCGGCGGGCCUCCAGUCCCAGUGAAAUCCACGGUGGACAGAUCAAGACAGUCGACGUACAUGAGCUGAUGUACAACAAUUUUAAAAAGAAAGAAAUAUCAGUUGCGAUCAUGGUAUUUUGCGAAAAAACAGGAUAAUAUAUGUUCCUACAAUCAUCAAGUUGAAGUGCAUGAAAAAAAGAAAAAGAAGAAGUUGCCAUCUGUAUGUGCUAGUUGCCAUCAUAGUGUGAUGGCAGUUGCCAUAUUGUCAUGAUGGCAGUUGCCAUCAUAGUAUGAUGGCAGUUGCCAUAUUGUCAUGAUGGCAGUUGCCAUAUUGUAAUUAUGGCACUUGCCAUCUUGUUAUAAUCAGGUUGCCAUGCAUGAAUAAAAUGUGUUAAAAAGAAUGUUCACAGAAAGGACUGGUAAAAAAUACCAUUAAAUGCAGUCGACAACCCUUCUGGUACAUCUUGCUUGAGAAUGCAUCAUGCAGGAAGUCGGCAAUGAACUUACACCAAUUCAUGUUCUUCACAUCUUUUAGUUUCGCCUGCACCGCACAAAAUUUAGGACAACGAGUUGUCGCAUCAGAAAUCAAAUAGAAAAAACAUCAAAAAACACUGGCAGUGGCUAGCUUGCACAUGACAUCGGAGCAAAAAAAUUAAAGGAAAAAUAAUGUAGUAAAGAUAGAUCAUUCACCAGGAUGGGGAAGCAUUUGUUGCUUGGGCGAAGAGAAGUGGUCGGCACAAAAACAGUUGAGAUGAGGUACAUGAGUAGGUUCAUCUUAAAAACCUCGCCAUGGGUUGUCAUGGCCUGCAGCGAAUCUGCCAGUACAGACGUGUUCGGCAUGGAUUCCAACCCAGGAAACAAACGGGGAACAACGCUUCCUCGAUCUUGUUAUUGACCUCAUACAGGACUUUGAUUUGUCCACGGGGCACAACCAAAGUGCAGAACACGGAUUCCUCGUUCAACGGCAGUCUUCCACGUCCCGGAAUCACAAAUUCCCUGGAGGCGGGGUCGUAAAUCUCACCAAGCCAGUCGCAUACAUGGUUGACUAGAUUCGUGCACCGGACAUUCAUCAUAGCCUGCAUACCCAUCUCAGCAGCAGCUCCCUUCUGAUCGUCAGUAAAUCUCUCAGUCAAUGAAGUCAGUCGUUCCUGGGAGGCCCUGUUGCGAGUAUGUUUCUUCUUCUGCAAAAAACAUACAAAUGAUCAGUUGUUGCCAUGUUUUCACUGUCAUGAAAAUUUAGUUCAUGAUAGACGACUGCAAGCUCAAGGUGGCAACCAAUAACAUGUGUAGGAGAAAGAGGGUGUGUGGACAGUUACCUCGUCGCCCUCUUUUCUCCGUCCAGUUGCCCAAUUCUGUUGUGGUGGAUCCAUGAAAUCAUCAUCAUGGUUUUGAUGAUUGCCGCGAGCCAUUCUGCUGAGGUAAGAACAAACCAAAUUGUCACGGUGGAAAUGAAAAUGCAGGAAGUAAGCAGUUGCCACCUAACAGAAUGUCCUUGCUGCAUGGGCUCGAGUGAAAAAUGACAACUAGUGAAUGCAAAAAAAUCACAUGAACACACACGCACCCCCCCUAUGAUUGUCGAAAACAUAAAUGUGGCAAUUAAGCACAUUGGUUACACUUGAAAAAAAUGUACAGAUCGUAAAUGCACUUAAAAACAAAAUGUUGAAGUUUCCAUGUUAGCACAAGAUAGUAUGAAAAGAAAGUCACAAAAUCCUCCACUGCGGAAACCUAAGAUGUGGCAGCUCACACCCUGUCCUCAUACAACAAUGACUUGCCAUGUGUUUCAAUGGCAAAAAUGUGCAAGGUUGAAAUUGCCAUGUUAAAAUGCAACACAGAAUUCAAAAAGGGAAUGAAAAACAUCUAAUGAACAACCUGAAAUUGCCACAGUGUGUUCAGAUAUCACAAGUCAUCAUGGCAAAACACGAAAAUUCAUAUGCCGUACAAUGAAUUUGCCACAUUAUACUGACUGUAACAUGGCAACAGACAUGCUCUGUUCAGACAAAAACUUGCCACAUGGAAAGCAUAUAUAUGGCAUCUGACACAGUUGAUGUGCAAAUUAGUUGCCAUGUUAUGCAGCCAAUUUGCCACAUUAUCCUGUCUACAACAUGGCAACAGCCACAUUGUGUUCAUAGUCUAUUGCCACAAGAAUAUACUAUCCAAGUGGCAAUAGGCAUAGUUGAUGUGCAGAUUAGUUGCCAUCCAGUGCAAUUGGUUACAGAAACUGCAGUGACUACUGAUUUACUGCAUUUUACCAUUCCUACAGUGUGGCAACUAUCACAAUCAUUCGGGAAAAAUUAGUUGCCACAUGGAAAAAGCAUGUUUGUGGCAACUAUGUCAGUCAUUCAGGAAAUUAGUUGCCGCAUGGAAAAGAAUGUUUAUGGCAACUAUCACAGUCAUUCAAGAAAUUAGUUGCCGCAUGGAAAAGCAUGUUUGUGGCAACUAUCACAGUCAUUCAGAAAAUUAGUUGUCAUACAGUCAUGAUAGUUACUCAAACCACCAUGUUUGCCUUCAUACUGUAGUUUGAAAAACAACUAACUAGAUCUAGGGUUCAAUGGCAACUAUAAUGACUUGAAAUUCAUCCCCAAAAUUCUCCCCGAACUGAUCGCAAAUACCAAUUCGAAGCAAUGCGCAACUAUCAGACCGGAAAACAACGGCCCAAUCCCAAGGCACAACCAGUGUGUGUCUCCGGACGGGCAAAACCACACCAGUGAGACCACCACCGCGGCGGCGACGAAACUGCCCAGUGCCACCGAAAACGGCAAGCAUAGGACACCGCCGCCGGCGGGAACGCCGACGCAUCGCCAAAUCGCCUGAAUCUCUACGAAUCUCGAGCGAAGCAUCAAACACCGAGGGAAGGGGAGAAAAAUGCAGGCAAGGAUUGUGAGAGUGGGAGCGAGCAUUACCUUCAAUCUGUAGGCGCUCCGGCGAAGCCGCUCCGGUCCGGCGAGCACCACCAAUGGCCGCGAACUCCGUCGACUCUUCCGCCUUCGCCAUUGCCUUCUCCCCUGGUCUUCUCCUCCAAUCAUCUGAAAUGCGAAGUGGGUUGUGCGGGUAACUGUGGGGAUGAGUAAAUGGAACCGUGAGGGGUAGGCGGGCGAAGUGCGCGACGUGUUUGACGUCAACCACGGUCGGCGCGUGGCGUGCGGGUGCAUAGCAGUUCCACCGCACGCCCCCGAGUGGCAACCGUUGACCGCAGGGGGGGCAACCGACGUGCAGGCGAACUAUGUCACACACCACACAGGCGCCUUGUCCUACGUGGCACAGAAAAUUGGCCAGAUUGUGCCAAGAUUCGUGCAUAUAGUACUGGACGGUGAUGGAUGCGUGUGGUCGAGAUGGUCAACGCCCACACGUGUGGGCGUUAACAUUUCCGUUUAAAAUUUGGUGAGCCAGUUCAACUCAUUAUUUUCCAUGUCCAUACUGUAAUAAAUUAAGUAAGUAGCACUAUUCUCAAAGAAGAACUAAUUAGCACUCAGAUGGAAAGCAAUGUAUGGUACAUGUAUACGUUAUUAUGGGUGGAUAGGUGAUCAAAUAAAGGAUUAUAUGUUUGUCUCCUUGCUAAAAAAGACUAGUACGAGUUUUUUUGUGGGAAAGGAACUUUUCAUUCAUCAACCAUGGUGAUUAGAGCAUCUCUAGCCGCGCCCCCAAUAGGCCCUCCCCAGACGUUUUUGCCGCGCCGGCGCCAAAAAAACGGCCCAGUCGCGUCCCCAGAAGCGCAUUUUUCGCCGGCUCAGGCCGAAACUGGUGCCGGCGGACCCAGGCCGAACCCGACGCCCUGGGGGCGCCUGGGGCGCCGGCACAAGUGAAAAGGGCGUGUGGGUCCGCCCUGUCGGCGAAUCGAGCGCCUCGUCCCGCCGUUUCUUCCCACUUUCCUCCCAUUCUCUCCAUUCCUCCUGCUUCUCCCUCCCGCCCGCCUCCCAGUCGGCCGCCAUGCCACCGAAGAAGUACGUCGCCCCCCGCACCGCGGCAAUCGCGACCGCCUCCGUCACCCAACCGAAGCAGAGGAAGCCGAGGGCGCCGCCAUCCAAGCCACCGGGCAUGACAAACGCCAAGUAGAGGGCGGAAGUUCAGCAACGGGAGGCUGUCACUGUCGAUCGGCGGAACAGGGCGAUCACCAAGAAGGCCCGUGACAACGCGGCGCGGGCGGCUGCGGCUUCGGCGGACCAAGCCGAGGCCGAGGUGACUCGCGCGGGGAUGAUGAAUCCGCCCGAUAGCCACGCCCAGUACACGCCAUGGGGCCAGCAAGGCGUCGGUUCUCCAUCGCCAGAGCCAUGGGGAUGCGCGACCUCGCCGGGCUACGCUGACGGGGAUGCGCACGGUGAGUUCAACCCCAACGUCACCUUCUCCCAUGGAUACCUUGCCCAGCGCACGCCCUCGCCUGCCUUCGCCGGCGUGCAGUACCCUCCAUACAACUACUCGCCACCCGCCUACGCGUCCUCCCCAACGCCCUCUCCGCCGUGGCGCACUGCCCUUCUCGCACCUCGGCGACACCGACGAGACCGAGGCUGACAUGGACGACAUCAUCGCGACAGGCUCGGCCGCAGCUGACGCGUCUCCCGGAUUCGUCACCCAGGACGACACGGUGGAUCUUAGCGGUGGCAUAGACGGCGAGCUCGGCUAAGUCUACGGCAAGGAGGAGCAGGAGGAGCAGGAGGAGGAGGACGAAGAGGAGGAGGAGGAGCCGUUGACUGUUCCGGCGAGGGGCGCAAGAGGAAGAAGCGGGCGGCCAGGUCCGGUGAGCCGCGCAUCAAGUGGGCGUCCAAGGCAGAGGAAUGCCUUGCCGAAGCAUGGAAAGUCGUCUGCCUCGACCCGACCACCGGCACGAACCAGAGCAUCGAGACGUACUGGGAGCGCAUCAAGGCCGAGUUCGACAAGCGCAAGCUCGUCAACCCCUACUUCAAAGGCGUCUACAUGCAGUGCGGGGCAAAAGCGAUGGCGAACCAUUGGGUGCGUAUCCAGGGGGCGUGCAACAAAUGGCAUGGGAUCAUCGAGGAGGUCGCGGCUUGCCCGGAGAGCGGCGCCAACGUUGAGGGUCAGGUUUGGCACGCCGGUCUCCCACCUCUCUUCGCUAUGUGCGCCCGCCAACUAUUUGUUCUUCCGCGCAAUUGCUGCGCAUGUUCGCCUUGUAUAGGCAGGGCAACAACGACGCAGAAUUCAAGUACCUCCACGUCUACAAGCGCAUUGACAUGUGCGAGAAGUGGGCAGAAGUCCGUCGCACCCUCGACAAGGCCAAGGACACCUACAAGCCGGACGCGCCGGCUCCGGGCGCAUCAGAAGGGCGGCCGGACGACAACAAAUGUGCCAAGAAGGGGAAACACGCCGACGCAGCCACCGCCCGUGUGCAGGAGUCCAUCGAGCACUGCCUCGCCGACGCGCAGGCCCGGGCCGCCCUUCGUGAAGAGAAGACCGAGGCGCAGUGGUCGGCAUUGAUGUCGAGCAGCGCCGUAAAGCUCGACCUACUCCGAACCAACGUCGCCGCGAAGAAGAUAAACACCGACCUAGCUUUCCUGCUGGGCAGGGCGGACAUGCUCCAGAGCAAUGAUGAGGUGGUCAAGGCGUGGUACUUGGCGGAGCGUGGCCUCAUCCUGAACCAGCUUCGUCAACGAUGCCGCCCACGCCGUUGACGCCGCCAAGCCCGAGCGAUGAUGUCGCCGAGACUCCCCGCAGCACAGAAGCCACGCCGAUGCCGCCAAGCACGGAGACCCCACCAAGCCCUUGCACGCCGACUCCGCCGACAUCGGAGGCCGACCUUGCCGUCUGAUACGCACGUGCGUCCUUUCUGUUUUUUUGUACGCCGGACUUUUCAUUCGAUCGCUGAACUUAUGGCCGCUUGAUCACCGGAUUUGUGGCAUCUAUUUUGUGAGCGGGAAUGACUAUGUUUGAAUUUGCCGCGGCUGGGGGGCGGUGCCUGGGGGCGUGGCUGGGAGGUAGGUCGCCCCCAGGGGCCAAUCUAGCGUCGGUUCGCCCCCAGGCCACUCUUUUUCGGCGCCCUGGGGGGCUCAACGGCUGGAGAUGCUCUUACAUUCAGAGAUGAUGAUGCUAGCAAUUUCAACUGGGGAGUUUCAAAGCCAACAGGCAGUGUGCUGUUGCGAGCACCCCAUACAAGCAAGGACGUGACUCACUACAUUUGCAUACCUGCGAAUUUUAGCUAGACUAAUGUUCUUUUCAUGAGCCAGAAUCCUUCUGAUCUCAUUAAUCUGGUUCGCAUACCUCGAUCGCUCCAUAUCAUUAGAUUGCACCAGCUUCAACAAUUCGGCGCAAUCUGUUUCAACAACCAACAACAAGCUGGAUCAAUGGAGAGCAAGUCGAAGCUCCUCUUCCAUAGCUACCAUCCCGCUUCUAGAGGGCCCCCACAAUUAAAGAGCACCCGCAUCGCGGCAAAGAUGACUACGCCUUCAUGAUCACGCAAAAUCAUCCCAGCCCCGGUUGUACCAUCCUCCUUCAAAAAAGCGUCGUCAACAUUCAGUUUAGCAUAGUUCACAUCAGGGGCCUUCCAUUGAGGCGUGGCUAUUAUUUCAUGUGUGUUCUUUGACGUGCUUCCCGAGUAAUCGAUCACCUGCUUGCCCUUUGUCAAGUCCACCUCGGGAUGCUGUUGUAUUGCAAGUAGGGUUAUGAUAUAACUCGAUAGGAACCGGCGCGAGGCCUCGAUCGGGACUGGGGGUUUAUGAUGUGUGAUCUCAUUUCCUGCAUACCAAAUCAUCCACAUGAACAUCAAGAAAGCAAGCUUCUGUACAUCCGGCAGUUUAUCAAGCAGACGUAAUAACCAAUCUGGCUCAGCUUCGUGCAGGUCAGCUGGGGUCGAUAGUUCCCAAUGCUCUCUCAUAGCCUCCCAAAGCGCCGCUGCAUGAGGACAUAUGACAAGAGCAUGGUGCACAUCCUCCUUUGCCUGGCCACACGGCAAGCAUGUUGAGUCCAGUUCAAUGUGUCCGUGCGUCUUGUUAGCUUGUGUAGCUAGGGCCUCUUGGGCAGCUUGCCAUGCAAAGAUACGUACUUUGGCUGGUGCCCCGUUUUCCCAUAUCAGGUUCCACACCGAACAUCGUCCGUCCGGCUAGCCGCUCGAGGCGCCGUUGUCCUGCUUUGCCAUCUGUUCCUGCAGACCAAGGUAGUAGGCGCUGCGUACCAAAAAGCAGCCUCGUUUGUCCGGGUGCCAAGCAAGGAAGUCAGAGUCUAAUUUUCUCGAAGCCUUGAUCUGAAGGAUGCAAUCAAUGUCUGGCUGAUAGAAUUGCUGCCCGAGAAGCUUUAUAUUCCACGUACCAUCAAGGUUGAGCAGUUCAGAGACCCACUUUAGGUGAGAACGACGCUUCGGGGUGAUCAGCCGUCGAGACUGAUCACAAAGGGAGCCAAGGAUCUCUCCAUAUGCGGACCUGGAUUGGUUCCCAUGUGACGCUGAUUCGCAUGCACGUUGAAUCUCUCUUCAUCAUUCCCGCUUAUUUUUUCCGUCAUCGCACUCAUUAUCUGAGCCUAUAAAAUAAGCCAUCGAACCUCUCCUCAUCCUUCAUCGAGCAACCUUCCUUAGCCAUUUCUCCAUUCAUGUCUGGUGACCCUUCCUGUCGUUUUACUCCAACGAUGUCUCAUUUGCUUUUGUCAGGUGCGACAAGAAUGCAGCAUGCUAGUAGGGGAAGUGUGUGUUUUGAAGAACUAGAUAAUACCCCGCACAUUGCUGUAGAAAUUUCUACCAAUGAACUUAUUAAAAAUAAAAUUAGAAUAUAUGUAAGUAUUACCGAACCACAUUCAGCCUAGAGGUAAAUGCAGGGCGAAUAUAUACAUUCAAAUUCAAUUAUUUUUAUUUAAAAAAUUAAAAAAUCAAUAAUGUGGAGCAUUUUCACGUGCUUGAUGAUGUGGGGGGUUUGCAUGUGGUGGAAAGUGAAAAAUGGAAAGUUGAAUGGUUGCAUAGUGCUUGAUGAUGUAAGGGUGUGUAUGUGAAAGUGCAACUAAUCCCUGGGUGGUUUGGUAAUUAAUAACAACAUCUACAUCAUUGAACUAAUGCCUAUUCAAAGAUCCUUUCAGCAAACUUCAAUGUAGGCAUGGCAAGGACAUGUGAUUGUGGGCCCCUAAAAAUGCUAAGGACAUACAUUGGCAAAGCUUCAAGACUCUACAUUUCUAAUUAAGUGGUCAAAGAUCACAUUGAGUCCAUUGAAAAGCCAAUACUAUCAAAAGGGAAUGAGGUUUUGAUCAUGAGUCACUUGCUCAAGUGCUUGAAGAUAUUGCUCCAAAACCCUCAAACACUUCUUUAAUAUCCAAUAUGUCCAAAACCCUAAGUCCAAUCUCAGUCCCAUUGAAAAAUACACCCGGACCCAUUGAGAUACUCCAGACAGAGCCAUAAGUCAAGCCCUAGAAACUCGGUACCACCGAGAUGACAUUCGGUCCCACUGAAGUGCAUUGACCAAGUUUUUGUACCCAAUCGACUUCAUUUAGGAAUUACCGACUUGAACCGAUCGAAUUACCAAAACAUGCAAGUGCUUAGGCCAUCACAUAUCGGAGUCACCGAGUGGAUUCAUCCGGUCUUACUGAAACAUCUAACGUUUGAAUCUUUUACACUAGUCAGUCCAACACUCGCGAACAUGGGUAGGAAUUGUGUUCCGUCACUUCAUGUCUAAGUAGAUCCGUUCGUCAAACAAGUUGAUGUUGGCUAGACCACAAAAUAUUAUAUGCCUAUCAUGACCACUAGUGAGCGAUGGCACCCCACAGCAGCACACCGUGCCUUAUUAUGUCUUCAGUUCCGGCUAUGCUUUGGCAUCCUGAUGUCUCCUAUUCUGAAGUUCUCUACAUUUCUAAAUGUGCAUACAUAUGCAUGUACGUUGCUACUUGCUAGCUAGCCUGCACUACAUUCGUCUAUUUCUCUAGCUUGUUUCUGCUAACAAGGCACACGGUUUUAUAGGAGACAAGACCAGUGAAAUACUUGAAACAAAGAGUGAGCUUUCUCCAUCAAUCUCAAAGACCCAAAAAUUGAUUGGCAUGUCCUAUACAUUGUAGUUGGUCGGGAACUUUUAUCUACACUAAAACCGUUCUAGGACAUAUUAUUUUCUAGAAGAUAUUCACAAAUAAAUGAUUGUCCGCAUAGAGGCCUUCUCAUUCAUAUGCGAUGCUUUUGCGCAGUCCUUUAGCGGUCACUUGAAAGUCGAAAUUGCUUCAUGCACAAUAGUUUUCUGCAUGACCAGUGAACGAUGCACCCUCCCCAACAACACUCCUGUGUGCGUGCUCAUUGUUGGCGCUGCCACUUAUGAAUUGUGCAGGCGUCGGCCACAUCUUAUUGUGUGUAUAGCAGCUCUCUUUAAAGGUUGGUGAGCCAGCUCAACUCAUUAUUUCCAUGUCCACACUGUAAUAAAACUAGCACUAUUCCCAAAGAAGAACUAACUAGCACUCGGAUGGAAAGCAAUGUAUGGUACAUGUAUAUGUCAUCAUGGGUAGAUAGGUGAUCAAAUAAAGGAUCAUAUGUUUGUCUCCUUGGCUCCUUGCUAAAAAAAGACUAGAACAAAUUUAUUCAAACAUUAGUUGGGUAUGUUCUAACUUAUGGGACAUUAGAUAGUAAAAAAUAGCUGAUCAUUUUUUUGAAAUAAAAAAUAGCUGAUAAUUGUAGGCAUAAAAUUCCCAUGUACUUAUCUUAUUAAGAACUUUUGGCAUAUAUAUUGGACCCCCUGCGCGACCUUAUUGACAAAAAGGUCCACCCCCAAUGUAAUUGACAAAACUACCAUGGCAUUAGGCCCGACAGCCGACACAUGGCACAUGUCACCAUAGAUGGAGGUGGCAGGGCCUGCCGCCGUAGCGUGUGGCAGUAAGUUGAGUAGAAUAGCUCCCAGUCUUGAUGGGGAACGGAAAACGAAAGAGGUGGGCCAUGCUGCCUCAUAUAGUGGUGGCACCUACCACGUAGAGCCCGCCACCAUGCACCAUGGUGCUAAUACUGUUGUUGCUCGGGAUUGGACAGCGCACUACAGUCCUAUCAGUUGUUGGCAGGGUUGCUGUCGCCUUUUGUGCUGAAAGUGCUCCGGCCAACGACAUGCAUGGAUUCCCAUGCACUCAUAAUCCGAGCCUAUAAAAUAAGCCAUCGAACCACUCUCCAUCCUUCAUCGAGCAACCUUCCUUAGCCAUUUCUCUGUUCAUGGCUGGUGACCCUUCCAGUCAUUUUACUCCAACAAUGUCUCACUUUCUUUUGUCAGGUGCGGCAAGAAUGCAGAGUGCUAGUAGGGGAGGUGUGCGCUUUGAGAACUAGAUAACGCACCACACAUCGCUGCCAGAAUUUUUUGGCAAUGAACUUACUAAAAAUAAAAUUGGAAUAUAUGAGAGUAUUACCGCACCACAUUCACCCUAGAAGUAAAUCAAAGGUGGAUACAUGCUUCAAUAAUUUACUAACGAAAAAACAAAAAUAAAAAUCAAUCAUGAGGAGCAUUUCAUGUGCUUGAUGAUGUGGAAGACUUGCGUGUGGUGGAAAGUGAAAAAUGAAAAGUUGAAUGAUUGCAUGACGCUUGAUGAUGAUAGAUAAUAACGAGAAAUAAAUAAGACAGAGAGACACGGAUUUUUAUGUGGAAACACUUGCAGGAGAAAACCACGGACGCACGAAGACGCAAUCACUAUGAGGAGGAGUAUUACAGGCACGAGACGACAAGCCGUCUGAGGUGCGACUACAUAGGAUAUAUAUGAGAGCAAUACAUGAGAGUCCUUGGAGGACAAGUAAACGAGUUGUACUCGUACCUGUUGGUACCAACGCAAAGGCCCACACCGUAUGUACUACGUCUAGUCCAAUACGGUAGAAUUUGGAUCACAAUUUAACAAUCUCCACCUUGAGCCAAAUUCCCUCCAGUAGUCGAAGAAAAUAGAUAACUCCAUCCAAAUCAGCAUAAACACCUUGUGCGUCAAAGUCCAUAGGACUAGUGUGAAAUACCAACUAAGCCUGAGCAAAGCUCAAACUUAUUGGUCGGAACUGGCUUUGUUAUCAUAUCAACAGGAUUAUCAUGAGUACUUAUCUUGCAUACCUUCAGAUUGCCUUCAACAACAACAUCUCGAAUAUAAUGAAAUCUGACAUCAAUGUGCUUUAUUCUCUCAUGAUACAUUGGAUUCUUUGUAAGAUAUAUGGCACUUUGACUGUCAAAAAAUAUGGUAGGGUAAGAUGAAUCUCCACAAAGCUCAGUGUAUAAACCUUUCAACCAGAUAGCUUCUUUGCAUGUAUCAGAAAUAGCCAUAUACUCGGCAUCAGUAGUGGAACAAGCCACACUAGACUGCAAAGUUUCUCCAACUCACAUCACAACCACCAAUGGUGAAAACAUAACCUGUGAGUGAUCUUCUCUUAUCCAAAUCAUUAGCAAAAUCAGAAUCAACAAAACCAACAAGUCCAUCUCCAAUUUUCCCAAACUGUAAAUAAGCAUUAGAAGUACCAUGCAGGUAUCUAAAAAUCCACUGAACUGCUUUCCAAUGCUUUUUUCUAGGAUUAGUGUAACGCCCUCGAUGCGGCUAUAGCUCCCGCGUGUCAAGGCACGACUUAGAGGCAUAACCGCAUUGAAAGCAAUGUCGCAAGUUAGGCAAUCAUCACAACAUCCCAUGUAAUAUAGAUAAUAAAGGGGGAGAUACAUAGUUGGCUUACACUCGCCACGUCAAUCAAAGUACAUAAAUAGCACUACAAAAUUCAAACACUCAUGGCCCGACUACGGCGCCAAAAUAAAAGAUAACCCAACAUGCGACACGGUCUCGAUCAUCCCAACUGGGCACCACUACUGAUCAUCAGGGAAAGACACGUAGUAUCGGCGUGAGUCCUCGUCGAACUCCCACUUGAGCUCAAGCGCGUCAUCUGGAACGGAAUCAUCAGGCCCUGCAUCUGGUUUAAUAGUAAUCUAUGAGCCACAGGGACUCAGCAAUCUCGCACCCUCGCGAUCAAGACUAUUUAAGCUUAAUAGGAAAGGCAAGGAAAAUAUGUGGAGCUGCAGCAAGCGACUAGCAUAUAUGGUGGCUAUCCUGUUCGCAAAAGAGAGCGAGAAGAGGAGGCAAAGCGCGAGCGAGAAACUAGAGAACAACCUGCGCAAGCAUAACUCCAACACCGUGUUCACUUCUCGGACUCCGCCGAGAAGAGACCAUCACGGUAACUCACACAGUUGAUUCAUUUUAAUUAAGUUAAGGUUCAAGUUAUCUACAACCGGACAUUAACAAAUUUCCAUCUGCCCAUAAUCGCGGGCACGGCUUUCGAAAGUUCAAAUCCCUGCAGGGGAGUCCCAACUUAGCCCAUGACAAGCUCUCACGGUCAACGAAGGAAUAGACCUUCUCCCGAGACGUUCCGAUCAGACUCGGUAUCCCGGUUCUUCAAGACACCUCGACAAGUUAAAACAAAUCCAGCAACACCGCCCGAAUGUGCCGACAAAUCCCGAUAGGAGCUGCACAUAUCUCGUUCUCAGGGCACACUCAGAUGAACACUACGUACAACUAAAACCAACCCUCGAGUUGCCCCGAGGUGGCGCUGCAAGUGGCUCUGUUUGGACCAACACUCAGAGGAGCACUGGCCCGGGGGGGUUUAAAAUAAGAUGACCCUCGGGCUCCGGAAACCCAAGGGAAAAAGAGGCUAGGUGGCAAAUGGUAAAACCAAGGUUGGGCAUUGCUGGAAAAGCUUUAAUCAAGGCGAACUAUCAAGGGGUUCCCAUUAUAACCCAACCGCGUAAGGAACGCAAAAUCCGGGAACAUAACACCGAUAUGACGGAAACUAGGGCGGCAAGAGUGGAACAAAACACUAGGCGAGAGGCCGAGCCUUCCACCCUUUACCAAGUAUAUAGAUGCAUUAAGAUAACAAGGCAAUAUAAUGAUAUCCCAACAAGUAAAUAAUGUUCCAACAAGGAACGGUCUCCAAUCUUCACCUGCAACUAGCAACGCUAUAAGAGGGGCUGAGCAAAGCGGUAACAUAGCCAAUCAAUGGUUUGCUAGGACAUGGUGGGUUAGAGGUUUGACAUGGCAAAUAGGGAGGCAUGAUAAGCAAGUGGUAGGCAUCAUAGCAUAGGCAUAGCAAAAGAGCGAGCAUCUAGCAUAGCAAAGAUAGUAGUGAUUUCGAGGGUAUGAUCAUCUUGCCUGCAAAGUUGUCAGAGUUGGCUGGAUCCUCGAAAGCAAACUCAACGGGCUCCUCGUUAGCGAACUCGUCUCCCGGCUCUACCCAAACAAGACAAACAGGCAAUAAGGACACAAUCAACCACGUGCAAAGCUCAAACAAUAUGAUGCAAACAUGGUAUGCUAUGCGGGAUGCGAGAUGUGAUGCAUGUGCAAGAUUUGACAAGGAAUGAAUGAACCUGGCCUCAACUUGGAAAUCCAAGUGUACCACUGGAAAUAUGAGAUGAAAUCGCUUGAAAAUGAUAUAAAGAUUGCCGGAAUCGGAGUUACGGUUUGGAAAUGGCAAGCAAUUCAAAUAUGACACCGAUCUGCGAUUUACAGCAAGUAGCCAUCUAAAAGCAACAAGAUGAACAUGCUACAGCACCCAAACAUGACAACAAAAUACAUGGCAGGGAUCCAUUCGUGAUGCUUAACAAAAGACUAGCACUGAGCUACGGCCAAUUCAUCCAUUAAUAGGUUCAAACAAGCAUGGCAAAAAUGCAUUUGGCAAACAGAUUUCAGACUUUGUGAAAUUAACACUUGUCUGGAAUUUCAGAUCAGGUAGCCCACUUCGGAGCAUGAAAACUAUAUGCUACAGGACCUGAACAUGGAAAAGUAAAGCAUGGCAUGGAGCUACUCAAAGAGCUUAACAAAAGUCCCUUAGUGACCUUGAGCCAAAAGGGAUCAGAAAAUACAUUUGCAAGUAUGUGAACAUGGCAAAAACAUAAUCAGAUCACAGACUUAGUGAAAACUGGAGCAUGCUGAAACAUAUAUCAAGUAGGCAUGUUUACGAGCUCGAUGCACUCACUACAGAGCAAGUCAUGACAAACGAAGCAUACACCCAUCAAGAAUACACAAAAUACAAGCUAGACAUGGCAAGAACAAUAACAUAGCAUGCACGGAUCAACAACAACAUCCUCAGCAAAAUCGCUAACAAGUAGACAAUCUGCCCAGAUUCACGAAAUGGCAAAAGUAGAGCUCGAUUGACUCAAGCUAGGGUGCUACAUAAUUGCAAAAAAAAGGCAUGGAUGGAUAGAGAACUACAAGAUUAACAAAACAUCCUUACUGAUCAUCCUCAAAAGAGGCACGGAUCACUAGGAAACAACAUGAACAUAUGGCAUAAUGAGAUAAACUGAUCAAGGACUUAGUGGAAAUGCUAAGUCUCUGAAAUCAGCAUUAAUGAAUGCACCACUUUGCAAGCUUGUGCUAGUCACCACACACAUCACAACAAAUACAUGGGUUGCACCUUUGGAUGGAUGGCAAAACAUAUAACAAAACUCAUGCAGAGCUCAGGGGCAUAUCAUGCACACAAAUAUCAUGGCAAAAAUGACAAAUAUCUAAAUGGAGCAGCAGAUCUGACCAUUAUCUCAAAUAGCACUCUUUGAACAGCAUUUUGGGCAUCAAGAUGAACUCAAAUGAAAAUGAUGCAAUGAGAUGAAAUGAUGUGCUCUCUGAGUCGAACAUUUUGAUAUGCUAUAUGCCCAAAACAGAGCUACAGAUGCAAAGUUACAAUGCGAUGAACAAGAGUAAAUAAUUAGGGUUUCGGGCAAAAAGUCAACCGUCCAAAUCCUUAGAUCCAGAUCUGGCGCGUUUUACGAGGAUGGCCGGAUUUCUUGGAGCUCGCCGGAGACGGAGGGGGCCGGCCGGAGAGGGGCUUGGGGCAUGGAGGAGGACGCCGGAGAGGCGGAGCCGGUGGUGGCGGCGGUCGGCCGCGGCGCCGGCGUGGUCCGACGGUGCGUCGGGCGGCGGGGACGGCUCNNNNNNNNNNNNNNNNNNNNNNNNNNNNNNNNNNNNNNNNNNNNNNNNNNNNNNNNNNNNNNNNNNNNNNNNNNNNNNNNNNNNNNNNNNNNNNNNNNNNNNNNNNNNNNNNNNNNNNNNNNNNNNNNNNNNNNNNNNNNNNNNNNNNNNNNNNNNNNNNNNNNNNNNNNNNNNNNNNNNNNNNNNNNNNNNNNNNNNNNNNNNNNNNNNNNNNNNNNNNNNNNNNNNNNNNNNNNNNNNNNNNNNNNNNNNNNNNNNNNNNNNNNNNNNNNNNNNNNNNNNNNNNNNNNNNNNNNNNNNNNNNNNNNNNNNNNNNNNNNNNNNNNNNNNNNNNNNNNNNNNNNNNNNNNNNNNNNNNNNNNNNNNNNNNNNNNNNNNNNNNNNNNNNNNNNNNNNNNNNNNNNNNNNNNNNNNNNNNNNNGCCGGCGACGGCGGUGGGCGGAGCUUGCCAUGUGUCGGCCCCUCAGUGGCCGCGGGCGGCGGCGGACGAGGUGUCCGGCGCGGCGGACAUGUCCGGUGUGCGGAGGAGAUGAUUUUAGGGUUUCGGGGGAAGGAGAACGAGAAUUUCGGAGGGGGUCUUUAUAUAGGCAUAGAGGGAGCUAGGAGAGUCCAAAUGAGGUGCGGUUUUCGGCCACGCGAUUGUGAUCGAACACUUUAGAGAAUGGAGAGGGGUUUGGUGGGUUUUGGGCCAAAAUGGAGGGGUGUUGGGCUGCAACACACACGAGGCCUUUUCGGUCCCUCGGUUAACCAUUGGAGUAUCAAACGAAGUCCAAAUGGUAAGAAACUUGACAGGCGGUCUACCGGUAGUAAACCAAGGCCGCUUGGCAAGUCUCGGUCCAAUCCGGAAAUUUUUAAUCCCCACACCCGAAAGAAAAGUAGAAAUGACCACCAGAGGAGAACGAAGCGCCGGAAUGCAAAACGGACAACGGGGAAAAUGCUCGAAUGCAUGAGAUGAACACGUAUGCAAAUGCAAUGCACAUGAUGACAUGAUAUGAGAUGCAUGACAACGAUAACAACACACGGAGACAAAAACCCGAACCCGAGAAAAUAAAAUAACUUAACGCCAGAAACGGCAAGAGUUGGAUUACAUAUUGGGUAACUCAUAUCCAGGGUGUUACAAUUAGCCAUGUAUCUACUGACAACACUCAAUGCAUAUGAUAAAUCUGGACGAGAACAAACCAUGGCAUACAUAAGUAAACCAACUGCACUCGAAUAGAGAACUCUAGACAUGUACUCAAUAUCUGUAUCUGACUUAGGACAUAAAGCUGAUGAUAAUUUGAAGUGUCCAGCUAACGGAGUACUUACUGGCUUGGCAUUAUGCAUAUUAAAACGACGAAGAACUUUAUCAAUAUAUACCUUCUGACUUAGAUACACUUUUCCAGACGGUCUAUCUCUGGAUAUUUCCAUGCCAAGUAUUUUCUUUGCUGCACCCAAAUCCUUCAUCUCAAAUUCAUUACUCAAUUGCUUCUUUACUUCAUUAAUCUCUGACAUACUCUUUGCAGCAAUUAGCAUAUCAUCAACAUAAAGGAGCAAAUAAAUAGUUGAACCAUUGACAGUUUUCAAAUAAACACAACUAUCAUAACCUUUUGAAACCUUAAGAGAGCAUAAAGGUGUCAAAUCUCUUGUACCACUGUCUAGGGGGUUGCUUCAAUCCAUAAAGAGAUUUCUUUAACUUGCAGACAAGCUUUUCUUUUCCAGGAAUAACAAAACCUUCAAGUUGUUCCAUAUAAAUAUCCUCUUCUAAUUCUCCAUGUAAAAAUGCAGUUUUAACAUCCAAUUGUUCAAGCUCAAGAUCAUGCAUGGCAACAAUACUGAGUAAAGUGUGAAUAGAGCUAUGCUUCACAACAGGAGAAAAGACUUCGUUAUAGUCAAUACCUGGAAUCUGAUUGUAACCUUUAGCAACUAACCUUGCUUUACAUCUUGUCUCAUCAUUAGGAGAAACACCUUCUUUCCUCUUGAAAACCCACUUGCAACCAAUAGGUUUCUUCUCUCUAGGUAACUUUACUAAAUCCCAAGUGCCAUUCUUUUCAAGUGAUUCCAUCUCAUCAUGCAUAGCGGUCAUCCACUUACUACUAUCACCAGAAAUAAUAGCCUUGGAAUAUGAAGAAGGCUUAGAAUUACCUUCAAUUUCUUCCGCAACAGAUAAAGCAAAAGAAACAAUAUUGCACUCUUCAAUUAACCUGACAGGUUUAUUAAUACCCCGCCUAACUCUGUCACGUGCAAGAUUCCAACUAGGUGGAACAAUAGGUUGAUUUGGAGUGGGAGUGACAUGAUCAUCAUUAACGACGGGUUCGUCAUGUGCAUCAACAAUUUCAUUACCAGUUUUAUCACCUGAAUUAAUAACAUGCUCCACCUGAACAGUAGGCUCUUGAACGAUAGGCUGUUGUUCACCCUUAACGGGAACAUUAGUAGAUGAAACAUCAUGUAACAUAGCAGUUCAUUAAAGAUAACAUUUCUGCUAAUAACAACCUUCUAAAUUUCAGGAUUCCACAAUUUAAAACCUUUAACACCAGACUUAUAACCAAGAAAUAUGCACUUAACAGCCCUAGGCUCCAAUUUUUCAUUAUCAAGAUGAGCAUAAGCAGUGCAACCAAAAACUCUCAACUGUGAAUAAUCAGUAGGUGAACCAAACCAUGCCUCGAUUGGAGUUUCCUUAUUAAGAGCAAUAGAUGGUGAAUGAUUAAUGAGAUAGCAAGCACUGGAAGCGGCCUCAGCCCAAAAACGCCUAUGCAAACCUGCAUUGGACAACAUGCAACGGGCUCUGGAAAUAACGGUCCUAUUCAUAUGCUCAGCAACACCGUUUUGUUGAGGAGUAUAAGGAACGGUGUAGUGUCUGACAAUGCCUUCAGACUUGCAAUAACUCCUAAAUUGCUUAGAACAUAAUUCCAUACCAUUAUCAGUGCGAAGUAUUUUUACCUUCUUUUUAGUUUGUCUUUCAAUCAUAAUCUUCCGCUCCUUAAAUGCUGAGAAUGCUUCAUAUUUAUGCUUCAAGAAAUAAGUCCAAACUUUUCUCGAAUAAUCAUCAAUAAUAGUCAACAUGUAACUAGCACCACCUAAUGACUUCUUGCGAGAUGGUCCCCAUAAAUCAGAAUGGACAUAAUCAAGAAUACCUUCAGUUGUAUGAGUCGAAGUGUUGAACUUCACCCUCUUGUGCUUGCCGAAGAUACAAUGCUCACAAAAUUUCAAUUUACCAGGUCCAUAUCCAUCAAGAAGACCUCUCUUAUUUAACUCUGCUAAACCAAGUUCGCUCAUAUGUCCAAGACACAUAUGCCAAAGGUUAGCAGCAUCACAAUCAGAAUUCUUUAAAAUAACUGGAGUAGCGUUACCUGAAACGGUAGAACCUCGAAGGUAAUAAAGACCAUUGGUUGAACUUAAGUCACCUUUCAUCACAACAAGGGAGCCUUUGGUGACCUUCAAAACACUAUUUCCACCUGAAUAUAUACUUGUAUCCCUUUGCAUCAAGGGCACUAACAGAGAUAAGAUUUCUCUUCAUCUUCAGAAUAUACCGAACAUCUGUCAAAGUUCUGAUUAUACCAUCAAACAUUUUGAUUCGAAUAGAACCUAUGCCUUCAAUCUUGCAUGGUGAAUUAUCAAAACCCAAAACGAAACCAGCAGAAGUAGUGGAAUCAAAAGUAUUAAACCAAUCUCUAUGUGGACACAUAUGAAAAGUGCAUGCAGUGUCAAGUGCCCACUCAUCAUUGGUCUCAGCACAUCCAGCAAUAACGACAAGAGCAUCAUCGGAACUAUCAUCAUGAGCAACGUUAGCAAAAUUUUCACCUUGUUUGUUACCUUUCCUCUUUUCUUUAUUCUGCAACUUGAAACACUCAUAGAUGGCAUGCACGUCUCUCUUGCAAUACCUGCAAUACUUGUCUCUAGAUUGCGACCGGCCCCUGUAGCCAUUCUUACUUUUGCCUCUGUUUCCAUUAUUGGAGUUCUUCUCCUUUGUCCUGCCACGAAUAGAUAAUCCCUCGGCUUGGGAUGAACUUGAACCAUCAUGAGGCACCAUUAGUUUCAUCUUCUCCUUAGAGUUCAAAGCUUCAUAAACUUCAUUAAGCGUGAUAGUAUCACGACUAUAUAAUAUGGUGUCUCUAAAAUUGGUAUAGGAACCUGGCAGUGAACAAAGUAGCAUUAAAGCAGUAUCUUCCUCUUCAUACUUAACCUCCAUUGCAGCUAGAUCGGAUAUGAUCUCUUUAAAUUCUGAAAUAUGAUUCAAAACAUUACCUCCCUCAGGUAACCUGUACAGGAAUAAUUUUUGCUUCAGAUGCAUCUUACUGGUGAGAUCUUUUUUCAUGCAAAUCCCUUCUAGCUUUAACCAUAGAGCGGCGGCAGUUUUCUCGCUCAAAACUUCCUGCAAAAUAUUAUUAUGCAAAUGGAGUUGGAUUUUCGACAAAGCCUUACGAUCAAUUCUUUUCUCCUCAUCAGUCCAGUCCUCAAUUCGGUUUUUCUCAAAACUAUCCAGUGCUUCAUCAUAGUCGGUAUGUGUCAACAACGUCCGCAUCUUGACUUGCCAUAGGGUAAACAUUGUGUCACGGUCCAGCGGCGGACGAUCGUACUUCAUGGAAGCCAUGAGUAGAUAAUUCUGUAUACACAAAGUAGUACAAGCCCGUAGAAAAAUUCUUGAUAGAAUUAAUUUACUAGAGAAAAAUAAAAAAUACUGGAUAAAUAGCACCUAGGAGCUUUCUGGGGUAGAUGUAGCAACUGGAGUUGAAAACACAGGAGCCAGAACUAGCAGACUCUUGUCUUCACGUGAACAGGACCCAACUACUACUCCGUAGGUGAAAUUGGCUUCAAUCGUGGGAAGUACUAGGGGAGUGGCGUUUUGGCUCUCGGGUCCAGGUGAACCCGAAAUCUGAGCCGCCCAGACAAGCAUGGGGAUGUGUGCUGCAGGUCACUGCCGAAGGAAUACAGGAAUUGAAAAAGAUUUAUACACUGCAGGCUCACAGUGUACGUACAGACGAUUCAUGACGGGGGAGCGGACGGAGGUUGGCUCUGUUAAGGGCUCUGACGCACCUGUACUCUGGACCUGUACCUGGUCACGUAGUACAGAUAGCUUGUUUGGACGCCCCGCGUCAGCCAUCCCCACAUGUCAGGUGAAAGUAAUAAAGGAUGACAGAUAAAAAUACUGAUUCGGUUUCUGAUUCAGAUAAAUAAAUUAAAAACAUGAUAGAGUACGAGUCAAGACAUAAAAACUAAAGAAAAGCUUGUCGCAGAUGUAGUUCGUUAUAAUUUUUGCAACAAAAAGAAAAAUCGUCCAACACCACCGCCCGCACGAGCCACCAUCAGGUCCAAUGCCGCCGCCCACCUGCACCGCCACCACGGAGGCGACCACCACCGACCACCUACGCAGCUCGACCAUCGUCGCCCACCUGCGCACCUCCCCCACCACCACGCACGGGAGCGACUAGUGCAUCCACCGUCGGGCUCAGCGCCACCACCCACCUACACUAGUGCAGAACCGGGCAAUAGCACCGGUUCAUAAGGCCCUUUAGUGCCGGUUAGGUAACCGGCACUAAAAUUUCGGCACUAAAGCCCCCCCCCCCUUUAGUACCGGUUCAGCAUGAACCGGUGCUAAAGGGCAACCACGUGGCACGAGCCAGCUCCGGGGGCCGGGAGCCCUUUAGUACCGGUUGGUAACACCAACCAGUACUAAAAUGUUUUGGGGGUUUUUGAUUUUAUGAUUUCUUUUUCAUUUAAUUUUGUGUUUUCCAUUUUAAUUCUUUUUCGUUUGCUGGUAUUUUACGGUACUACACAUUGUACACGUUAUGCAUAUAUAUAUAUAUAUACAUAUAUAUAUAUAUAUAUAAAUAGAAUUUCUAUUAGAACCAAUCAUAUAUAUAUAUAUCAUCAAUCAUGUCUCACAAACCACCAUAUUAAUUCACACAUACACACAUGUAUAGCUAUAUACAAUUUCUCCUACAUAUGCAUGUUGCCUUCGGAGCCAGUGGCAUUAGCCUGAUUGGUGCCUUCGGAGCACGAUGACAAUUGGAAGUGGUUCAUGACCUGGUCGAUGGGGGCGGUAGCGGGUAAUAGUAUUCUCCCUUCGGAUUUAUGACCUGGUCGAGCAAAAAUCCCGCUAUUUCCUCUUGAAGUGCUUCUACGCGCUCCGUUUCUAGGAGCUUGUCCCGCACCUCUUUGAACUGUUAAGAAGGAGAUCAAUAUGCAUGUGUAUUAGUUGUGUGACUAGAUAUCGGUAAUGGUGUAAAAAUUGUGAAUAGUGUUCUGACAAGCGUACCCAUUCCUGUCUUUGAGAUCUGCUCCUUUUGGACGCCAUCAUGUGAAUAUUCUCGCAAACGCAGAAUGCACACAGAUCAGUCCCCUGCGCCUACUUCAGGGCCUUUAUUACGAGAAUAUAAUUUAAUUUGAUCAGAUAAUAAUUAAUCAAGCAUGAUAAUUAAAGAGAAGGCAGCUAGCUAGCUAGCUAGUACUACAUAAUUACUUACCUUGGCUCGAAACCAUUUUAGCUGUGGUUUCCAUUCGCUUUCCGUGACGCUAAUGAACCUUGCCCAAGCCCUGCCCACCGACAAAGAAAAUGAAUAAAGGGGUUAUUAAAUAGUUCAUAUCAUGAAAUGACGAACUAAAUAGGCCGAGAUAUAUAGUUAAUAAUGAUUGAAAUUACCUGUUGACUAUCCCAAACAAGAUGUUAUAGUCAUUAUUUGCUUUGAGUAGCGAGUCCAGUAUUUCAACUGUUCCGGCGUCAACUUUAAUGAUACACAAGAUCCAGUGAAAUCUGCAUGCACACACGUUUGUAUGUCUUAAUUAAGCGGGCAUAUGUAAGCAAAAACAUGCAGCUAGCUAAUUGGCAAAAACAGAGAAUUUGUAGUACAAGAAAGUGUGACUCACUGGAAGUUGUAAGGAAUUAGUAUAUCUUCAUUGUAUUUGAGGCGCUUCAAGAACUCGAACAUGCUGUCCUCUACCUCUUUUUCGUGAUGCUUGUUUAUUUUCCAUGUGUAUUCAUUAACGGUGUUUGGGUCAAUGAACCCAAUGCCAUAGCGUCCACCUUUUCUCAUUUCAUACAUCUUCAUCCUGCAUAAUACCACAGAAAAGAAUAUAGUGAGGAUAAUUACACGUAAUGAUUGAUCAAGAGGAUCACUACAACUAGCUUGAGACUUAAAUUACAGAAAGAAAUCACUUACAGACAAUAGCAACUGACGAUAGAUUUGUCGAGUGCAGCUUGAUUGUAUAACUGAAACAGUUCAGAAUACUCAACGGCCACAGCUUUCUCAUGGUAGUAAUCAUCCUUCUUGACAUACACCAUGAGGGACUCUCGAUCGGAUCUCUUGGUAAUGUCCAUGUACCAUUGAUGCAAUUCAUACAUUCUCGUUGGGAGCUUCUUGACAUCUUCUGGCUCGACCAAAGGUUGGCCCCGGACAUAUUUCCGUUUUAUUUCCUCCUCUGUAAGCAGAGGCAUGUCCUCGAUCUCGAGGAGUUGUCCAACAGUGAUCUUGAGUUCUUCAGCCUGCAUUAUAUGCUCCUGGGUUAUUACCACAUCGCCCACCUCGGGAACGUAAACUGUUUGGCCACAAUAAUAUUGGGCGCGCGUACUGUCACGUGUUGUUGGCGGCACAACAAGCGGGGGGUCGAUUGCGCCGCCUGUUUUCCCAACUGGGCAACGGUUUUGCCGCAUUUUUUGACAGCUGCUUGUUGUUUGCUCGAGCUCGAGCUUGCCUCCUUCUGUAGACGUUGUCGAUGUAACUUCUUGAUGGGCGCUCAUAGUCUGUGUCAACAGGCUUAGGAGCUGGUGGUUGAGCCAUACGAAUGAAGUGGUCAACUACUUCCACAGGCACUUUCUCCCUUGGCGGCAGUGGCGGUUUCGGUCCAAAAUGGGCGUCGACUUCUGCCCGCACUAUGGCAUUGGUUUGCUCCUCGGUCCUGUCAUAAACCCUCACAGGAAGAGGAGUACUGAGGUUUGGACCAUAUUUAUAUCGCUUGCCUCCGCCUGUACUUCCUGUACUAUCACCUCGACUCGUACCGCUAUGCACCAUAGCUGCGGGGUGUCUCUUCUGCGAUUGCUGAGGCGGCGGAGACGGCUGACGGGGCUGAGUUGGACGAGGAGGAGUGGCCUGAAGCUGUGCCGGACUUGGAGGAGGAGUGGCCUGAGGUUGUGCCGGACUUGGAGGAGGAGUGGACGUCUGACGCUGUGUCGGACUUGGAGGAGGAGUGGCCUGACACUUUGCCGGACUUGGAGGAGGAGGAGUGGCCUCACGCGUUGGUGGACUUGGAGCGGGAGUCUGCUGACUCGGUGGCGGACUUCGACGAGGAGUCGGGUGACGCGGUGUUGGUGGCCUUCGAAAGAUGAUGCAAUCCUUUCUCCAUAGGAUGACAUGAUGUAUGGCCUCUCCCAAUGUGUGCUCGUCGUCACCUCCAGGAAUGUCAAGCUGUAGCUCCGAAUAUGGGUCCACCACCUCAUCAACCAAGACACGAGCAUAGCCCGCUGGAAUCGGGUCGCAAUGGAAGGUUGCCUCGGGGGAAUUUGAAAAAGCAACGGCGUCCGCCACCUUCAUGGAUAUGUUCUUCAUUUUGAAGUGUAGCUCGCAGUUAGUGUUCUCCGUGAUGUCAUCCACGGGGUAUCUAUCCAGCACUGCGUCACCCGGGGCGGAACCUACGCUGCUUCUCGGCAUGGAUGGGGCGGUGGUAUCCAAUGCUGGAUCAUCCGCUAGCUGUUGCUGCUGCUGAGACCCCCUUUGCUGGCUAAGUGAGUCGAUCUGCUCCUGCUGCCGCUGGAAUUUAGCUGCCAAUUCCGCUUGACUUGCUUCUAGGCCUUGAAGGCGUUCAUAGUCCCGCUUCCUCUGCUCCUCCUCCAUCUUCCUCUUCUUCUCCUCCGCAAUCUUCUUUCUCGCACGGGUUCUCUAGUCGGCGUUCUAGUCCGAAAACCCCUCAUACCACGGAAUAGCGCCCUUGCCUCGUGUUUUUCCCGGGUGUUCAGGAUUUCCCAGGGCAUGCGUAAGCUCGUCGUUCCUAGGGCCUCGAUAUUGUACUUUACGCCCUCCUUCAACUUUUUGUUCGGGUCUCGUUUCGUCCUUUUGCCUGAAGAUUUGCUCGAUCCGGAUGGCUGAAAGAAGAAAGAUCAAUUCGUUAAUAUAUCUUCAACUCAUUUAAAACAUGCGAUGAUCACCAGAUUCCUGCUUAUAUAAAUAUAUAUAUACCUCGCCGGUGUUUGUUGUUUCAGGAUCAACAUGUUCUUCGUCGUAGUUCAUGACUUCAUCUUCUCGGUCGUCGCGAUCGAAUAUCAUAUCACCCUCUCUGGUGUUGUUUAGAAAUUCGGAGCCAUCAAAAUCUUCUUCAUUCUGAUCAUCAUUUGGCCCGCGUAUGAUAUCGAACAUGGUCUGUUCUCUCUCUCUCUCUCUCUGUCGGUAUUGUCCGUCAUAGCUUUUAUUUAACUAUGCCAAAAGAAAUAUAAAACAAUUUAGUAUAAUCUCGAAUAAUAGAUAUAAUCUCUAAUACAUCAUCUCGAAUAAUAGAUAUAAUCUCGAAUACAUUGUCUCGAAUAAUAGAUUUAAUCUCGAAUACAUCGUCUCGAAUAAUAGAUUUAAUCUCGAAUACAUCGUCUCGAAUAAUAAAUAUAAUCUCGAAUAUAUCGUCUCGAAUAAUAGUUUAAUCUCAAAUACAUCGUCUCGAAUAAUAGAUUUAAUCUCGAAUACAUUGUCUCGAAUAAUAUAUAAUAUUGAAUAGUACAUCAUUGGCUAGGCGGUGGACACCCAAAGAGAAGGAACCCUCACAGGAUCAUAACUGAAGUGAGAUCCCUGAAGAAACUGCCAGAUAUUGGAGAACCUGCUGCCCUCUAACGCAACCAUGUAGCGAUGGACGUGCUCGUCCUCCUCCCUGACACGACGACGUACCACCUCCGGCGGGGCCGGCUCCCUCCGCACCGAAACUGGCCCACGCGAACGCCACCAAACGAGAUCAGGGUCGACGACAGGACCUGGGGCCGGGUUCCUCAUCAAGCGGCGCGCCCCUCUAGGCAGCACCUCCCAGUGCCAGCCCGGCGGAGCCCAGUCCCGGACAUGGGUCAGCUGGACGUCGUCGCGAACGUGUCGACGGCGAGGAUGCGGGCCGGGCAUCGUCGACAACAAAAUACUAUAUGCCGCAAAAGUAAAGUAACAUUUUUUAAAUGAUGGGUCGUGAUGAUUUCAUAUAUGCAAAUUCUAAAUUUUAUAACUAAAAAUAUAAGAAACUAAAAAAACAUCGAUCAUCGUCUAACAAUUUGAAAUUAAUCUAAUUAAUUCAUCUAGCUAGCUAAAACUAACAUUUCCAAAAUUUCUAACAUUUCUACAACAUUUGACAUUAUAUAUAUUAUAACUAAUAUUUCUAUAUACUAUUUGACAUUAAUCUAAUCUAAUUAAUUAAUUCAUCUAAAACUUUGUAUGAAAAACAGAAAAACAGAAAAAACUAAAAGCUAAAAGCAGAAAAAUUGUGUGUGUGCGCGUCUAGUGUGUGUGUGUAGUGUGUGUGUGUGUGCAUGUAGUGUGUGUGUGCGCACGCGCGUGUGUGUGCGCUACGGUCGGCGCCGGCGCCGGUGUGGCUUUGANNNNNNNNNNNNNNNNNNNNNNNNNNNNNNNNNNNNNNNNNNNNNNNNNNNNNNNNNNNNNNNNNNNNNNNNNNNNNNNNNNNNNNNNNNNNNNNNNNNNNNNNNNNNNNNNNNNNNNNNNNNNNNNNNNNNNNNNNNNNNNNNNNNNNNNNNNNNNNNNNNNNNNNNNNNNNNNNNNNNNNNNNNNNNNNNNNNNNNNNNNNNNNNNNNNNNNNNNNNNNNNNNNNNNNNNNNNNNNNNNNNNNNNNNNNNNNNNNNNNNNNNNNNNNNNNNNNNNNNNNNNNNNNNNNNNNNNNNNNNNNNNNNNNNNNNNNNNNNNNNNNNNNNNNNNNNNNNNNNNNNNNNNNNNNNNNNNNNNNNNNNNNNNNNNNNNNNNNNNCGGCGACCGGGACGGUGAUGGGCCGGUGCGGCGACAGGCCGGCGACGGGGGUGCCGCGGAGUCGACGGGGACGACGCGACGAGGACGGGGGCGUCGCGGAGUCGACGGGGACGGCGCGACAGGGGCGGCGACGGCGCGGGACAGGGCGGCGGCAGAGAGAAGUGGGAGAUGAGAAACUGAAAAUUUUCGAAGUGUUUCUUAUAUAGGGGACACCUUUAGUACCGGUUGGAGCCACCAACCGGUACUAAAGGCCUGUUUUGGCUAGGCCAAGCGGCGGGAAGCGACCCCCUUUAGUACCGGUUGGUGGCUCCAACCGGUACUGAAGUCCCCCCCUUUAGUACCGGUUGGAGCCACGACCUGGUACUAAAGGGUGUGCGCUGCCAGGUGAGGGGCACAAAAGUUUAGUCCCACCUCGCUAGUCGAGGGGCACUCGCACCUGCUUAUAAGCCCCACCGUCGCUGCUCUCUCGAGCUCCUCUCUUAAGCAGGCCUUCUGGGCCUACCUCUUCUGCGAUGCCCUGUUGGGCCUACUAGGCUAGCGGGCCUGCAUCCUGGCCCAACUUGAAUUUGGGUUUCUAGUCGUAUGCAGGCCGCUGUGGCCCAGUAGGUGGGCUUUUUUUCUUAUUUUUUUGCUUUAUUUAUUUUUGUGAAUAACAUAACUUUGAAAAUAGAUUUUUCAGUGAUUCUUUUUUCUUAUGUUUAAUAUUAGUGUGUUUUAUCAUUAUAUUCAAUUUGGUAAUGCUUAUGUUAUUUAAAAAAUGAAAUGCCUUUGUAACGGAUGAGUUUUCGUCCGAAACCCUGAUACGUCGAAACAGAUUGUCCAUUUUGUACACGAAGUGCAUCCAGUUUUUGCGGUAACCCUCUCUACUUUUUUGCACAUGCUAUGUGGGUGAAAUUAUGAUACCAUGCCAACUUUCAUCCUUUUCUGAGUUCAUUUGAAAUGCUUUUCAAUUUCAGGUUCAUUUAGCUGAAAAAAUCAGUAAAUGCAUGAAAGAAUUUGCUUGCAUAUAAAAUUUCUUCGCGUUUCAAAUGCCAAAACACAUAACUAGCUACCCUAACUAUUACAGAGAUUCCUUCCUGGGUGUGAAACACAGAAGAAAGUGAUGAUAGUUAAGCCGAUCACAUCCCAGAUCUUUGGGUGUGAAACUUUUUCUUUGCGUGUGUCCCUUUGCGUCGUAGCCAUGGAAAAUAUUCAUCAUUUAACGGGGUGCUCGGGUUAAUAUUCACUGUGAAUGGAGCAAUUUCAUCAAACUUUUCAUAAUCUUCUGACUUGUCUGUAUUGUCAUCCACUCCCACGAUGUUUCUCUUCCCAGAAAGAACUAUGUGCCGCUUUGGCUCAUCGUACGAUGCAUUCGCUUCCUUAUCUUUUCUUUUUCUUGGCUUGGUAGACAUGUCCUUCACAUAGAAAACUUGUGCCACAUCAUUGGCUAGGACGAAUGGUUCAUCUGCAUACGCAAGAUUGUUGAGAUCCACUGUUGUCAUUCCGUACUGCGGGUCUUCCGUUACCCCGCCUCGUGUCAUAUUGACCCAUUUGCACCGAAACAACGGGACCUUCAAACCACGUCGAUAGUCAAGUUCCCAUAUGUCCUGUAUAUAACCAUAAUAUGUUUCCUUUCCCGUCUUGGUUUCUGCAUCAAAGCGGACACCACUGUUUUGGUUGGUGCUCUUCUUAUCUUGGGCGAUCGUGUAAAAUGUAUUACCAUUUAUCUCGUACCCUUUGAAAGUCAUUAUAUUCGAAGAUGGUAACUGGGACAGCAAGUACAGGUCAUCUUCAAUAGAGGUGUCAUGCAUGGUACGUGCUUGCAACCAGCUAGCGAAACUCCUGGUUUGUUCACGUGUAAUCCAGUCAUCAGACCGCUCCGGGUGUUUGGAGCGUAGCAAAUUCUUGUGUUCAUCCAUAUACGGAGCCACCAAGGCGGAAUUCUGUAGAACUGUGUAGUGUGCUUCAGUGAGAGAAUGUCCGUCCAUACAUAUUAUUUGUUCCCCUCCUAGCGUGCCUUUUCCAUCCAGUCUGCCCUUAUGCCGCGAUUCAGGAAUACCAAUCGGCUUAAGGUCAGGAAUAAAGUCAAUACAAAACUCAAUGGCCUCCUCAUUUUGACGGCCCUUGGAGAUGCUUCCUUCUGGCCUAGCACGGUUAUGAACAUAUUUCUUUAAGACUCCCAUGAACCUCUCAAAGGGGAAUAUAUUGUGUAGAAAUACAGGACCCAAAACGUUAAUCUCUUCGCAUAGGUGAACUAGGACGUGCGUCAUGAUGUUGAAGAAGGAUGGUGGGAACACCAACUCGAAACUGACAAGACAUUGCACCAAAUCAUUUUGUAACCUUGGUAUGAUUUCUGGAUCGAUUACCUUCUGAGAGAUUGCAUUGAAAAAUGCACAUAGCUUCACAAUGGCUAAUCGAACGUUUUCCGGUAGAAGCCCCCUCAAUGCAACCGGAAGCAGUUGCGUCAUAAUCACAUGGCAGUCAUGAGACUUUAGGUUCUGGAACUUUUUAUCUGCCAUGUUUAUUAUUCCCUUUAUAUUCGACGAGAAUCCAGACGGUGCCUUAAUACUGAGCAGGCAUUCAAAGAAGAUUUCCUUCUCUUCUUUAGUAAGAGCGUAGCUUGCAUGACCCUGAUGUAUGCCGUUUUUUCCAUGCAUACGUUGCUGGUCCUCCCGUGCCUCAGGUGUAUCUUUUGUCUUCCCAUACACUCCCAAGAAGCCAAGCAGGGUCACACAAAGAUUCUUCGUCACGUGCAUCACGUCGAUUGCGGAGCGGACCUCGAGGUCUUUCCAAUAGGGCAGGUCCCAAAAUAUAGAUUUCUUCUUCCACAUGGGUGCGCGUCCGUCAGCAUCAUUCGGAAUAGGUUGUCCACCAGGACCCUUUCCAAAGACCACCUUCAAAUCCUUGACCAUAUCAUGUACAUCAGCAUCAGUACGGUGGCGAGGCUUCGUCCGGUGAUCCGCCUCACCUUUGAAAUGCUUGCCUUUCUUUCUUACGGGAUGCCUGCUUGGAAGAAAUCGACGAUGUCCCAGGUACACAUUCUUAUUAGCCAAAUAUAUACUGUCGGUAUCGUCCAAACAGUGCGUGCAUGCACGGUAUCCCUUGUUUGUCUGUCCUGAAAGGUUACUGAGAGCAGGCCAAUCAUUGAUGGUCACGAACAGCAACGCCUUUAGGUCAAAUUCUUCCCUCAUGUGCUCAUCCCACGCACGUACACCUGUUCCAUUCCACAGUUGUAAGAGUUCUUCAACUAAUGGCCUUAGGUACACAUCAAUGUCGUUGCCGGAUUGCUUAGGGCCUUGGAUGAGCACUGGCAUCAUAAUGAACUUCCGCUUCAUGCACAACCAAGGAGCAAGGUUAUACAAAAAUAGAGUCACAGGCCAGGUGCUAUGGUUGCUGCUCUGCUCCCCAAAAGGAUUAAUGCCAUCUGCGCUUAGACCAAACCAUACGCUUCUUGCGUCAUCUGCAAACUCCUUCCCGUACUUUCUUUCGAUUUUUCUCCACUGCGACCCGUCAGCGGGUACUCUCAACUUUCUGUCUUUCUUACGGUCUUCUCUGUGCCAUCGCAUCGCCUUGGCAUGCUCUUUGUUUUGGAACAAACGUUUCAACCGUGGUAUUAUAGGAGCAUACCACAUCACCUUGGCAGGAAUCUUCUUCCUGGGGCGCCGGCCCUCGACAUCACCAGGGUCAUCGCGGCUGAUCUUAUAGCGCAAUGCACCACAUACCGGGCAAGCGUUCAAAUCCUCGUACUCACCGCGGUAGAGGAUGCAAUCAUUAAGGCAUGCAUGUAUCUUCUGCACCUCUAACCCUAGAGGGCAGACAGCCUUCUUUGCUUCGUACGUACUCUCGGGCAAUUCGUUGUCCUUUGGAAGCAUAUCCUUUAUCAUUACCAGCAACUUUCCAAAUCCCUUGUCAGAUACACCAUUCUCUGCCUUCCAUUGCAGCAAUUCUAGUGUGGUGCCCAGCUUUUUCUUGUCACAUACGCAAUUCGGGUACAACAAUUUUUUGUGAUCCUCUAACAUGCGCUGCAACUUCUUCUUCUCCAAAUCACUUGCGCAGUUUCUCUUUGCAUCGGCAAUGGCCCGACCUAGAUCAUCAACGGGCUCAUCUGAUGCCUCUUCUUCAGCUUCUUCCCGCAUUGCCGGCUUAGCUUCUUCCUGCAUUACCGGCUCAGCUUCUUCCCCCAUUGUUGUAUCAUCGUAUUCAGGGAACCCAUGGCCGGGAUAGCUGUCGUCGUCCUCUUCUUCUUCAUUGUCUUCCAUCAUAACCCCUCUUUCUCCGUGCUUGGUCCAAACAUUAUAAUGGGGCAUGAAACCGGACUUAAACAGGUGGACGUGAAUGGUUCUUGACGUAGAGUAAUUGUGACCAUUCUUAAAGCGAGCACAUGGACAAGGCAUAAAACCAUCCGCCCGCUUGUUUGCCUCAGCCGCAAGCAGAAAAGUAUGCACGCCCUCAACGAACUGGGGAGAGCAUCGGUCAUCGUACAUCCAUUGCCGGCUCAUCUUCAUUACACAACACCGAAUAGACCAAAUUAAUACAAGUUGAUACAUAAAGUUCAUACAACACUUAAAUGCAACAAACAAAUAACUCUCUGGCUAAAGCAUUUAAAUGCAACAACAAAUACGAUCAAGAUCGCAACUAAGGUAACAAUGGAUCCAACAGCAUAAUGAUACCAAGCCUCACUAUCGAUGGCAUAUUUUCUAAUCUUUCUAAUCUUCAAGCGCAUUUUCUCCAUCUUGAUCUUGUGAUCAUCGACGACAUCGGCAACAUGCAACUCCAAUUCCAUCUUCUCCCCCUCAAUUCUUUUCAAUUUUUCUUUCAAGUACUCAUUUUCUCUUUCAACUAAAUUUAACCUCUCGGCAAUAGGGUCGGUUGGAAUUUCCGGUUCACAUACCUCCUAGAAAAAAUUUCUGUGUCAACUUGAUGGGCAUAAUUUGUCAUAAACACGAAAUGCAACUAGUUUUAAAAGAGAAUAUACAUACCACAUCCGAAUCAUAACAAGGACUAGGGCCGACGGGGACGGAUAUCAAAACCAUGGCACUAUAUGUAUAACAAACAACGUACGGGUAAGAUAAUUAUACGAGUAACUAUAUAUCCAAAUCACACAAACAUCAAUUUUUAUAUAAAAUUUCAUGAACAAGAGGCUCACCACAAGGUGGUGCCGGCGACGGGACGGUGCGGGCGAUCGACGGUGGCUACGAUGGAGAUUUAGAAGGCACUAAGUAAACCACACCUACAUAUGCAAACUAAGUGUUAUUUUUGACCUCAAAUUUCAUAUAAAUCAAAUACUAGCACAUAUAUAUAUCCUCCCAAAUUACUAAACUCACAAAUUAAUCACUAUAUAAAGCAUUGCAAGAGCUAAUCUAGCAAUGAGAGAUGAAAGGACAAAGUUGUUAACCUUUGUGAUCAUUUGAAUGGAUGGGGGCCUUCAAAUCUUGACAAAUUUUGGGCAAAAUGUGUGAUGAGCUCAAGAGGAAGAGGGGAAGAACAGAGAGGAGAGGGGAAAGGGGAAGAACAGAGCGAGCUCGGGUGGACGAAGGGUUUAUGUAGGACGACCUUUAGUACCGGUUUGUGCCAAGAACCGGUACUAAAGGGGCUGGAGGGGCCCCAUUUUGACAACAUCCUGCCACCACUCUCAUUAGUACCGGUUCGUGGCACGAACCGGUGCUAAAGUUUCGCCACGAACCGGUACUAAUGAAAGCGGCCCGGCUAGCCGUUGGAACCGGCACUAAUGUAUACAUUAGUGCCGGCUCAAAUACAAACCGGCACUAAUGUGCUUCACAUUUGACCCUUUUUCUACUAGUGCUACGCCGCUGCCAUGGGGAUGACCACCGCCGCCCACCUGCGCCACGUAGGCGACCACCACCGCCACUCGCAGGACCAGACACUUCGUCCGCUUUGGCUGCCGCCGCCACGGAUUAUUGUUGUGCAGUCAAGAGUGUCACUGCAUGAUCUGAAUACAGUCAAAUAUACAGAGAAUAUACAGUCAAGAGUGUGAAAACAGUGACUGAAUUUACUGAACUUAUGCUAAUGAACUACUGAACUCACAACAAAAAUCUACAAUUCUAAAAAAUCUGAGAUCUAAUGAAUCUACUUCUUGAGUUGGUCCUGGCUUGCAAGAGUACAUCCUACUGGACAUAUAUAGCAGAGGUUAUGCAGAACCAAAUUGUCAUUGUGGUUUCAGUACAAGAAUUGAGUGGUAGUGAGAUCAGAACAACCACAAGAAUUGUCAUUGUCAUUGUGGUUUCAGCAAAUAAAGUUUCUGCUGGCUAAUCGAACUAGCAAACAAACAAGGGUUCUUGAGUUUCACUAGAAAUGCUGUUUUGCAAUUAAAGUGAGAUGAAAACAAGUGAAGUACUAAAUGUGUUUGCAUGAUUGAGUCAAGUUUCAUCCAUAUCAUUGUCAUUGUCACUGAAUGAAUGAUUCAGUCAAGUUGCACUAGAAUUUGAUUUUGUAGUACACAUUGUGAUUUAGUCAAGUUUCGCCCAGAAUGACAAGUUAAACUUGACUGUCAAUUUUCAUUCAUUUCUGUGUGUGCACGAUUCAGUCUAGGUUCACUAGAAUUUCAUUUCACAGUACCAGUUUUCAAACAACUCUCCCUGAUUCAGUUAAACUGUCAUUGUCAUUUUGCUGAGAUCUUGUUUGAAACUAGUACCCCCACCCAUAUCAACAACACUAAAAUUUGUCGAGGUACUGAAUCCACCCACAUCAACUUUGACACAAACCUAAAGGUACUUAAUCCUAACAGGUUGUUGUGUUAAUAUCAGCAGCUCUAAAUGUGUGAAGGUACUGAACCGAGCGUACCUGAAUAAGUGAUUGUUCAUACUGGAGAGCAUGCCCGGUUAAUGCUGGAGAAGCCUGAAAAGCAUCCAAGUAAUCUUCCUAACCUGGUAUAGGAGAGAUGCAAUGUGUAAAAAAAUCCAGUCUUUCAUCAGAUAUCCAAAAUCUAGUGAACUGAACUGAAACUAAAUGGCCCAAGGGAGAAGUGGACCGACCUGCAGGAAGUGGAGUUGUGCGCGGGGGUCGUCGACGGGAACCGGCUGGUAUGUGGCCACCACAAAUUCCUCAUUUGCCUCCCGCUCAUCUGUGCUAGUGACGGCGAGGGGGUAGGUGCAGGCGGGGAGGGGCGCGCGGAGGUGGGCAGGCAGGAGCGCACGGGGUGUGGGGAGUGCCAUGGCGAGGUGAAGAGGCCGGGUCGGCGAGGCGACGGACGGAGGAGGGGGGAGUUAAUGGUAGUGGAGGUGGACAUGAACGACGGCCUCCAUGGCCAGGGGCACUUGGGGAUGGAUGCGCCGUUGGUCCGCCGCACAAAAUCCAAGCUUUAGAUCUGGAACCAGGCAGCGGCGGCGCAGCAUGGGGGAAGAAGGCGACGCCGGCCUGGACCUGGGGGGGGGGGGACUGGCUCAUCUAACUUCGCUCCUAUGAAGUUAGGGAAACAGUACUCUAACUUAGUCUGUGAACCAUCAGAUGGAAAAUAGAUGGCCAAGAUUCUGCACUGUUCACAUGGGGUUGUAGCAUACUGUUUGGACGAGCACUGUAGCUAAAAUCACUGUUUGUUACCUGUAGCAAUUGACACUGUUUAAGAACUGUAGCGAUAGAUCUCAGCCAUUUAUUCUAGAUUCAACGGAUGAAAUGUGGCUAAGUUAGGCUCCUAACUUCACAGUAGCUAAGUUAGAGGAGCUGGUUCCCCUGGGGGGAGGACUCGGAGGAGCGAUCAAGGCGGCGUGGGCGGGGGAGAUGGGGAGCGUCGCGUGGUACGGGGUGGGCGGUGGAGGUAGACUGGUGGGGGAGAAGACUCCAAAACGUAUGUGUCCGUCAUCCCCGCUCUGUACCGAAACGGCGUUAGCAAGCCACGUGAUUUCGCAUGUGGGCCAGGGUACAUUUUCUAAAUCCGAAUAGACAGGAGAAUAAUUUUCUAUGCGUGAAUCGCAAGGCACAUGUGUGGUCCAGACUGUGGGAGCAUCUGGACCCGGGAGCCAAGUUGCAUUUCCGUAGCACUAGCGAUUAAUUAAAAUCGCGUGAGUAGUAGCAGCAACAAUGCGUAAUCUCCUCGGAAUUUGAAGCCGUACGUGGACGGAAGAGAUGGCCGAGCUUCUGGCUGGUAGCGGCGUACGGCGGCUGUAGCAGCGGCAGACCCCGCACACGUGAUGAGCGUACGGUACGCAAGGACGGCGGGUAGCAGAUCACAAAUCGCGUCCGCAAAACUUUGGUCUCGAUUUCGAUCUGGCUUCAGAUCUUCGGAUCGCGUGCGGCGGCUGCACACGACGGAACCCUAACUUUCUCGUCUCUAAUUUCGUAUCUGAAACUUGGCUCUGUAUAUCAUUUGUUAGAUCAUAGCGAGAAAUAAACUAGACAGAGAGACACGGAUUUUUACGUGGAAACCCUUGCGGAAGAAAACCACGGACGUACGAAGGCACAAUCAUUAUGAGGGGGAGUAUUACAAGUACGAGACGACAGACCGUCUGAGGUGCGACUACAAGGGGUAUAGCAAUACAUGAGAGUCCUUGAAGAACAAGUAAACGAGUUAUACUCGUACGCGUCGGUACCAACGCAAAGGUCCACACCGUAUGUACUACGUCUAGUCCAAUACGGUAGAAUUUGGAUCAUAAUUUAACAAAUGAUGUGAAGGGUGUGUAUGUGCUGGUAAGUAGAAAGUUAAAGAUUUAUUUGUUGCAUGCGCUUGAUAAUGUGGAUGACUUGUACGUGCAUUUAAAUGGAAGAUGGAUAUGUGGGACUUAAUAGCGUUUUACAUACAUACGUGCUGCUAGCUUGUGAUCUAUUAUAUUGACAUUGAAGGAAGUGAAAAACGAGCUGUUAAAAAAAACUAGGUAUUGAUUUUGCCAUGGUCUCAUUAAUUACAUGACCAUUUUCUGUGGCCAUACAAGUUUUUAAAAAUGUUAUAGAUCAUUUCUAGUCACAUGCCCAAUUUUGAGUGUUUUUUGGGCUUUUCUUAUGUUUUUAGAGAAUUUGAUCAUAAUGCAUAGCUAACAGUGUUUAAUCUAGAUCGUGCGCUAGUAGAUCUAGACUUAGUAGCGUUUCACUUCCCGUCACACGCCGCUAACUAGGUUUUAUACAUAUUGUCUUAUUAUUAGUAUAUCAUAUUGCAAUUAGUUCUAUCUACAUGAUCGAUAACAUACAUAUAUGAAGAAGUAUUGCUUGAAUAUCCGAAGUACAUGCAUAAUACAUAUUAAUUCAGAGAGAACUAGGUUUUGGUAAUAUCAAGAACUAAAAGCGGUGCAUAACUAGCCAUUGCUACUCUGGAUAAUGCCUAAGCGGAAAACAUCAUUAGUGCAAUGGAUGCCACCAGAAGAAAUCUUACUACUGAUCCAACUAGGAGUACGAAACAAAUCAUCACAACAAUGAGGAGUGUGUAUUGAAACUUCUCAAAGUUUUCUAUCUUGGCUCGGAUCUCGUUGUUUUGGGUGUGCAUAACAUUAAUUUGUAUUUGUUGCUCAUCAUCCAUCUUCACUUGCUUCUCGUGUGCGUCUGUCAAAGCAUCAUACAACCAGGCUCUAAAUGAUCGAGUGCGGUACUGGACCAACUGGUUUAUGUAAGCCAUUAAGAGAUCGACCCAUAUCCAUGUAUAACAAGAGUAUGGUUUCCUUCAUGAGUGUGUCGUAAUUAAUGCCAUGAAAAAAAAUAGAGUUACAAGCCAAAUAUCUACUCCCUCCGUUCCAAAUUACUCAUCAUGGUUUUGGUUCAAAUUUGAACAAAAACCACGACGAGUAAUUUGGAACAGAGGGAGUAAUUAAUUAAGAGAAUAAGAUGUUUUGUUGCACGUUCUCAAUUUCCUUGCAUGCACACAUGAGAUAUUCUCGAGUUGGAUUUCUUUUUGAGUACGAGGUUUCCUUCACAAGAGGACAUUUGCAGCCGCAAAAGAGCACAUAUUGGCUGCCCGGGUGAAGGUGGGCUUUGUUGCCGGUGGUGUACGAAAUGCUGCCGGAUCCGAUAGACGGCAUGCUGUUGCGACGCGAUGAUAUGCCCGACACAUCUGACAACAAUGGAGAGCUCAUGGUGGGUAGCCCGUGUUGAGAGAAGAAAAGUACAAGGAGAAGGACGGGAAAAAUAUAUUUAUUGAUGGAAAUGUGGGGGUGGGAUAGAUGUAGUAGUGAUGCAUGUAGAUUUAGGGAGAAAGAAGUAAAAGGAGAGAGGGGUGAAUAUCAUAAUGAAGGGGUUGAAGAAAAAAGAGAGAGUGGAAGGACAGAAGAAGGGGUGGCCAAUUAUUGGGCGCAGACGUUAGCAGCGUCUAAGGCAAGCUAACGCUACUAGUCCGUACUUAUUAGCAGCGGUCAGGCCAAGUAAACGCCGCUACUGUCUUCACUUCUGCAGCGUUCGGUUUUUUCUCGGACAUUGCUGGUAGUUAGUGAAGCUAGCAGUUGCGUCAUAUUUUUCUUAAACGCUGCUAGUAUAGUAAAAUCCUACGGGUUGAGAAGGAAUCGUUCAGAGAAAACACACCGGGUACAGCCAGCGCGCUGGAGUAGAUCUCCACCUCCACCUGUACCACGCAGGUUGUUUUGCUCCUCCCCCCUUUCCUCGUCGGCGAUUAGCCUGCUCUGCUCGCUUGGCCUGCCCUGCAGCGUGUAUAAAUAAAGAGGCCGAAGAUGGUCAGCGGUGAUUGUUGUAAAAGACACCAACCCGCUCUCUAAAACUUGCUGGGUCAUCGUAGAAGACACAACUGCUUCUGAGCACACCGCACAAUGGCUUACAUGUGUUAACUAGCUUCUCAUUCUGUUUCUUCUGGUGUCGCUAGAAAACAUGUUCCCCUCUUUUAAUUCCACUGGAUUGUCCAGGUACGUGAAAGCAAAAUCUUGCUAACUCAAAACGCAGUUCGCGCUCAGAGUUGGACUGGCCAAUUAUAGAAGCGCAAAUCCAAUGUUGUAUUCCGAAAAUUACAGCCCGAGUAAACAUGGGUAGAAAUUUUGUUCCCAAAUAUACAGGAUGACUCCGCGCAUCAGUAGAUACGUUCGCCAAACACGUUGAUGGCGGCUAGACCACAGAAUACUAGAUGCCGAUCAUGGCCAUUGCUGAGCGGUGGCACACCAGAGCAGCACACCGCGCCUUACUUGAUCUUCGGUUUCUGCUACGCUUUGGCAUCCUGAUGUCUCCUAUUCUGAAGUUGUCUACGUUUCUAAAUGCGCAUACAUAUGCAUGUACGUUGCUACUACUUGCUAGCUAGCCUGCACUACCUUCGUCCAUUUCUCUAGCUUGUUUCUGCUAACAAGUCACAAGUUUUUAUAGGAGAGAAGACUAGUGGAACACUUGAAAUAAAGAGCGAGCUUUCUCCAUCAAUCACGAAGAUCCAAAAAUUGAUUGGCAUGUCCUAUACAUUGUGGUUGGUUGAGAACCUUUAUCUACAUUGAAACCGUUCUAGGACAUAUUAUUUUCUAGAAGAUAUUCGUAAAUAAAUGAUUUUCCACAUAGAGGCCUUCUCAUUCAUAUAUGUGAUACUUUUGCGCAGUUCUUUAGCGGUCAUUUCAAAUUUUGGUGAGCCAACUCAACUCAUUAUUUUCCAUGUCCAUACUGUAAUAAAUUAAAUAACUAGCACUAUUAAUUCCCGAAGAAGAACUAACUAGCACUCGGAUGGAAAGCAACGUAUGGUACAUGUAUAUGCCAUCAUGGGAGAUAGGUGAUCAAAUAAAGGAUCAUAUGUUUGUCUCGUUGCUAAAAAGAGACUACGAAUUAAUUCAAAUAUUAGUUGGGUAUGUUCUAACUUUUGGGACAUUAGACAAUAAAAAAAUAGCUAAUCAUUGUAGGCAUAAAAUUCUCAUCUACUUGUCUUAUUAAGAACUUCUUGCAUAUUGGACCACCUGCGACCAUAUUGACAAAAAGGUCCACCCCUGAAUGUAAUUGACGAAACUACCAUGGCAUUAGGCCCGACAGCCGACACAUGGCACCUACCGCCCCAGCUGGAGGAGGCAGGGCCUGCCACCGUAGCCCGUGGCAGCAAGUUGAGCAGAACGGCUAGCAAAGCUGAUGGUUAUCGAAAGUGCUCCAGCCGACGACACGGAUUUGUUCCCAUGCGAAGCUGAUUCCCAUGCACGUUGAAUCUCUCUUAGUCAUUCCCGCUUAAUUUUUCUGCCAUCACACUCAUAAUCUGAGCCUAUAAAAUAGGCCAUCGAACCUCUCUUCAUCCUUCAUCGAGAAACUGUCCUUAGCCAUCUCUCUGUUCAUGUCUGGUGACCCUUCCUGUUGUUUUACUCCAACGAUGUCUCAUUUUCUUUGGUCAGGUGUGGCAGGAAUAAUGCAGACUGUUAGUAGGGGAGGUGUGCAUUUUGAAGAACUAGAUAACGCUUGCACGUUGCUGCGGAAAUUUUUAGCAAUGAAUUUAUUAAAAAUAAAAUUAGAAUAUAUGAGAGUAUUACUGCACCACAUUCAGCUUAGGAGUAAACGAAAGGUUGAUGCAUGCAUUCAAAUUCAGUUAUUUAUUAUUGAAAAAUAAUCAAUCAUGUGAAGCAUUUUCAUGUGCUUGAUGAUGUGGAGGGCUUGCAUGCGGUGGAAGGGAAACAAAUGAAAAGUUGAAUGAUUGCAUGUCGCUUUAUGAUGUGGAGGGUGUGUGUGUGGUGGAAAGUAGAAAGUUAAAGGUUUAUUGGUUGGCACUUGAUGAUGUAGAUUCCAUGUGCAUUUAAAUGGAAGACAGUAUAUGUGGGACUUAGUAGUGUUUUACCUACAUAGACACACUGCUAACUUAAUCUAUUAUAUUGACACUGAAGGAAGUGAAAAAUGAGUUGUUAAAAAAACUAUGUAUUGAUUUUGCCAUGGUCUCAUUACAUGACCAUAUUUCGGUGACCAUACACGUUUUUUUAAAAAUGUUAGAGAUCAUUUAUAGUUACAUGCCCAAUUUUAGGUAUUUUUUGGUUUUUCUCAUAUUUUUAGAGAAUUUAAUCUUUAUGCAUAGUUAACAGCGUGUAAUCUGGAUCGCACGCUGCUAGAUCUAGACUUACUAGCGUUUCACUUCCUGUCACACACUGCUAACUAGGUUUUUAUACAUAUUGUCUUACUAUCAGUAUAUCAUAUUGAAAUUAGUUCUAUCUACUUGAUCGAUAUAUAACAUACAUAUAUGAAGAAGUACUGCUUGAAUAUCUGGACUACAUGCAUAAUACAUAUUAAUUUGGAAGAACUGGUUUUUGGUAAGUUCAAGAACUAAAAGCAAUACAUAACUGGCCAUUGCUACUCUCGGUGAUGCCUAAGCGGAAAACAUCACUAGUGCAAUGGAUGCCACCAGAAGAAAUCCUGCAAGUGAUCUAGCUGGGAGUACGAAACAAAUCAUCAUAACAAUGAGUGCAUAUCGAAGCUUCUUAAAGUUUUCUAUCUUGGCUCGGAUUUUUUUUUGGGUGUGCAUAACAUUCAUUUGUAUUUGCUGCUCAUCCAUCUUGACUUGCUCCUCAUCCAUCUUUACUUGCUUCUCGUGUGCGUCUGUCAAAGCAUCAUCCAACCGGGCUCUGACUGAUCGAGUGCGGUAUUCAACCAACUGAUUUAUGUAAGCCAUUAAGAGAUCGACCCAUAUCCAUGUGUAGCAAGAGCAUGGUUCCUGCAUGAGUGUGUACAUAAUUAAUGCCAUGAAAACUGGAGUUAGAAGUCAAAUAUUUAAUUAAUUAAUUAAGAGAAAAAGAUGGUUGUUGUACGUACCUGGGUUCCCUUACGUGCACACAUGAGGUAUUUUCAAGUUGGGUUUCUUUUUUAGUACGACGUUUUGUUCACAACAGGGUAUUUGAAGCCGCAAAGGAGCACAUGUUGGCUGCCUGGAUGAAGGUGCGCUUCCCUAUCUGUGGUGGACGAAAUGCCGCCGGAUCCGCCAGACGACAUGCUAUUGCGAUGCGAUGAUAUGCCCGACACAUCCGACAACAACGGAUAACUCAUGGUGGGCACCUGAUGUUGAGAGAAGGAAAGUACAAGGGGAAGAUCAAGGAGAAAUAGAUCUAUUAAUGAAAAUGUGGGGUUGGGUUAGAUGUACUAGUGAUGUAUGUAGAUUUUGAGGAAAAAUAAGUAAAGAGGGAGAGGGGUGAAUAUCAGAAUGAAGAGGGGUGAAGGAAGAAGAGAGAGUGGAAUGACUGAAGAAUGGGUGGUCAAUUAUUGAGUGCAAAACUUAUCAACGUGUAGGGCAAGCGAAAGCUGUUAGUUUGUAUCAAUUAGCAGCGUCCAGGCCAAUUAAACGCCGCGGUGUCUGGCUUAUAACACCCAUGUGUUUGUCAGUGCUCAGUCUGUCAGACAUCCAAAUAGCAGUGUUUCGUAAAACAGCACACGCAGCUACAAAGAGUGACACUGGCGGCCUGCACGUUGUGGCACAAGGGCUAGUUUCAUGUACAAACCUUGUAGCGUUCCAUUUUUCCGAACGUUGCUACUGUCUUCACGUCUGCAUCAUUUGGUUUUUUCUCGGACACUGCUGAUAGUUAGUGAAGUUAGUGGUUCCGUCCUAUUUUCCUGGAACGCUUCUAGUAGUAAAACCCUAUAAUGGUCGACGAAAUAUGAAUCGGAGACUUAAUCCUGAUAUACCUCAAAACGAUACAUUCUUGUUACCACGAGAUGUAUUAUCCGCUAUGGAUCAUUUGAUUGGAAUGAAAUUUGAAACGGGUAUACUUGACUAUGACGAUAUGAAUCACCUGAAAAAUAAAGCGUAUUCAUUCCGUUGCAGAUUUGUUACCAUGAUCAAAUCGGAUUGGCUCUUGGUCAUUUACAACAUGCAGUUCAAAAAAACUAUUCGUAAAGUAUUCAUACGUCAAUCGAAACAGACUAGAGGUUUCCCUACUAGGCCUCAUUCGGUUUGGAGGAUUUCUAUAGGAAACUAGCAAGAUGCCCAUGCGUUGCACGAAACGUCAAGAUGCAUUCCUAUGAGUAGUUUAUUUUGUGAGAGAAAAUGAUGAACGAGGGAAGGCCUUAUUUGUAAAUGUAGAGAAGGGUGUGGGUAUCUUUUUGCAAAAUUGCCAUUGUUUCCUUCCUAUCCAUCAGAUAUAAAUCGGACGGUCUAUAUUGCAGGAUGGCAGGCACACCAUCAACACCAACUCUGUCUUUUAUAAGAGCAGAGAAAUGUAGGAACAAGGAUCCCACAAGAAAAAUUCCUAUAGAUGCAUUCGGUUUGUAGGAAACACAUACGGGAAUUUCAUAAAAAUACUAUUCAUUUCCUGUAUUUUUGGAGAAAUCUAUACAUCCACUCAAAACUCAUUUUGAGCGUAGGAAUGAGGUAAGACAAUUCCUUAGAAUGGCAACUUGCCAUACUAUCAAAUUCCUAUACUACUUUUAAUUCUUACAUUUUGAUUUCCUUCAAACCGAACGAGGCCCUAGUGGCCUGUCCGGUAAAUAUGGAAGGGUCGAGAAGGAAUCAUUCAGAGAAGAGACACCGGGUACAGCCAGCGCGCUGGAGUAGAUCUCCAUCUCCACCUGUACCAUGCAGGUUGCUUUGCUCCUCCUCCCUUUCCUCAUCGGCGAUUAGCCUGCCCUGCUCGCUCCGACAUGGCUGACCCUGCAGCUUCUCAUUCUGUUUUCUUCUGGUGUUGCUAGAAAACAUGUGUCCCUCUUUAAUCCCACUGGAUUUUAUAGGUACAUUGCAAAGCAAAAUCUUGCUAACACAAAGCGCAGCUCGCGCUCAAAGUUGAACUCGCCAAACAGAAGCACAGAUCCAAUGUUGAAUUCCGGAAAUUACAACCCGAGUAAACAUGUGUAGAAAUUUUGUUCCCAAAUACAGGAUGGCAUCGUCUUUUUGUAGAUCUAUUUGCCAAACAUGUUGAUGGCGGCUAGACCACAAAAUGCUAGAUGCCUAUCAUGGCCAUUGGUGGGCGGUGGCACGCCAGAGCAGCACACCGUGCCUUACAGGUGAUUCAGUUUUUUCUACGCUUUGUCAUCCUGAUGUCUCCUAUUCUGAAGUUUUCUACAUUUCUAAAUGUGCAUACAAUACAUAUGCAUGUACCUUGCUACUGGCUAGCUAGCCUGCACUACCUUCGUCUAUUUCUCUAGCUUGUUUCUUCUAACAAGGCACAAGUUUUUAUAGGAGAGACGACUAGUGAAACACUUGAAACAAAGAGCGAGCUUUCUUCAUCAAUCGCAAAGAUCCAAAAAUUGAUUAGCGUGUCCUAUACAUUGUGGUUGGUCGAGAGCCUUUAUCUACAUUGAAACCGUUCUAGGACAUGUUAUUUUCUAGAAGAUAUUCACAAAUAAAUGAUUGUCCACAUAGAGGCCUUCUCAUUCAUAUGCGAUGCUUUUGGCGGCAGUCCUUUAGCGGUCAUUUUAAAUUUUGGUGAGCCAGCUCAACUCAUUAUUUCCCAUGUCCGUACUGUAAUAAAUUAAGUAACUAGCACUAUUUUCAAAGAAGAACUAAGGGCAUUGCCAAUGCAUAGCCUCAAACUGAUGUCCCGCAUAUGAUGUAGACUUGGAUGUCAGAAAAAAUUUGGAUCGGAUGGUACUAUGAGAUUUUCAGCAGGAGGCAGGUGCUUGAGAGGAAAAGAGAGUGGUCCUAAGAUGCAUGUGGACCAUUUUUUUUUCAUUUGCUUGAUGAGGCCCACCGGCUGAUGCUUUCAUUGUAGAGGGAAAGCAAAUGAAGGUGCCUGAACCUACUUUUUCUCAUGGGGCGUGAUGCUUCCAUAGUUCAUGCGCUAAUUAGCACUCGGAUGGAAAGCAAUAUAUGGUACAUGUAUGUCAUCAUGGGUAGAUAGGUGAUAAAAUAAAGGAUCAUAUAUUUGUCUCCUUGCUAAAAAAAGACUAGUACAAAUUUAUUCAAACAUUAGUUGGGUACUUUCUAACUUUUGGGACAUUAGACAAUAAAAAAUAGCUAAUCAUUGUAGGCAUAAAAUUCCCAUCUACUUGUCUUAUUAAGAACUUUUGGCAUAUUAGACCACAUGCGCGAUCAUAUUGACAAAAAAUACCAACACUGAAUAUAAUUAACAAAACUACCAAGGCAUUAGGCCCGACAGCCGACACAUGACACCUGCCGCCAUAGCUGGAGGUGGCAAGGCCUUCCGCCAUAGCCCGUGGCAGCAUGUUGAGCAGAACGGCUCCCAACUCUAAUGGGGAAAAGAAAAUGGAAGAGGUGGCCCCUACCACCACAAGCUGUGGUGGCACCCUAUGACGUGGAUCCUGCCGCCAUGCACCAUGGCGACAAUAUUGUUGCUACUGCUCAGGACCGGCCAGCGCGCUGCAGUCCUGUCGGUUGUUGGCAUGGUUGGCGUCGCCUUUUGUGCCGAAUGUGCUCCAGCCAACCACAGGGAUUGGUUUCCAGGCGACGCUAAUUCCCAUGCACAUCAAAUCUCUCUUCAUCAUUCUCGCUUAUUUUUCCGCCAUCGCACUCAUUAUCUGAGCCUAUAAAAUAAUCCAUCGAACCUCUCUUCAUCCUCUAUCGAGUAACCUUCCUUAGCCAUUUCUCCGUUCAUGUCCGGUGACCCUUCCUUUCAUUUUACUCCAACGAUGUCUCAUUUGCUUUUGCCAGGCACAGCAAGAUUGCAGCGUGCUAGUAGGGGAAGUGUGCGUUUUGAUGUGGGACAUAUGUGAUUAGAUGUAUAGGCUGCUUGUUAAGAUAAAGAAGAUAGUGGGGAUGAACUUCUCAUGUAUAUAGGAUUAGUUAGUAGUGAUAGCCAACUGAUGCGGUUGGGUAAGUGUUUUUCCAAGACUAGUCUCCGGGAGAAGCUCCUGGAAAGGAACCCAGAGGAAACUCGACAAUAACUUUUGCGGUUGACGGGAAGGUGGGAAAGAGUUGUUGAACUCAAAUAUAUGCAUGUGCGCAUUACUGGGUUACCUUUUCUUCCUGGCCAUCAAAAAUAACUUCUCGGCAGAAGCAAUAUGAGGACCACGUUAAGGUAAUUGAUAUUUCAGAAUGCACCCAGUUAGACCAUAUGUUCCUCAUUCUAAUUAUGUAUUAUGAUUAUUUAUAAUAUGCAGAGAUAAAGACACGGAAUUUUUGAACAAGGAGAUCUUCAACUUUGGAUGGAUGAACAUCAUUUGGGGCCCUAUACCUAAGGGGAGAAUUUUUGAACAAGGAGAUCUUCAACUUUGCAUGGCAAAGUUUUGCAUCAGUGGGGGGUGGUGCGAGCUCGAAGAACAUGCGCAAGAACGUUGAUGACUUUAUGCCGAGCAAAUGAGCUCAAAACAUAUCCAAGUGUCAUGUUGCAUUUGCGAAGGUGACGCUAGCUAUAAGCAAGUGAAGGGCGACGAUGAUGACUUUAUGACAUAAAAAAUGAGUCCAGAAGAAAUUCAAGGGUUGUGCAAACUCUAAGAGCAGUAGGUCAGGUGAGAGUGAUGCGUAUGUCGACCACCCGAAGACAUACACAAGUACAUGAGUAUUACGGCCAUAGUUGCCAGAAAGGAUCGUCGAGUAGCUGAUGACACCAACAGUGACGGAAUCGGGGGCUGGAGCCCAAUCAUCCAAGGCAUGUGUCGCAAUGGCUAGGGAAUCUUGCGGAACACUUCACCGAUCGGGCAUUAAAUGUCUGCCAAGGCUAUCCCUCGUAGCCCGCCACAAGCCUAUGAAGAUAGGCCAUCCGCCAUCAUGACGGAGACCAAGGCAAGCAUCCUGAGCCAUUUAGGGUAGUGUCUCAUCGGUCAGACUGAUGUGACCCGACCUUGGCUUGUACUUUGAACCAAAGGACGACGGUGCGACGCAUCGCAUCGUAUAUGAUGGAUGCAUUUUAUGGAGGGUUGGUGGAAUUUUUCUCAAUUGCGUCGGGUGAACCUCCGAACCAUAUUGGUCUGGCAUUUAUUUGCAUGUGUUCUGAUGUUGAUUCAACUAGUGGUGUUGGCUGCAUUAUUUUGCCCUUUGGUAAUUAUGUACAUGCUUGGGAUAUUGCUGUCCGGAGGGAUUUCAUUGUGGCGUUUGAUUGAGCACGAUUACAAGGGCAACUCAGAGAUGGACACCUUGUACUACGGAUUGGGACCCUCUGACGUACGGUGCCCUGCCGUUGGGCCACUGACAUGUGGGCUGGGUCCACAUGUCAAUGGGCUAACGGCACGUUAGAGGAGCUGUGUCCCUUGUACUAGCUUGUCGUGCUACAAGGUGUACUCAUCUACUAAAAAAAAUCUGCUAUAGGUAGAUAAAUGUAUCACCCUAGAAGGUGUGCUCUUCUGCUAUAGGUAGUAGCGAUCUGACAUAGAUAAAAUAGUCACACGUAUAGAUAAAUGUAUCACCCUAACGACGAGGAUGGGCAUGUGUUCUCCCCUCAGGACCGUAAAGUGUGAGGCGUGGACAAGGGGCUGAGAUAGUACAUGCAUAGAGGGAAAGGGCUGAGGUCCCUUGCCUUGAGUGUAUGAGCAUUGUCCGGCGUACAGGAUGAUCUCGGGUAAACGAGUCUCCUCUAGCAUCAAGAUCCCUAGUGUGGUGAGAUAGGACUGAGGUCCAUCACCUUGAGUGUAUGAGCAUUGUUCUGCAUACGGAGUCUCCUCAGGCAUUGAACCCAAGCCAAACAACACGCCAUGGUCUUGAGAUACAUGCCCUUGACUGAGCGCCCCCGAAUAAGGGCUACAUAGUAGUAGAGACGAGUCAUAUUGUAGCAAUGGUGUUGUCGUACUCGGAUCCUAUUGUUGUGUCCUAUCUGGCUCAUACGUGCCUCACUUAGUCUGGACGACCGAGCCGUACUCAGGCUGGAUGACCGCGCUUCCGGCAUAUCGUAUGCUCCAAUGUUGUCUCGGCCACAACCCCAUUUUUUAAUACAAUUCUUGCUCAUGUCCAAAAGACACUUCAGGUGUGACUUUCCCUUUCGUAGCAUGCUUUGCACCCAAGGCGACCUCCGCCACCUGCCCCAUUUGGUUAAACUGAUCAACCUAAAUGAAAUGUAGUUGUUAUGACGCUGAAUUUCAGCUAAAAAAUAAUAAUAGAAAUGUUUGUACCGUGUAGUCACGGAGGUAAGUUGUUGACCGGUCAAUCUUUCCAUGCAAGUGUCAACCUCGGAGCUAGAGAACAGGUUAGCAGAAUAUGCGUGUUGUUGCGGUAUCACUGCUUGUACACAUCAGUUCUAGUGUCAUCGUGUGGUCUGCAUAAGGAAAUAAAUUCAUCAGCAGAUUUGUGUACAUAAAACAACAGAAAUACAAAAUUAACUAGGUUGAUGUACUAUAUUUAUUGCGCUUCACUGUUCGACAUGUAUAUCCAUUGACUGUUGUGUGCAUUCCGGUCGAAACCACCCGAACCUUUAUUUUCCAGCCUGAAAUCCAUGUACCAAAGUGUGAAGUUUUAGUUAAAAAGAUCCUAAUAAUUAGAAAACACUAGAGAAAUUAUUUAGGGUGGUCAGAGCUUACUUAUGAAUUUCAUCGUCGACACAUUUCGGUAAGGGUGGUGUGAUAUCCCGAUAGAGAUCGAACUACUUCAUGAUAUGCUCUGGGUUAUAGAGCUCAACAAACCACAUGUACAACAGGUUACAGUGAAUCAUCCAGAAGCCGCUAUCUCUCACACAGUCGGUGUUGAUGCAUUGUGAACUGAAGAUCAUAUUAAUUUCAUUCUAAGUUCAUGGGUCCAUGUGAUUAGUAACUCAUUCAAAACCUCAAACCGGUGGUGGUAUUCGGGGUAACAACCGUGCACCACAUUUGUACGCUAUUUGUUUUGGGACAUGUGUCCACCGUCUUGCCAUAGUUAAAAGGGCUUUAUCCCAUCUUACCAUAGUUAUACGAGUGUAUGGGCAAUAAUAUUUGGGGUCGUCCAAUGGGAAGGUAUUCCCAAGACUCUCCCCAAGACCACAACUGGAGAAACUCAUAGGAAACAAAAAGUAACAUAGCUUUCUUAUCACCUGGUUUUCAGGUGGCAUCACAAAACCCCUAUAGGUAUGAUAGAGCAUAGCAGAACCGAAGCUGUUUAUGGGGUUCUCAGGUAAAGUUUUUUCUGGCAAUCUUAAUGAGGCCAGGGAUAACUAUGUCACUGUGUGAUGAAGGGACUUUCAUACCGAAAAGGAGCAACAAAUACACAAACAGAUGCCUCUUCAACAUCUCAUGAUCUGGGUGUGCUGGUAUGUUUUUUAAAUGAGUCACAAAGCAAAUUGAAUGGGACACCCCGUGCCCCUCCAGAACGAUUUGAUUCAGGCAUUGUUACCCCAAGAUGGAGUGAGACAUCAUGUCGCCAAGAUGUUGAGCAUGUUGGAGGGACCAACGGCAAACCACUAAUUGACAGACCCACGAUCAUGGACACAUCUUUCAGGGUAGGUCGUAGGCACAAGCUCCCCCUAACGAAAGUGAGAGGUGUGGGUCUCAGGUCUCCACCAGUCAACGAGGGCUGCCAAAAGAAACGUGUCUAACAUGAAUAGGUGAUCAUCAGAUGCGAGCUUAGCAAAAGAAAGUAAUCCAUGAGCCUGAAGGUGUGGAAUGAAGCAAGGCUUGAGAUCCAUUUGUUCUUUAUGGUUUGAAUCUUGAAGGUCCGAGGAGGAUUCUUUUCAUGAUGGUUGAACCAAACGUGGCAACGGUGGCCGGCAUCGUGCUGCCCUUGCAAAAGGUCUGGCACUUCAAUCAUAACCGGUACACACAUAGUCAUCGGAAAUAAAAUUUAACCUCACGAGUAGAAAUAAAACUUAACAUCACUUAUACAGUAAAAGUUAACAGCGUCAGUUCAAAUAAAAUUAAACAUGAGAAGUAGAAAUAAACCUUAACAUCCCGAGUCCAAAUAAAACUUAAUAUCUUGAGUACAAAUAAACCUAAAUAUCACAAGUACAAAUAAAAGUUAACAUCAUGAGUAUAAAUAAAAUUAUAUCAUGCGGGAUUGUUGCUUCAAUAUGGGUAUUCCCAUCGUAGGUGCUCUGCCAAUGCGACACCGCCUUGGUUCUUCUGACUGCAGUAGCGGAGCUAGCAAGGAAUAGUUGGGCGAGCCAGUGCCAGCCAAUAUAGAAGAGAUUACAUAAAAUUUGCCCUCCUGACCCAGUUUACCCUAACACUACACUAUUUUAUGUUUGGAUUGGGUGAGCCAUAGCACACUUUUGCCCCUACGUAGCUCCGCCAUUGCCUUACUGGCUAUGGUCCAUGUCGUUGCGAUGACGCCAAGACGGACAUCGUCCCUUGGCGAUUCACAUCAACGUCUGGUCCAGAACCCAUUUGUUAUUCCUAGCCACGGUUCUCUAUAGUGUUGGUCAAUGCCCCAGGCCUAGAACUCACCGCUUUAGGUGUUGAAACAGAUUGUAAGUGUUGAACUAAAGAUAUAUGUAUGGUUCGAUGUUGAUGUUCUGAUCAGCAGCCGCCUGGAGGGCAUGACUACAGGGUAGCUCAAAAGCUUGGGCUUGUUGCAAGUGCACUCACACAUUGUUUGGCCAAGGAUGACAGCUUGCUUUUUUGAUCCUCUGCGGUGACCUUUUACAAAGUUGGCUCGCACGUUGACUUGCCACUUAUUCCUAAGUGCGUCCAUUUGACUACAACCAUGGCUUUGAGAUACUUUGAAUUCUCGUCCAGAUAUCUUUGCAUCUUUUCAGACCAUGGCUUGUUCAUUGCAACCUAUGCCUUGUCAACCUGGACUCUGUCUGCAAAGUAUGUCAGAGUCCGGUUACAAGUUUCGUUGAUCAUCGUUUGGUAGGGAGGGCUCCCACACCUUUAAGAACUCCAUUGUACACCUUUGACAUGUAUACCAUAGCAAGCCCCAGUGUCGUGAGCCUGCACCCACUUGUACAAUUGAGGGCAAUUCUCAACGAUCCGUCGGAUUUAUGGCCGUCCUACAGCCCCUCUUGUCUUCUCUCUCCGGCAAGGCCGUGUGCUCGAUCUGUCCAUUGAUGCCUGACCAGACCGCAUUCAUUUUGGCGCACAUCCUCUUAAAUAGCUUGAACCAAACAUUGUUUUUCCUAUAUAUUUUUGUCUUCUCUGAACUCAUGUCAGCCGAGCUCCUUCAGUAUUGUUUUCCUGUAGUAUUCUCUGAACUCGUACCAGGAACAGUGUUUUCCUGUCAGGUAAGUAUGGAAGGGUUGAAAAGGAAUCAUUCAGACAAUAGAGAAACUGUAUGCCAUGGUGUUCUGUUUCCCUUGUCAGGUAAAUAUGGAAGGGUUGUCUUGUAGAUUCAGAGACAUUUUGCAAGACCUAACUGGAGAAAAGUGUUCUCUCACUUCACAAGAACUCUUAGUAUAGGUGACUAAAUUCGCUAAACAUCUUGUCUUGACCGAUUUAUACUGCGCAGUGCAAUGGUUAGUAUGUACAUUAAUGUGUUUUCCAUUGAGGAUCUCGAACACUGACGAAGCAACUAGCUCAAGGAUCUUUCAAAAUAAUUCAUUCAGCCUGACAACCACAACUCGUAUGUAUAGGAAGGAGAACUUCUAAGAUCGCCAUACCAGAAUUUUUUUAAACAGUUUGCAGAUAUACUUGUAUGUAUACGAAAAGAAAUUAAUAUGAUAGCAUACACAUAGUAAAUCUGGAAUCUAGCUUUACAAGUUUAGUUUGUAGAAAAUACAUUGAAAAGCUAGUGUCACAAGCAUACAUAGACUGGAAUAUUUAGAGAUAUCUACCACUCUCUCCGUCCGGAAUUAAUUGAUGCUCAAACGGAAGUAUCUAGGAAGUACAAUACUAUAUUGGAACAGCGAUAUUGAUCAUUAGAAUUACUGACUUCCAGGUGGUGGCCCUCGCAGAAGCAUGCUUUCUCUCUUCAGUUUUUCUGCCCUGACAGUCUCUAACUUGCGCCUAUCAAUACUCUUCUCUCCAGGUUCUUUUGGAGGCCUGCCUCUUUUUUUAGGUU
rnacentral:lncRNA from 1 species